rnacentral:lncRNA from 1 species
CUGUUAUGUAUCCUUACAUUUUGUCAUCACAGCAACGAAAGGUGAAGCUUUCCAAUUCUGACAAGGCCAACAUUCACCUUGAGUUUGCGAAGCAUGACUCGGAUCUGACUUCUCCAAACUCGCAUGACUCUGCAAGCCACGGUGGGCGUUUGGAUGUGCUUUUAGUUACCACUUUCUCUCUUGGAUUUGCUUACGUAUUGCUCCUUUUGUAUUAGUGGCUCAUGUCCCACCUUGCUUUUGGACUUAUGAGCUUUUUAUAUUUCUGAUUCUUCAAUGUCUAUUGUGUGUGCUCUCCAACCUGUGGUGACUUUUCGGUUUAUUCAUGUGGCUGUUUCUUAUAGGCCUUUCGACCUCCAGUAUUAAAUAAAAGAUCAUUUUGAGCUUUUUAAUUUUAAUUAUUUUUUAUUUAUAUCUCUUCUAAUAUUAAUAAUAAAUAAUAAAAUAUAUAAAUAAAUAAAUGAUUAUAUACAAUUAAUCUUUUAGGAUGAUAAUUAUUUUAAGAUAGAAAAAUAAUAUAUAUUUAUAUAUUGUUAUGAGAGGUCUUUAGUUAUAUGCAUAAUGCACCCUUGGCCACUUGGGAGUUGGAAUUUCAGUAAUUAUUAUUGUGGUGGGUAAAGCUAUAAACUCGGUUUUGUGUAAGUUCAUUUACUUUCUUGAGGAGUCUAAGGUAGGAAAGAGAAACACCUCUUCCAAUGUAAGAAAGUUUUUUAAAACUGGUAUAUUAGUUUAGUUUCAAUCUAAUGCCUCAAUUUUUUUUUUCUUUUCUCCUUGUAUUUUUUAUUCCUUUUCUUCUUAUCUUUCCUUGUUUGCCCCUUCUCUUCUUUCUCUCUCCUUCUAUCCGCCACCAUAGUGCACCGUCACUUGUAGUUGCUUUGGUGGGACUCUACCACAGAAGAAGCAAGUGGAGCGUUGUUUCCAUUACUUUACGGAAAUUCACUUAAUCACAUUCAAUUGGUUCAUUGAGGAAUGAUUGCGGCGUUGUGUUUUUUCUUUCGUCUUUCUGUGUGAGUCAUUUGAGCGGUGCUGCGAAAGAAGAAAAAACUCCGGCGAGUGCCCACUGGUUGUCUGCGGUGGAGAGAAGGAGUGUUGUGCGGAAGAAAAGAAGAGGGGCAAACAAGGAAAGACAGGAAGAAAGGAAUAAGGAAAGGAGAAAAGGAAAAAAAUUGAACCAUCAGAUCGAUGAAAACUAAACUAAGUGUCAAGGGAAACGAAAAGCAUAAUAGCAUGAGUCAAGUUCAAAAAUUAUACAAAGUUUCACAAAGAAGAUCCAUAUAUGUUUCACAUGCUAGAUUCCUUCGAAUAGAUGGCUAUGGGUGAUAAAUUAUAUAUGAAUUGGAAAAUACAAAAAAUAUGUUGCAACUUGCAAGGGAUGCAUCAGUAACAAUUGUUUAUAAGUAGUACUGCCAUCAGUAUCAACUUUAUCAGCAAAAAAUAAGUUGCAACUUGCAAGGGAUGCACCACCCACUUACAGCUUAAUUAAUUGUCACCGAUAAAAAAAUGUUUGAUACACAUCCAAAAUCCUAUUUAACAUUUAGAUUGAGAAAAAAAUGAAAAAUAUAUAAAAUGAUAAAAUUUAUGAUAUAAUAAAAAAAUAAAAAAGUGUGGAUGCAAUAUUUAAAAUAAAAAAUAAUUUAUAAAUUAUUACUCAUGGAAAACGAGAACUCAAUAAAACUCGCACCAUGUACUUGUGAAUCCCACCAAUCACGAUACAUAGCCAUUAAUAUAAGCCUAAAAGGAAACAUCCAAUUACAAGUUGAAUGUUAAUAUAUGCACAGCCACUUACUGCAUACAAGAAGAUGCAAUAGUAACAAGGACGAUUCCAACUUCUCUACUCGCGUAAUAGCUUUGUAGCUUCCCAUGCAUGUGACCCACUAGUUCUAAUCCUAACUGAUACAAUUACAGGUAGGAAUAUUCACGAGUUGGUAAGAAUCAAAUCAAAUUUAAGGUAAAAUUAAAUUUACAUUAGUUAUAUUUGAUUAGAUUGAUUUGAUUUAAAUUUUGAUUUUUUUAUCAUUUAAAUUAAUUAAAAAGGGAUUAGUUUAGUUGAGUCAAUCAACUAUAAUAAAAAAUUAAAUUGUAAUAUUUUUAACGAUUUUUUAUGUUUAUUGUCUAUUUGAUAUAAAUAUUUAAUUUUAUAUUAACGCAAGAUAAGCAUAUUUUUGUUUUCAAUAACAUACUAUUUAUAUUUUAUUUAAAAUAUUUAAUCAGCAUGUUUGCGGACUACCCACAUAAGCCACUUAAUCUGAAAUCACUUUACACUUACACAAAAAUAAUGAAUCAAAGAUAAAUAGAGAACUAAGGCUAAACCUAAUCGGAAAAAUCUGAUAGUUGCCAAACACAAACCCUUACCCUUCCCUAGACCUGCCCUGGUCAUGCCACCGCCCCUUUUACAGGCAACUUAUGCUUCCUCCGACCACCAUCGUGCCCCUUUUACAGUUCUUCGUCUUGUUUGUAGGAAAAUAUUGGCGAAGAUAUGCUUCCUCCGACCUGCCCUGUGUGUGAUGACUGCUACUUGUGUUUCUUGUACGUCUAUUCCAGCGAUACCAACAUGCAUGGUUGUUGCUAGUUUGUACGUACAAAAUUUAUGCAUUAAUUAUGUUAUAAAAUUUUAGAUUUUUAGUUAUACGAUAAGUAUUUACGAUUGCCAAUUGUGAGGCAAUCAUUCAAUACAUUAAAAUAGAGCCUUGUGCUUGUAGAUGUAGGCUUAUGAGGUAAAAAUAUGCCCACCUGGGAUAUCCUAAAUGUUUUACGGCAAAAUCAAGAUCUAGAUGUUAUUUGAUGAUCACAUAAAGGUGCAACAGUUUCACAACAUAUCAUGCUUCAAUUCACUGGCUUCAUUCAAUUUGGCAAUCAAUUUUGUGCCCAUCUACUCGUUUCAUCACCAAAGAAGACCCCUAUACCUUAUUUUAUUUAUUUAGGUUACCUAAAAGAAAAUUUCUUUGAAAAGACAUGCAACAACAUCACAACAGAGAAGGUUACAUAAAAUAAGAUGAAAUUAAAUAAAAUUUUAUAAAAUGUAUUGUAUCCCCUUUUUUUUUUUAAAAAAAAAGAUCUUUGAGCUUUUCUUUACUUUAAUAUUGCAUUGGAUGUAAUAGAUCAGACUUUUCUAAUAAAAUGAUAAAUCGUAUAAUUUUAUUUAUAAAAUAAAUUUGUCCAUAUUUUUAAAAAUUGAAUUAUUUUUAUACAUUUCCUUUAAAGUAUCUAUUUCAUUUUGUAAUUCAUGUCAUUAAAGUGUUUGUAUCAAAUUGAUUUGGUAACAUUUUCUUUAAUUAGUUACUCAGUUAAGAUAUUUAUAUUAUUAUUCAAAUUUAUUCAAUAAAUAUUAUAUAUAAUAAUAUAUGUAUAAAUCACAAUUAAAAUAACUUUCUAUCACAUAAAUUAAUUUAAAAAGUUUUCAUAAUUUAAAUUUCAAAUUCUAUUUUUAUAUUUUAAUUAUAUUUAUAUAAAAAAUAAAAUAAUGAGUAAAAUACGUAACAUCCCCUUAAUUUUUGCAAAAUUAUAAAUCUUUUGUAUUUUUUAACAUUUUCACUUUUUUUAGCAACCUCCUUGAUCUAUAGGUUAACAUGGUGUAAUAUCCAAACAAUUAAAGAGAUUUAGUUGAUGAAUAUGGAGUGUUGGUAAUAUUUUUAAAAUAAUUAACACAAUUAGUAUAGGAGUUUAAAAAAAGGAAGAGUGAGCGUAAUUUCACGAAACUUCCGGAUGAUAAGUGUAAUGUACUCGGAAAAAUUAAUCUUCUACCAGUUAAAUAAAACUAUUUUUUUUAUCAUGUAUCUUUUUAAAUUGUAUAUGUGUAAAUAAAAUAUAUGUCACUGUUGAUACUAUCUUACACUUUUUAAUUAUGUUAAAAUAUAAUUUACUAUGCAAGACUGACUUGAUUUUAAAUCAUAUGUCAGACUUAGAAUAAGAGUUCGGACUUAUCUCGUGUAAAUCAUCUUAUUAUCUUUUACGUUUGUUUAGAGAUCAUCUGUCUUUUAUCUUAUUCAGAAUAAUGUAGUUCAUAAUUGAGCAUAUUUAUUUAAAAAUCGAAAGGCUGUAUUAUUGUAUUUUAUUCUAGUAUUUUAACAAGUAUAGAAAAAAUAAUUAAUUGAGCAUAUCGAUCCGUUGAAACUUAAAACCUUUUUACCCGCAUGAAUAUGAUUACAUGAGCCCUAUACAAUAUUGUAAAGUCAUUUACCUUGAGUAGCCAUUGCCGGCCACUUUUUUUACCAGCCAAAGAAUUUUAAUUUGAGAAUGAUUACAAAGUACGUACCCAAUCCUUUUACCAAGUGCAGUCUAGUACCCAAAUAUUUUUCCAGACUUCCACUACUAGAAAAAAUAUAUAUUUUAAAUUGACGGUUAAAACUAAAUUGUCUUAAAAUAUUAAAUAUAACAUGAUAAUAUUUUUGUAAUUAAGACAAGAAAAUUGUUUUUAAUGACAUGUAUUUUAAGACAAUUAUCAUGAGCCGUCUUAGAAUCUGAUUGGGUAACAUUGUUAUAAUUAGAGAGUAUGAAAAUGACGACGAUCAUUAACACAAAAUCAUCUUAAUUUUUUAUUCCUGAAUCUGAAAUCCUAGCUUCAAUUCUCCCAUCUAACUAUCACAGUGUUGUCCCUCCCUCGAACUCUCCCUCUUUAGCUCACCCAGUCUCGAUUGUGCCCUCGAACUCUCCACUAUCCCUCUCUCGAAGUCUCCCUCUAUAGCACACCCACUCUCAAUUGCGUACAUUAUUAACUCUUGCACUGUCCUUCACCCACUGUCCUUCGAGACGUCCCUCUCUCUGGUUGUGUACUCAGCGGCAGUAGAAAGUUUGUCUCCGUGGUGUGGCCCCCCCGUACGUUGUGCGGCCAUCCUCACACAGGUAAAAACCUUAUCUUCUUUGUCACUAUUUUAUUUAUUGAAAGUGAAAUGGACUUCCCCUUAUUCUUGAAAGAACAAUCUGGGAGGGAGGGGGGAGUAGAUAUCUCACAAAAAAUGGAGGUUAAUUUUAUGGAAUACUUUGUUUGAGAUUUUUUUUAUUAAGUUGUAAUAAGAAAUUUAUAUGUUUUUGUUUUGGAAUAGAGUUACCUGGAGUUCUUUGGGUGCUGCUAUAUCAUCCUUUUAGCACUAUUUCAUUUAAUAUUGUUCAACGCAUCAACUAGAAUUUGCUGAGGAUUAUGAACCUGAGCCUAGCUUUGUCUGCAUCUUUUGCCAAGGCAGCCAUCCCCAAAAUUGAGCAAUAUUUGUAUAAACGUUCUUCAUAAUCGUCACCUUAUAGCUCAACUUAGAUGACAACAUUGUCUGGGUUGUCGUUUGAACUCAAUGGAGAUGGAGUUUUCUUUACCAUUUCUAAUAAUUAUGACUCACAUUUGUUUUCUAUGUUUUUUUUUGUCAUAUUUGAUUGGCCAUCUGCAUAUGACUUUAUGCCAUUUUCACACUCUUAGCAGUUAUCACCCACUCUUGGUGAAAGCCUAGAUGAGUCUGAUAUCAUGUCAAGAUAGGAGAAAUGAUUAUUUUGGAAGCAUUAGAAGCAGAUUGGUACAGCCUCUGAUCUAGUCUUGUUCCUUCUGCCUUCAUGUCUUGUAAGAGUUUCACCAACUUCAGAGAACACAGCAACCAUGAUAUCUGCCAUGGCCCUUUAAUUAAGCCCCCCAUUCAUCCUAUGGUCAUUGAAAAGCUUGACACAGGUUUCAAACUAAGCUGGUUUAGUAUAAGCAGCAAUUAUGGUAGUAUAUAUAACUCACCUUAUUCGCUGCUACCCUUGUUGUCUUCAUUUAAUUGUACAGCUUCUGAAUUUACCUUCAAAUUCUUAAGAAGCUUCUGCAAAACGAAGCAUGCAACUUCAGAAUGCUACUUUCCUCCUCUACAGAAAAUGUUUGUAUUUUGAGAUCAGCUCUAACAUAGUUUUAAACUAGGGAACAACAAUUUCAUGAAAACCAUUUUCAGAAUGCUAGUGUUCAUUUCAAUUUGUACUUUGAAAUAGUGAACACCAUAAUUGUGUCGUACUUGAUCAUUUACCUCACCAACAACCAAGGCCUCUCACAAGCUAAGGUUGCUCUGCACAUUAAGGCCCUUCUCAGAUUAAUUUCUAUCAUGGCUCUUCCUGUCUUCCACCUCUUUCUUCAAUCAUCAACACCUCUUUCUUAGAUUAAUUUUAGCCUUUUUCUUUGUUGUUUUUCAGUUUGGUUUGUUGGUGAUUUUGAUUUUUGUCCCUUUGCACUUUCAGAUAUAUAGCUCCGGAGCAGCUUCCGGUGAAGUACGGUGGACUAAGCAAAGAUGGGGAGCUCGAAAAUACCGAUGCUGUCACAGAAAUCAUAGUGAGGCCGGCAGCAAAACAUACAGUGGAAUUUUCAGUUACUGAGGUGGGUUUUCCAUUACUUUUUUGUCGGAGUAAAUUGGUUUAUGAGAAUCCAAAGAAUGCGCAGCAUGGGAAUGGGGAAUCUUUGAUAGGAUUCCUUUCUUCUCAAUAUUAUCUAAUUAAUUCAUUUUUUGCAUAUUUCUCAUAUUUCAUGCCACAAAUUGUGCUAGCCUGAAGAAAAAUUCAGGAGCAAACACACUCAUAUUAGUAAAUUAAGAAUAAAUUAAAUAAAUACAUAAAGGGUAUACUCCAAUUGAAAAAAAAAAGGGAAAAUACUCCAAUACAAAGCAAGUUUCUUUGGUUAGCUAUCUUUUGCCGUUGGGAGGUUGUAAUAUUUAAAUUUUAUUUCAUGUAAUUCUCAUUUCUCAAUAUUAAUGCUAAGAGCCAAAUUUCUUCUGUGUGUUUAGCAAACCAAUAAAACGUGUGGACCACUUUGAAACAGGUUUAGGUAGGUUGUACAAAAGAUAAAGUAACCUUGAAUAUUAAAUUUGUCAGAUAACUACCUAAUGAUGUUGAUUUUGACAUUAAUGUCCAUUGAUGUAUAGGGUUACAUACUUAUGCUCUACAUCUUUUAUUUAUUAUUAGAAUCUGUUAUUGGACUUAACUCUGCAAAUUAAAGCCACAUGUAGCAAUUAAAUCCUAUACUGUACCUUAUUAUUACAAUUGAUGAAUAGAUAGAGAUCGACUUCAUGUUUGGCCUGAUUCUAAGUCUUAACUUCCCUUGAAAUCUCAUAUUGGUUAAUGUUUGGAUGGCUACCACAGUCCAGAGCUACCAUAUGGAUGGCUAUGCAUUCUUUGUUGUUGGGUGAGAUUUUAGUUUUAAAAUUUCAAUUUACCAUUUUUGUUUUUAUCAAUGUUACACUAAACUUAAGAGUGAAUGAAUUUCUCGUUUGAACUGUAGCAUGGAUUUUGGAGUAUGGGCAGAAAAUAGCCGAAGUACUUAUAAUAAGUGGGAUGGUAUGGCUCGCUGCACUACACAGGUAUGUCUUACUUCCUUGGCCACAGCAUAAUCUGUUACUCCAUCCAUUUGCAUAGGAAAUUAUGAGGCAGUUAUGCUGGAAUGAACCAUUUUCAUACAUAACAAGAAAGGGGACAUACGAUUAGGAAUGGAGGUUGUUUCACAGAUUCAACCAAGAAAUGCUUCAAUUCUGUUUGCUACUCUAAAAUUUAUAGUUUUCCUUUUGAUUUGACCACAUUACUUUGUCUUUUCAGCUUCUCAUGGAUCUGGAAUCAUUAAUAAGAAUUCCCUUUUAAACCCCAUGAAUAUUUAAAAUGUCUCUUGACAACGCCGGUAUUUGGAACCUUCGUCCAGAGAACCUCAACUCGUGGUAUCUGGGCCAAGAAGUUUUUGUGCAUGUUGUAAACCCAGAGAAAGACAACAAUGUGGUUGUGUAAAUUGCUGACAAAUUUCAGGUGAUGCCACUCUUGAUUUCUCAUAAGCACACUCUUAAAUCUUGCACCACAUUUUGCAGCAGGUUUAAUAUUAAUUGGGUGCAGUCCAGGAGGUAUGAAAUUUAAUUUUGUGGUUCUUAGUUUUCUUAUAAUUCUAUCCAUCAUAUUCAAAAUGGUCGAUCUUUGUUUGGUUGCAGGCACAGCUAGUAAUAUUAUAACAUAUCUUUCACGGUAUAUUCUCAGUUAUAUAUAAUUCCAAUUAAUUAAUGCUUUACUUUGUUUGAUCAUAUCGAUGACCAGGUGAUCUAAUGACCCUUUUGUUUUGCUAGUGGAGAUGUGGCGCUAUCUGUAAUAAUGACAACUGCAAGUACCCUAACUGCCAUGGUUGGUAUAGCUAUAAUUUGAGUCUUAAUCUUUGGUUUCCAUUUUUUACGAGCAAUUAAUUAAUCCAUGACAAGAUGUGGGUAGGCAUUAGUACAAUGAUACAAUCAAUUAGUAAUGGUUUCAGUUCCAUGCAUCUGCCCACGUUUGUACUUGGGCAGACAAAUUAAUUUUCUCCAUCGCAGCCCUUUUGGCCCUCCCUCUCUGGUUUUGAAGACUAGCAUAAGACAUGUCUUGUUUGAUUUAUUACAAACAGUGCAGAGUGUAUUAAUGAUUCUUACUUUAAUUAUAUUCUUUUGUCUCUAAAAGUAAAAAUAUGAAAAUCUUUUAGUAUUGGUUCUUAAUUAUAAAAACUUUAUUCGUUUUUAAUUUUUGAAAACUACAAAAGUGCUUUACAUAUUCUUCCAUAAUGACUUCACAAGCAUUCUCUAAACUUUGACUGCAGUCAUGAGGUUUAAGAUAUUCUUCCACAAUAGGAUUGAAUUUUCGAAUUAAAUUCUUAAUAUCACAACUAAUCAGGUUUCAGGUGAAUAAUAUUUUUUUUCUACAGCCCAAGUAACUGGUUGGUCUGUUGUUGUUUAAGGUUGUUCCUGUGUAUCAACACAUGGAAUCUAUCUUCAAUAAAAAAUGAAAUCUUCACACAUGGUGAAUCCUGUGUACUUAAAUUUCAAUUUGGGUUUGGCAACUUAAUCAUGAAAAUGUGCCAACUACUUGUCUCUGACCAUGCUUUUCAUGCAAAACUAUUCAUAUGUCAAUCUGUUUUGAAUGACUAAUACUUGGUAGAAAAGCUAUCUUGAAUCCUAACGACAUUUAUUUUCUUUCAGGUUACAGACAAAAGGUGCUUUAAUUUAUUCCCAGAAGUUGGUCGAUGUACAUAAUAGAGUUGGUCAUGCAGGGGGAGUACGUGGUCUCAUCAUUGUUUGACAUCUUCAGUUGUUUUCCUAAUGUGAGUCCUCCUUGCUUAAUAUGUACUCAUUCAUAAAAUAUUAAUUUAUUUAUAUAAUGCUUAAUUAUAUAAUAAAAAAAUUACAUGUACUUAUCAUAAGUAGUUGAGAAUAAUAAUUUUUAUUCUUUCACCUAUGAUUAAGGUUUUCGUUAAUUUCAUAUUAUAUAAUUAUGUCUUAUACUGAAUUAAUUUUCUAAUUGAGUUGUUUAAUAAAAUAAUAUUAAAUUAUCUUCGUAAUCAUUAUUUAUCAUUUAUUUAUUAUUAUGUUGCUUAAUAAUAUAAUAUUAAAUUAACUAAAACCAUCAUAUAUAGUAAAAAAAUUAUAUGUACUUAUGAUAAUUAGUAAACAAUUCAAAGUCGCAUAAUUUUUAAAUUUUCAGGUUAUAUUACGGUUUUAUUAAUUUAAUAUUAUAUAAUUUUUAAAUUUUCAGCUUAUACAUUAUUUAUAUAUAUUAAAUAUUAUAUACAUAAUUUUCAGCAAAAAUAUUAAUUUAAUAUUAUUAUAUAAUUUUUAAAUUUUCAGGUUAUACAUUAUUUUUUAAUUUUAAAUAGAAUAUAAUUUAAUAUUAUAUACAUAAUUUUCAGCUUAUUAUGUAAUUUAAUAUUAUUAUAUCAUUUUAUAAUUAUCAGCUUAUACAUAAUUGUUAAUAAUAACUAAUUAUAUUUAGAAGUUAUUCUUUAUAUUUAUUUAUAUUAAUAUUCUUACAUAUAAAUAUAAUAUUAUUAAAUGAUAAUUUAAACUAUUUAAUAAUAAUUAUCUAUAUUUUCUAAUAAUAAUAUUGUAAUUAUUAUUAGAAAAUAUAAAUAAUGAUUAUUAAAUAUAAAUAAUUAAUUUAAAUUAUUUUUAAUUAUAUUUAUAUAUAAAAAAAAUUAUACAGAAAUCUACGUCGAUGCUUACCUGGUGCACUGACGUUAAAGGAUGCACUUUCAUGUCAUUUGGAGUGAAGCAACGACGUUAAAGGAUUGGCUUUUUAAGUUGUUUGUUUCCCUGAAAUGACGUUGAUGUGUGCUGUUUUUAAGUCGUUUUGAUGUUCAGAAACGACGUUGAUGCAUGCCGUUUUCAGGUCGUUUGUUUUCCAGAAACGACGUUGAUGCACGCAUCUUUUACGUCGUUGCAUCGUCGGAACGACUUAGAAACUACAUGUUUCUACGACGUUGUUGGGUAAAGGAUCGAUGUAGACAUUUAUUUUCUCCACAUCGUUGCUGCGUAACCAACGACUUGUUUUGGGACUUCAUUCAAAACGGCGGCCAUCGUUGAAGGUUCCAGCGUAAACAACGACGUCAACUUUAAAGAUGGACUUCCACCGUCUUUGAAGUGCUUAUUCCACCAUCGUUAAACGCAGUUUUUCCAGUAGUGUCUUCAUUGACUAUUCUUUGGGAAUCUACAACCCCACCACCUUUGUCUACAAACCCCUAAUUGAAAAGAGAGUAUAAUAAACACAAAAAGCUUGUGGGGAAAAUUAAAAGAGAGGGAGGGAGAGGGAGAGAGAAGAGAAAAAAUAAAAUUAAAAUAAUAUUUUUAAGAUAGACACCAAAGUUUACGCUCAUCCCCAGACAGAUUAUCAACAAAUGAAUGAAAAGUAUAAUAGUAUAUUUAUGAAUCACAAUUAAAAUAAUAUUUUAUUAAUUAAUUAAUUUUAAAACUCUCACAAAGAAAGAUAUGUUAAAUCGAACUAAGAGGCUUUGCCACUUUUAUUGAUUUAUAUUAUACUAUUUUAUGUACUCCUGUUAUUUUUUAUCUUGUUGUAAAAACUGAAAAAAAAACAUAAAAAUAAUAAGAUAAAAACAACAAUAGUAUGAAAAAUAAUAUAAUAUAGAUCAAUAAAAAAAUAUAUGUUAUUUUAAUUAUAUCUAUAUCAAGAUUAUUAGACUUGAGAGUACUUGUAAUAAAAAUUUAUAAGAGUUAAUUUCAUAUAAAAAUAAUAUAUAUACAUAUAACAUACCAAUUAAAUAUUUUAAUGAUAAAAUAAAAUAGUAAAACAUAAAUUUUAAAAUAUUAUAAUAAUUAAGUCUAAUAAUAUAUUACUACUGGAUAAUAACUUGAUGAUGUUAUAGUAAUGAUACAUCAUACUCAUCUUGAAUUUGAUAUUAUUAGAAAACAUUAAAGAUGUAUUAAACACUAAACAAACAUAAAAUAAUCCAAAUAAUUAGUUGUUAUUAAGAAUCAUUAUCAAUGAAAAAUAUGAAUGUUAUCUUUUAUCUUCGUGGCUUUAAUGGUAGUUUUAUGCAGUUUUAGAAUAACCUAACUUUUAACCCUCUUAGGAUUGAAAAAUAGUAAUAUACAGAGGACAUGAGGCUUAACUUGCGAACAAUAUAUAUUUAAAUGCAAUCAAGUACAAUCAGCAUUUGUGGUAUAAAUCUAGUUGGAAUCAUGUCUGUUUUCAUCAUGCAGUGGCAUGCCUUUAGGCCUUCUAAUAAAAUGGUAAAUAUUAUUUUAUCCGUAUAUAAUACAUUCGUUGUUGGAGGAAGACAUAUUUUUACCAUAAUUUCUUAAAAAAGAAUAAAUCACUCAAUAAAGUGUUUCCUCCCAAGUCGUAAGAAUCAAGCUCUAGAUACGCUAGGAAAUGUUUUGUAAAAUGAAAUAUAUAAAUAGGAAGAACUUGUAAAAAAAAAAUAGAGAUAAACAAUGAAGAAAAUAACCAUUAAUUAAAAUUCAUGAAAUGAGAAUAUCUAAGUAUAAAAUUACAACUAAUCUGAACCAAUCUGCUAAACAACCUAAUCUUCUAUCAUUUUCAUUUGAUAUUUAAAUUAUUAACUGCUCAAACAAAACUCAUAAAAGAUAAAAUCUGCAACAAUAAAAGAACUCUAUCUAAAACUUAUUCAAAAUUCAAGUACAAGGCAAGUAAGGCAACUCUAUCUAAACUCUAUCACGCCACUGCUGACCCCGACCCUAUCACGUGCAUGCAUAUGAACUAUUAUUUACAAGUUGUCGCCACUCCCCAAGAACGAGAGCAAGUGCCAAAUGACUCCAAGCCCUAAACCGCAGCCAGCAACCCAGAACCAGUCCCCCAUGCCACUAGUUGUAUGUGCAGAUUACAAAAAGAGACAUCACAGAACAAAUGGAUGAAAAGUAAGGCAACUCUAUCACGCCACUACUGACCCCGACCCUAUCACGUGCAUGCAUAUGAACUAUUAUCUACAAGUUGUCGCCACUCCCCAAGAACGAGAGCAAGUUGCCAAAUGACUCCAAGCCCUAAACCGCAGCCAGCAACCCAGAACCAGUCCCCCAUGCCACUAGUUGUAUGUGCAGAUUACAAAAAGAGACAUCACAGAACAAAUGGAUGAAAAGUAAGGCAACUCUAUCACGCCACUACUGACCCCGACCCUAUCACGUGCAUGCAUAUGAACUAUUAUCUACAAGUUGUCGCCACUCCCCAAGAACGAGAGCAAGUGCCAAAUGACUCCAAGCCCUAAACCGCAGCCAGCAACCCAAAACCAGUCCCCCAUGCCACUAGCUGUAUAUACAGAUUACAAAAAGAGACACCACGUACAGAACAAAUGGAUGAAAAGUAUAAUAGUAUAUUUAUGAAUCACGAUUAAAACAAAUUUCUAACAAUUAAUUGAUUUUAAAAGCUUUCAUAGUUUUAAUUUCCAAAUGCUAUUAGUUUUAUUAUAAUAGUUUAUUUAUACUUGUAUUAUAUUACAAAUAUAAUAAUGAAUAAAUUACGGUUAAUAUACCUCCUGAAUAUAUUUUUUAAAAAUACAAAAACUUUCUCUAUUUUUUUAUAUAAAAAAUCAAGGUUGCCAAGCCAUUGUUCAAAGCAAGGGUGAUCCAAUAGUAGGCGAGAACUAAAAUAAAUUUUAUUUUAUUUUAUUAAAUGAAAAAUAAUAUGUUGUAUUUUUUAAAUAAAUAUGGUCUUUUUAUUUUAUAAUAGCUAAUAAUUUUUUUUAUAGAACUAAAAUUUAAAUUUUAGUUGUUUUAUUGUUGUUUUCACUCUCAUUCAAAGGAGUAAAAGAAUGAACUUGUCCCCGAUAACCACCCCACACAGCGUAGUAAAUUUUCUACAUCAAAAUUAUCUAUGUAAAAUUCCAGCAGCAGCUGGAAAAGACUCCGAUUUCUUUAUUUCCAGUACACCAAAACACUCUCCAUGCGUGAAGUGAAACUAGAUGGUAUUUGCUGAAAGUGAUCCCGUGGAGAUUUUGGCAGAUCAGAGAGGGUAUUCAGACAAACUAUAGAAGCCACCGAUGAAUCAGUGAGUAGAAUAUGCUUCUUGUUUGAAGAUAAUUAACUAUCCUAUGACACUCAAGGACUUGAGAGUCUAAAUUCAAAAAUGAAAUCUUUUAUUUACUCAUAACAUUUAAUGUUAUUUAUAAAAUUUAAUGUUAUUUAUCAUUUAAGAAUGAGACAUUUUAUUUAUUCAUAUAAUUUAUAAUAAGUUUUAAAAGAUAUAUUAGUACUAAAAAAAUUAAGAUUAUUUUUUUGAAACCUUAAAGUCCUUACUUGGGGCUGCUUGGACUUAAGCCCGGCCUUAUUAUCCCUAGUGGGCAACUUGUUAAUGUCCUUAUUAUCCCUAGUGGGUAACUUGUUAAUGAUGAAUUGAAGACCCUUCAAAUCGUGUGUGCUACCUUAAGUAGGCGUGGAAUAUCAAUUGUUUCCACACUAGGGACAAAACUUCAUCAAACUCAUGAACUUACUCAGUCCCUUCCAGUUUGGAAUUCGCAAUAACGACCCUCAGUCAUCUUCCUCAAUAUAUUACUCCUCAGCUCUUAUAUUUAGACGCACACAAUCAUGCAGCUCUAGGGAAUCAAGAAAAUUAUUAUACCCUUUAAGAUGAAACCGUACCUACGUGCAAUAUUCCUAGUAUUCCUUAUCCUUCUCGACCAAUCAUCCAUUUCGGCGAGUGCUUCUUUUAAUUUUAAUGGAUUGCGAAACAUUGCAAAGUUGCCCUCUGUCGAGAAACUUUUGAAGUUGGGAGAGCCAGCGAAAAAGACGACAGAUAUUGCCAAUGAAAUUUUAAAGAAACUGUUUGAGUAUUAUAAGGACGAUUUACCACUAAAGUCCCCUCCCCCACCGCCAAUGUACCGUUUACAACCAAAGUCCGAUCUCCCAGCGCCAAACGCACCACCGAAGCAAAUCAAUAUUACAGGCCUGUACAUCGUCAAAGAUUACUUAUCUGACUACGGCUACAUUGAAUCCUCUGGGCCAUUUAACGAUUCUUUCGAUCAGGAAAUAAUAUCAGCCAUUAAGACCUACCAGAAUUUUUCCAAUCUUCAAGUUACCGGCGGCCUGAACAAAGAGCUUAUUCAGCAAAUGUUGUCCAUACGAUGCGGUGUCCCCGACGUUAACUUCGACUACAACUUCACCGACGACAACAUUUCCUAUCCCAAAGCCGGACACCGCUGGUUCCCAAACAGAAACCUCACAUACGGUUUUCUUCCCGAAAACCAAAUCCCAGACAACAUGACUAAGGUGUUCAGAGAUUCCUUCGCGAGGUGGGCCCAAGCCUCGGGGACUUUGAGUCUCACGGAGACAACCUACGACAUCGCCGACAUCCAGGUAGGGUUCUACAACUUCACUGCCUUGGGCAUUGAAGUGGAGGUGUAUGGUGGCAGCCUUAUAUUUUUGCAACCGGAUUCUAGUAAGAAAGGGGUGGUACUUAUGGACGGUAACAUCGGCUGGUUACUUCCAAGUGAAAACGCCACACUGUCUAAAGAUGAUAGAGUUUUGGACUUGGAGACUGUGGCGAUGCACCAGAUAGGGCAUCUACUUGGACUUGAACACUCUCCCAAAGAGGACUCUGUUAUGUAUCCUUACAUUUUGUCAUCACAGCAACGAAAGGUGAAGCUUUCCAAUUCUGACAAGGCCAACAUUCACCUUGAGUUUGCGAAGCAUGACUCGGAUCUGACUUCUCCAAACUCGCAUGACUCUGCAAGCCACGGUGGGCGUUUGGAUGUGCUUUUAGUUACCACUUUCUCUCUUGGAUUUGCUUACGUAUUGCUCCUUUUGUAUUAGUGGCUCAUGUCCCACCUUGCUUUUGGACUUAUGAGCUUUUUAUAUUUCUGAUUCUUCAAUGUCUAUUGUGUGUGCUCUCCAACCUGUGGUGACUUUUCGGUUUAUUCAUGUGGCUGUUUCUUAUAGGCCUUUCGACCUCCAGUAUUAAAUAAAAGAUCAUUUUGAGCUUUUUAAUUUUAAUUAUUUUUUAUUUAUAUCUCUUCUAAUAUUAAUAAUAAAUAAUAAAAUAUAUAAAUAAAUAAAUGAUUAUAUACAAUUAAUCUUUUAGGAUGAUAAUUAUUUUAAGAUAGAAAAAUAAUAUAUAUUUAUAUAUUGUUAUGAGAGGUCUUUAGUUAUAUGCAUAAUGCACCCUUGGCCACUUGGGAGUUGGAAUUUCAGUAAUUAUUAUUGUGGUGGGUAAAGCUAUAAACUCGGUUUUGUGUAAGUUCAUUUACUUUCUUGAGGAGUCUAAGGUAGGAAAGAGAAACACCUCUUCCAAUGUAAGAAAGUUUUUUAAAACUGGUAUAUUAGUUUAGUUUCAAUCUAAUGCCUCAAUUUUUUUUUUCUUUUCUCCUUGUAUUUUUUAUUCCUUUUCUUCUUAUCUUUCCUUGUUUGCCCCUUCUCUUCUUUCUCUCUCCUUCUAUCCGCCACCAUAGUGCACCGUCACUUGUAGUUGCUUUGGUGGGACUCUACCACAGAAGAAGCAAGUGGAGCGUUGUUUCCAUUACUUUACGGAAAUUCACUUAAUCACAUUCAAUUGGUUCAUUGAGGAAUGAUUGCGGCGUUGUGUUUUUUCUUUCGUCUUUCUGUGUGAGUCAUUUGAGCGGUGCUGCGAAAGAAGAAAAAACUCCGGCGAGUGCCCACUGGUUGUCUGCGGUGGAGAGAAGGAGUGUUGUGCGGAAGAAAAGAAGAGGGGCAAACAAGGAAAGACAGGAAGAAAGGAAUAAGGAAAGGAGAAAAGGAAAAAAAUUGAACCAUCAGAUCGAUGAAAACUAAACUAAGUGUCAAGGGAAACGAAAAGCAUAAUAGCAUGAGUCAAGUUCAAAAAUUAUACAAAGUUUCACAAAGAAGAUCCAUAUAUGUUUCACAUGCUAGAUUCCUUCGAAUAGAUGGCUAUGGGUGAUAAAUUAUAUAUGAAUUGCAAAAUACAAAAAAUAUGUUGCAACUUGCAAGGGAUGCAUCAGUAACAAUUGUUUAUAAGUAGUACUGCCAUCAGUAUCAACUUUAUCAGUAAAAAAAUAAGUUGCAACUUGCAAGGGAUGCACCACCCACUUACAGCUUAAUUAAUUGUCACCGAUAAAAAAAAUGUUUGAUACACAUCCAAAAUCCCUUUAACAUUUAGAUUGAGAAAAAAAUGAAAAAUAUAUAAAAUGAUAAAAUUUACGAUAUAAUAAAAAAAUAAAAAAGUGUGGAUGCAAUAUUUAAAAUAAAAAAAUAAUUUAUAUAUUAUUACUCAUGGAAAACGAGAACUCAAGAAAACCUCGAACCAUGUACUUGUGAAUCCCACCAAUCCCGAUACAUAGCCAUUAAUAUAAGCCUAAAAGGAAACAUCCAAUUACAAGUUGAAUGUUAAUAUAUGCACAGCCACUUACUGCAUACAAGAAGAUGCAAUAGUAACAAGGACGAUUCCAACUUCUCUAUAUAUUCGCGUAAUAGCUUUGUAGCUUCCCAUGCAUGUGACCCACUAGUUCUAAUCCUAACUGAUACAAUUACACGUAGGAAUAUUCACGAGUUGGUAAGAAUCAAAUCAAAUUUAAGGUAAAAUUAAAUUUACAUUAGUUAUAUUUGAUUAGAUUGAUUUGAUUUAAAUUUUGAUUUUUUUAUCAUUCAAAUUAAUUAAAAAGGGAUUAGUUUAGUUGAGUCAAUCAACUAUAAUUAAAAAUUAAAUUGUAAUAUUUUUAAAGAUUUUUUAUGUUUAUUGUCUAUUUGAUAUAAAUAUUUAAUUUUAUAUUAACGCAAGGUAAGCAUAUUUUUGUUUUCAAUAACAUACUAUUUAUAUUUUCUUUUAAAAUAUUUAAUCAGCAUGUUUGCGGACUACCCACAUAAGCCACUUAAUCUGAAAUCACUUUAAUUUACACUUACACAAAAAUAAUGAAUCAAAGAUAAAUAGAGAACUAAGGCUAAACCUAAUCGGAAAAAUCUGAUUGUUGCCAAACACAAACCCUUACCCUUCCCUAGAUCUGCCCUGGUCAUGCCACCGCCCCUUUUACAGACAACUUAUGCUUCCUCCGACAACCAUCAUGCCCCUUUUACACUUCUUCGUCUUGUUUGUAGGAAAAUAUUGGCGAAGAUAUGCUUCCUCCGACCUGCCCUGUGUGUGAUGACUGCUACUUGUGUUUCUUGUACGACUAUUCCAGCGAUAUCAACAUGCAUGGUUGUUGCUAGUUUGUACGUACAAAAUUUAUGCAUUAAUUAUGUUAUAAAAUUUUAGAUUUUUAGUUAUACGAUAAGUAUUUACGAUUGCCAAUUGUGAGGCAAUCAUUCAAUACAUUAAAAUAGAGCCUUGUGCUUGUAGAUGUAGGCUUAUGAGGUAAAAAUAUGCCCACCUGGGAUAUCCUAAAUGUUUUACGGCAAAAUCAAGAUCUAGAUGUUAUUUGAUGAUCACAUAAAGGUGCAACAGUUUCACAACAUAUCAUGCUUCAAUUCACUGGCUUCAUUCAAUUUGGCAAUCAAUUUUGUGCCCAUCUACUCGUUUCAUCACCAAAGAAGACCCCUAUACCUUAUUUUAUUUAUUUAGGUUACCUAAAAGAAAAUUUCUUUGAAAAGACAUGCAACAACAUCACAACAGAGAAGGUUACAUAAAAUAAGAUGAAAUUAAAUAAAAUUUUAUAAAAUGUAUUGUAUCCCCUUUUUUUUUUUAAAAAAAAAGAUCUUUGAGCUUUUCUUUACUUUAAUAUUGCAUUGGAUGUAAUAGAUCAGACUUUUCUAAUAAAAUGAUAAAUCGUAUAAUUUUAUUUAUAAAAUAAAUUUGUCCAUAUUUUUAAAAAUUGAAUUAUUUUUAUACAUUUCCUUUAAAGUAUCUAUUUCAUUUUGUAAUUCAUGUCAUUAAAGUGUUUGUAUCAAAUUGAUUUGGUAACAUUUUCUUUAAUUAGUUACUCAGUUAAGAUAUUUAUAUUAUUAUUCAAAUUUAUUCAAUAAAUAUUAUAUAUAAUAAUAUAUGUAUAAAUCACAAUUAAAAUAACUUUCUAUCACAUAAAUUAAUUUAAAAAGUUUUCAUAAUUUAAAUUUCAAAUUCUAUUUUUAUAUUUUAAUUAUAUUUAUAUAAAAAAUAAAAUAAUGAGUAAAAUACGUAACAUCCCCUUAAUUUUUGCAAAAUUAUAAAUCUUUUGUAUUUUUUAACAUUUUCACUUUUUUUAGCAACCUCCUUGAUCUAUAGGUUAACAUGGUGUAAUAUCCAAACAAUUAAAGAGAUUUAGUUGAUGAAUAUGGAGUGUUGGUAAUAUUUUUAAAAUAAUUAACACAAUUAGUAUAGGAGUUUAAAAAAAGGAAGAGUGAGCGUAAUUUCACGAAACUUCCGGAUGAUAAGUGUAAUGUACUCGGAAAAAUUAAUCUUCUACCAGUUAAAUAAAACUAUUUUUUUUAUCAUGUAUCUUUUUAAAUUGUAUAUGUGUAAAUAAAAUAUAUGUCACUGUUGAUACUAUCUUACACUUUUUAAUUAUGUUAAAAUAUAAUUUACUAUGCAAGACUGACUUGAUUUUAAAUCAUAUGUCAGACUUAGAAUAAGAGUUCGGACUUAUCUCGUGUAAAUCAUCUUAUUAUCUUUUACGUUUGUUUAGAGAUCAUCUGUCUUUUAUCUUAUUCAGAAUAAUGUAGUUCAUAAUUGAGCAUAUUUAUUUAAAAAUCGAAAGGCUGUAUUAUUGUAUUUUAUUCUAGUAUUUUAACAAGUAUAGAAAAAAUAAUUAAUUGAGCAUAUCGAUCCGUUGAAACUUAAAACCUUUUUACCCGCAUGAAUAUGAUUACAUGAGCCCUAUACAAUAUUGUAAAGUCAUUUACCUUGAGUAGCCAUUGCCGGCCACUUUUUUUACCAGCCAAAGAAUUUUAAUUUGAGAAUGAUUACAAAGUACGUACCCAAUCCUUUUACCAAGUGCAGUCUAGUACCCAAAUAUUUUUCCAGACUUCCACUACUAGAAAAAAUAUAUAUUUUAAAUUGACGGUUAAAACUAAAUUGUCUUAAAAUAUUAAAUAUAACAUGAUAAUAUUUUUGUAAUUAAGACAAGAAAAUUGUUUUUAAUGACAUGUAUUUUAAGACAAUUAUCAUGAGCCGUCUUAGAAUCUGAUUGGGUAACAUUGUUAUAAUUAGAGAGUAUGAAAAUGACGACGAUCAUUAACACAAAAUCAUCUUAAUUUUUUAUUCCUGAAUCUGAAAUCCUAGCUUCAAUUCUCCCAUCUAACUAUCACAGUGUUGUCCCUCCCUCGAACUCUCCCUCUUUAGCUCACCCAGUCUCGAUUGUGCCCUCGAACUCUCCACUAUCCCUCUCUCGAAGUCUCCCUCUAUAGCACACCCACUCUCAAUUGCGUACAUUAUUAACUCUUGCACUGUCCUUCACCCACUGUCCUUCGAGACGUCCCUCUCUCUGGUUGUGUACUCAGCGGCAGUAGAAAGUUUGUCUCCGUGGUGUGGCCCCCCCGUACGUUGUGCGGCCAUCCUCACACAGGUAAAAACCUUAUCUUCUUUGUCACUAUUUUAUUUAUUGAAAGUGAAAUGGACUUCCCCUUAUUCUUGAAAGAACAAUCUGGGAGGGAGGGGGGAGUAGAUAUCUCACAAAAAAUGGAGGUUAAUUUUAUGGAAUACUUUGUUUGAGAUUUUUUUUAUUAAGUUGUAAUAAGAAAUUUAUAUGUUUUUGUUUUGGAAUAGAGUUACCUGGAGUUCUUUGGGUGCUGCUAUAUCAUCCUUUUAGCACUAUUUCAUUUAAUAUUGUUCAACGCAUCAACUAGAAUUUGCUGAGGAUUAUGAACCUGAGCCUAGCUUUGUCUGCAUCUUUUGCCAAGGCAGCCAUCCCCAAAAUUGAGCAAUAUUUGUAUAAACGUUCUUCAUAAUCGUCACCUUAUAGCUCAACUUAGAUGACAACAUUGUCUGGGUUGUCGUUUGAACUCAAUGGAGAUGGAGUUUUCUUUACCAUUUCUAAUAAUUAUGACUCACAUUUGUUUUCUAUGUUUUUUUUUGUCAUAUUUGAUUGGCCAUCUGAAUAUGACUUUAUGCCAUUUUCACACUCUUAGCAGUUAUCACCCACUCUUGGUGAAAGCCUAGAUGAGUCUGAUAUCAUGUCAAGAUAGGAGAAAUGAUUAUUUUCCUCGUUUAUAUUCACAAGUGUUUGUACAUUCUUGACAAGUAAAAUGUGAGUAAAAAAAUGAAAUCAUAAAUUGUAAUAAAUCCUAUAAUUAUAAUUACAGUAACUAUGAAAGAAAAAAUCUGUCAUAUCCAAGCACUUGGGAAACCCACCCUUAAAACUUAGCUGCUAAUUAAGUAGGGAAAGCCAAGCCACUUAAAUACUGCACUGAACAUCCCAUAAUACCUUGAGAGCCUUAUAUAAAAAAGUAAAAGUAGGUUUCUUUAUAGGAUUUAUUACAAUUUAUGAUGCAAUAAGAAUUUUCUUCAUUAUCUAAUGAACUAAGGUGAGUGGUGACUAUCACAUAUUCUACUUUGAGAGCCUUAUAUAAAAUUUAGCUAUUAACAACGAAGAAUUGACCACUAGUAUGAAAGCAUUGUCGUGUCACUCUUUUUCAAAUAAUGCCUACCCAAACAAAAAAACACACUCUCUUCCAAUAGGAUUCUUUUUAUUUAAUACAAUAUAUACAGAAUUUUAAAAUUAUUUAAAUGUAGGAAACAAUAACAUUAACAACAAGAUAGGAUAUCUUAAAGAAAAAAGCUGAUAGGUUGAAAUAUCAACUCAUAUCAUGACCCAAUCCACACUCAGACUGUACCGCCAUACGCGUAGUUAAUAAUGUAAUUUACACCUCACUCUUAUGUCGUCAGCUAUUUGCCUCAGCUUAUACGUCAUCAACACUCUUUCCAUUUUAAGUGUUUCAUUUUUACUUUUAAUUUCCCUAACGAUUUGUUUGACGGAAAAGAAAGUAGAAAAAAGAAGAAGAAGAAAGAAAACAUAACUUAUCAAAUAUUUUUUUAUUGAAAAGAAAAUAUAAGAAUAAAUUAAAUGCCAAAGAACCAAAAGAAAACAAUUUAUCAAAUAUUUUUUUUAUUGAAAAGAAAACAUAACUUGUCAAAUAUAAACGAUGAAAAUAUUUUUUUUUAAACUUAAUAUUCCUAAAAGUAAAAUAAAAAAAUACAAAGAACCAAAAGUAAUAUAUAUCCGGAGGCCUAAAUGCCAAAAACAAUCACACAACUAAAACGAAAAGGCACCGUAUGGAUGGGGCAACACAUUCAACAAUUAAUGAUACUCCAAAUUAAAUGAGUAAAUUUAUAAAUGUACAAUCCAUUUUUGUGUGGAUUAGGCGAGGGAAUUAAGAGAGAUGUGAUAUCAUAAGAAAUAUAGAUAUUAAAAAAAUAUAAGAUGAAAGAGUAUGAGUUCUAAGUAGGAUGUAUGUUUAUAAUAAUAAAAUCCAUAACAUCCAAGCUUGAGUGAAACAUAAGACUUAGACUUGGUGUAUAUUUGAAUUAAAGUUGACGAUUUUAAUAUUAUAGUAGUUUUAUUGUAUAAGUUCAAGAAGGACUUUGGUCUUGCUUUUUUGGAAAUUUGAUUUCGAAUAUAAGUGUGUAAACAUACUCUUAAAGAUAACUAAAUAUAUCAUGUGAAAUAAAAAUGAGUUUAUGCUCCAAACCGAGUUUGAAACACCAAAAUAAAAUCCAAACAUGUUGAUAUCGAUGUUCUUAAUAAUCUAAUGCAAAAGAAGCAAAUCCAAGACACAAAAUGAUAACUAAAAGCAUUCCCCAAAUCCCACCAUGGCCAAAGUUGCCAUUAGUAUAAUGUGGCAGCAUGUUGUGCUUAUUAUAAGGGUACUGUUGAGGUAAGUGACGUUGUACUAGAAAUUCAUGUCGAGGACAACACAUCGUGGUAGGACCUACAGAUGGGGUGACAACACAUCUUUAGCAGGACAAUUAAAGAACAGUCGAUGAAGAAAAAUUGAAUAAAAAACAAAAAAGAAUCACCAAUUCGAAACAAAUAGUAUAGCACUGCACUACUAACUGACCCCAUCAACCGCAAGUGGCAAAUGACUCCAAGCCCAAAACGCAGCGAGCAAAACAAAACCACCAGUCCCCCACUAGCUAUAUAUGCAAGUUUACAAAAAGAGACAACAGAUCAUCAACAAAUGGAUGAAAAGUAUAAUAGUAUAUUUAUGAAUCACGAUUAAAAUAUAUUUCUAUUAAUUAAUUAAUUUUAAAACUUUCAUAAAGAAAGAUAUGUUAUUUUAAUUAAUUUGUAUCAAGAUUAUUAAAAUCAAGAGUACUUGUGAUAAAAUUUCAUAACAGUCCAUUUAAUAUAAAAAUAAUAUAUAUUUAUAUAUAUAUAUAUAUAUAGUAUAAUAUUUUAACAAUAUAAUAAAGUAAAAUAAUAAAUUUUAAAUUUUAAAAUACUAAAAUAAUAAAUCAUAAAUUUUAAAAUGAUAACUUACUAAUGUUAUAAUAGUAAUAGAUCAUUCUCAUCUUGAAUUUGAUAUUAUUAAAAAAUAAUAAAAAUAUAUUAAACACUAAACAAACAUAAAAUAAUCUAAAUGAUUUAUUGUUGUUAUUAUGAAUAAUUAUCAAUAAAAAAUAAAAAAUAUGAAUGUUAUAUUUUAUCUUCUUAGCUUUAAUGGUAGUUUUAUGCAGUUUUAGAAUAACCUAAUUAACUUUUAACCCUCUUACAAUUGAAAAUAUGAUUCUUAUUUCCUAAUUUGGCCCAGCUAUGUGAACAUCCCUUGGCAGUCCAGUCCUACUGGGUGUUAUCUUUGUAUUUAAAGAUCAUUGUUGUUAUAAACUAUUAUCGAUGAAAAAUAUGAUUGUUAUCUUUUAUCUUCUUUUUAGCUUUAAUGGUAGUUUUAGAGUAACCUAAUUUUUAAGGCUCUAACAAUUGAGAAAUAGCAAUAUAUAGAGGAAGAAGAGGGUUAACUUGCAAACAAUAUCACUUGCAUUCAAUUCCACGAGCUUCCUCUCCAUCUAUCCGUCGUCGAAUGCAGUUUUUCUCUUCCAAGAGGGAGGCGGCAAAAGCCUUAAUAAAAUAUUUUAUUCUAAUCUGAUAAUUGAGAUGGAUCAUUUAUCUUAUACAAAAAUAUGAGAAUGAGAAUAAUCAAAUAUCAAAUAUCAAAUUUAUCACUGUUUUAUGGUUGAUUUUGUCACAACUAUCAUCCUAAUUACAAAAAUGAUCAUCUCAACUUUCAAUGUAGAUUAAAUUUUUAAAAUAUUUAAUUUUUUUGUUUUGUAUAUAAAUUUUAUAAUCAAAGAAAUUUUAAUUUGAAUUUAAAAUAUUUUCAUUUUAAUUCAACGAUGAGAAUGAUCUUUCUCACGUGAGAGAAUCAUCUCAUAUAAAAUAUUUUAUAUAUAUAUGGAGCUUAAAUUUAUUAUAUGUAUCUAAUAAACUAUUAUUUUUGUUUUUUAGGUCUUUAAAUAUUUUUUUUAUAUUUGAUCAAUUAUAUACUAAAGUUUUUGUUUUCAAUUUCUCUCUAUUGUUGAAAAGGUGUCACGUAAAAAAAAUGAUAUAUAUUAAUCCGAUGGAACUAAUAAAGUAUUAAGAAGCUAAAAUAAAAAUGUAUUAUUUUAAAGAUUAUUUAAAAGAAAGAAUAAAGCUCAAACCAUGAAUAUGAUGUUUUACGAAUUAACAAUACUAAUUAAGAAAAAGAAGCUAUAAUUGCCGGAUUGUGCCCGCAAUGAUUGUGAUAGUAUAUUGAUAUAUUUUGGUGAAAAGGUAAAGAAUAAGCAGUUGUGGGUUGUGAGUUGAUUUAGUUUGCGUUGGUGAGGCAAAUUUCUCCAUUUGGGAUACUUUUAAAAAGUAUUUCCCCAGAUGGGGUUCUUUUGCUUUUAUUUUUGGCAGGGGGCACUUUUUUACGUGAACAGUGUGUCAUGCAGGACCCAAACCGUCAUUGGCAAUGGCGAGUUUGGUGUCACUGAGCAAGUCGCUUAUGGCACUGGCGAUAUGUGCCUAAACCGCCAUUAGAGCUGGCGAUUUGUACAAGCCAUAGGGAACCGCCAGUCAAACUGGCGAGUUCCAUGGUCUGACGCUGCAGCUACGCCUUUUCCAGUUGCAAGGUUGCAGGAGGUGACAGAGGUUGCAGGAGCUUUAAAGGGGAGUUGCAACUGCCAUUGGCGAGUUGCCUGGAAGUUGCAACUCCCAUUGGCGAUUUAGGGCACAAAAAAUAGCCAUCACCGGUGGCGAUUUUAUGCUUAUAAAUACGUUUCAACUGUAUGUUUUCUGAAUGCACAAGGAGUAACAGAAAUAGCUUAGACGAAGGAGUAACAGAAAUAGCUUAGACGAAGAAAGGCUUUGAGUUUUCUGAAUGCACAAAGGAGUUUUGAGUUUUUUGAGUGUUUAGGGUAUAGUUUUUGAGUUUUCUGAGUGCUUAAAUUUAUGUCAGUGCAGGCUUUGAGUUUUGAGUUUUAGAAUGUAUAGUUUUUAGUAAUUCUUUAAUUAAAUUAGUUUUAUAUUUUUAUUUCGUAAUGUCCUGUAAAAUAAUUUGUAUUAUUAUGUUUUUAAAGUAAUUUUUUGUAGCAGUUUCAAUGUAUAGUUUUUAUGAAAUUUUUAAUUAAAUUAGUUUUAUAUUUUAUAUGAUUGUUUCUGUGUAAAAAUAGAAGAAAUUUGUCAUCAUAUUUUUAAUUGGUUUGAAAUUUGGUUCUUGAGGGUUAAAUUUGUGAAUGAGGUUCCUAAAUUUUUUAGACUAGUUUGAAUUUAUAGUUGUUAAUAAUUUUUUAAUUAAAUUAGUUUUAUAUUUUAUAUCCUUUUUUAUGUGUAUCAAAUAAAAGAAAUAUGUCAUGAUAUUUAUUUAAAGAAAAAUUUUUAGUCAUGAAAAUUUUUUGUAAAUAUGAAAUUUUUAGUAUAUUUUUAAUUAGAUUAGGUUGGUGUUGAUAGUUUGUUAAAAAUAACAUGUUCUUAUAUAUAUUAAAAAAAAUUGUAAUUGAUAAUACGUUCCUUUUUUGGAAGUCAAAAUAAUACGUUCCUUUUUCGAAAUUAAUAAUUUGUGUUAUAAUUUUAUGUAAGUAAUUAUUUAUAACAGUUUGAAUGUAUAGUUUUUAUUAAUUUUAUAAUUAAAUUAGAUUUAUAGUUUAUUUUGUAGUUUCCCGUAAAAUAAUUUAUAUGAUAAUUUUUUUAAGUAAUCUUUAAUUAGAAGUAGAUUUUUGCUUUAAAGUAAUUUUUUUUAAGUAAUUUUUUUAUUUAUUAGUUUGCAGUAAAAUAAUUUGUAUCAUAAUUUUCUUGUAGUUAUUUUUAAUUAAAACUAGAUUUCAGCUUGAAGAAUUUUUUUUUAAGUAAUUUUUUUUUAUUUCUUAGUUUCUAGUAAAAUAAUUUGUAUUUGUAUUAUAAUUUUUUAAAGUAAUUUUUAAUUAAAACUAGAUUUCAGCUUUCAAGUUAUUUUUUGUAAGUAAUUUUUUUUAUUUGUUAGUUUCCAGUAAAAUAAUUUGUAUGUUAAUUUUUUUAAGUAAUUUUUAAUUAAAAGUGAAUUUAAGCUUUCAAGUAAUUUUUUUAUUUCUUAGUUUCCAGUAAAAUAAUUUGUAUGAUAAUUUGUUUGAAGUAAAUGUUUAAAUAAAAGUAGAUUUCAGCUUUAAGGUAAAUUUUUUGAAGAUUUUUUUUUAUUUCUUAGUUUGCAGUAAAAUAAUUUGUAUCAUAAUUUUUUUAAGUAAUUUUUAAUUAAAACUACAUUUGAGUUUUCAAGUAAUUUUUUUUAUUUGUUAGUUUGCAGUAAAAUAAUUUGUAUUAUAAGUUUUUUAUGUAAUUUUUAAUUAAAAUUAGAUUUCAAGAAGUAAAUUUUUUUAAGUAAUUUUUUUUAUUUGUUAGUUUGCAGUAAAAUAAUUUGUAUUAUAAAUUUUUUAAGUAAUUUUUAAUUAAAACUAGAUUUCAACUUUGAAGUAAAUUUAUUUAAGUAAUUUUUUUAUUUCUUAGUUUGGAGUAAAAUAAUUUGUAUUAUCAUUUUUUUAUUUCUUACAUUUUACUAUUUUGAAUUUGUUAUGAAUAAUUAAUUAAAAUAUUGUUUUUGUAGGUACAUGAUGAAUUCAGUUAUAACAGUAUUGUAUUUCAAUGGAAGGGUAUAUGAAGAUAAUGAUGAUGUAAUAUUUGAAGGCAGCAAAAAAGCGAUUCAGAUUAAACGUGGAAUUAGUUUCAAUGCUUUGAAGAAAAAAAUUGGAGACAAGGUAAAGUUAGAAAAUAAUGAAAUUAUUUCUGCUAUCAGUUGUAGAUUUUUAGUGUUAGGAAAAUAUAUUGCCUUGCAAAUUUGCGAUGAUGAAGACGUUGAAACGAUGCUGGAAAGUUUUAAACAACAACAAGAAAUGUCAGUUCUAGAAUUGUACAUAGAAAAGGAUGUGGCUGGUGGUUCAAUGUUUCAUUCUGCAAACUCCCUUACAUCAUGUGGAAUUAUGUAUCUAAUNNNNNNNNNNNNNNNNNNNNNNNNNNNNNNNNNNNNNNNNNNNNNNNNNNNNNNNNNNNNNNNNNNNNNNNNNNNNNNNNNNNNNNNNNNNNNNNNNNNNNNNNNNNNNNNNNNNNNNNNNNNNNNNNNNNNNNNNNNNNNNNNNNNNNNNNNNNNNNNNNNNNNNNNNNNNNNNNNNNNNNNNNNNNNNNNNNNNNNNNNNNNNNNNNNNNNNNNNNNNNNNNNNNNNNNNNNNNNNNNNNNNNNNNNNNNNNNNNNNNNNNNNNNNNNNNNNNNNNNNNNNNNNNNNNNNNNNNNNNNNNNNNNNNNNNNNNNNNNNNNNNNNNNNNNNNNNNNNNNNNNNNNNNNNNNNNNNNNNNNNNNNNNNNNNNNNNNNNNNNNNNNNNNNNNNNNNNNNNNNNNNNNNNNNNNNNNNNNNNNNNNNNNNNNNNNNNNNNNNNNNNNNNNNNNNNNNNNNNNNNNNNNNNNNNNNNNNNNNNNNNNNNNNNNNNNNNNNNNNNNNNNNNNNNNNNNNNNNNNNNNNNNNNNNNNNNNNNNNNNNNNNNNNNNNNNNNNNNNNNNNNNNNNNNNNNNNNNNNNNNNNNNNNNNNNNNNNNNNNNNNNNNNNNNNNNNNNNNNNNNNNNNNNNNNNNNNNNNNNNNNNNNNNNNNNNNNNNNNNNNNNNNNNNNNNNNNNNNNNNNNNNNNNNNNNNNNNNNNNNNNNNNNNNNNNNNNNNNNNNNNNNNNNNNNNNNNNNNNNNNNNNNNNNNNNNNNNNNNNNNNNNNNNNNNNNNNNNNNNNNNNNNNNNNNNNNNNNUUAUUGACAGGCAUGAUCAGAGAAGAUCCAUCGAUAAAAUUUCAUUGAUUCAAGAGAGGAUUAACAGUCAAUUUGCGUACAAGGUGUCGUACAAAAAAGCUUGGUUGCCGAAACAGAAAGCCAUUGCUAUUGAAUAUGGUGAUUGGGAUGAGUCAUAUGCGAAACUUUCGUCGUGGCUAACACACAUGCAAAAUCAUUCUCCUGGAUCGUAUUUUCAAAUACUACAUGACGAUUUUAUCGUUGGAAAUACGGUUAGUCGCGAACACCGCCAAUUUCAUAGAGUUUUCUGGACUUUUGGCCAAUGUAAAGAGGCUUUCAAGUACUGUAAGCCAAUCAUACAAGUUGACGGCACACAUUUGUACGGCAAAUACCGUGGGACCCUCUUAAUGGCCACAUCACAAGAUGGAAAUGGUGGCGUCCUUCCUCUAGCAUUCGCGGUGGUUGAAGGUGAGACGUUGACAGCGUGGUCAUGGUUUUUGGCACACUUGCGUGAACACUUCACUGAUAAAAAUGUUAUUUGUCUCAUAUCUGAUCGACACGCGAGUAUAAAGUCCGCUGUCGCUAACGAAGCACUUGGUUGGCAACCUCCCCACGGUUAUCAUGUCUACUGUGUGCGACACAUAGCAAGCAACUUCAAUCGAAAAUUCAAUAAUGCCAAACAAAAAGAAAUGUUGAAGAAAUUGGGUAAGAUUUCAUAUUUGAUGGUCACGUUUAUUUUACUUUCAUUUAUACUUAAAAUUGUUAUUCAUAACUAAUUUUAUGCAGCCUACACUCCAUGCAAGCACAUUUUUUAUCAAAAUUUAGAAAAAUUUCGUGAACUGAGUCCAGCCAUAGCAACAUGGAUUGAUCGCAUCUCAAAGGAAAAAUGGACGAUGGCUUACGAUAGAGAAGGACGUCGAUAUGGCCACAUGACAACGAACCUCUCAGAAUGUAUCAAUAAGGUUUUAAAGGAUUGUCGCAACAUUCCCAUAACAACAUUGGUGAAAUCAACGUACAGUAGGUGUCGAAAGUACUUUGUUGAGCGUGGCCGCCAAGCCCAAAGACAGUUAAAUGAAGGCCAAGUAUAUUGUUCAAAGCUUGUUAAAGAACUGAGGAAAAAUCAAGAACAAGCUUGUACGCACAUCGUUCGCGUGUAUGAUAUCCACUCCACAAGGUUUGAAGUAGAGGAGAGCUUCAACCCUAUAACGCAACGUGGCGGACAAAAGUGGGCAGUAAACUUGAAUGAUCGUCAUUGUCAAUGCGGAAGGUAUUCUGCGCUUCACUAUCCAUGUUCACACAUUAUUGCAGCUUGUGGUUACGUGAGCAUGAACUACUACCAAUAUAUAGAUGUUGUUUAUACAAACGAGCACAUCUUAAAAGCUUACUCCGCACAAUGGUGGCCUCUUGGGAAUGAAGCGGCUAUUCCUCCUUCUGAUGACGCAUGGACACUUAUCCCCAACCCAACUACAAUUCGUGCGAAAGGUCGGCCAAAAUCAACAAGGAUAAGAAAUGAGAUGGAUUGGGUCGAACCAUCUGAGCACCGAACAAAAUGUAGUAGAUGUGGAGCUGAAGGGCAUAACAGGCGUCGCUGUCCAAUGCAAUCUGAGCGUGGGAGUUGUUCAAAUCGUUGAUUUAUGUAUGUUAGUUGAGUGACUUGUAUUUGUUUACGUUUUGUUCAAUGUAUUGAAUUUCUGGGGUUCAAUGAAUUCGGUACUUAAAAACAUUUUGCCUUUUGUACAUGACUUAUUUGUGGGGUUCAAUGAAUUCGUUAGUUAAAACCAUAAACAUAAACCGUAAACCUAAACCACUAACCUCUAACCCUAAACCCAAACCCCUAACCUCUAACCCUAAACCCCAAUUUUUGAUUACUACCAUUACUAACCCAUAACCCCUAACCCUAACUCAUAACCCUAACCCUAACUCAUAAAACUAACCCAUAACCCCUAAACCUAACUAGUAAACCCUAAGUAGUAAACAUAACUCAUAAUCCCUAAACAUAACACAUAAACCCUAACCCAAACUCAUAGCCCUAACCAUAACUCAUAAAACUAACCCAUAACCCCUAAACCUAACUAGUAAACCCUAAGUAGUAAACAUAACUCAAACCCUAAACAUAACACAUNNNNNNNNNNNNNNNNNNNNNNNNNNNNNNNNNNNNNNNNNNNNNNNNNNNNNNNNNNNNNNNNNNNNNNNNNNNNNNNNNNNNNNNNNNNNNNNNNNNNUAACUCAUAAACUCUAACCCUAACUAGUAAACCCUAAAAUUAACUCAUAAACCUAACCAUAACUUAUAAACCUAAGUAAUAAACCCUAAACUUAACUCAUAAGCCUAACCCUAACCUAUAACCCCAACCCUAACUCAUAAGACAACCCCAUAAUCCUAAAACCUAACUCAUAAACACUAAGUCAUAAACCUAACUAAUCCUACAAAUAACUUAUAAACCCUAACCCAAACUGAUAACCCUAACCCUAACUCAAAACCUUAAACCUAACCCUAAACCCUAACACCAACUAAUAACCAUGGCCCUACCUCAUAACCCUAACUCUACCUCAUAACCCCUAAGUCCUAAAACUAACUCAUAAACCCUAACCCUAACUUUAUAUUUGUCAACUUUAAUUUUGCUAUAUGACUAUAUUUAUUAUUGUAGUUUGAUGCGCGACAUAAAAGUAGUCAUUAUGGUGUCCGUGAUGGUGAUUCAAUAACAAAUGGUGAUAAAAAACACAAAUUCCAUAACAAGUACAAUGAGAUACCAUAAAUUAAGUUUGAAAUUCAAAUUACAGACAUACAAAACAAAUUUGAAAUAGAGACAUCAAAAUCAGUCAUCAUGGGGUCCGUGAUGGCGCGAGGAUGUGCCACAUGGUCGAUCCCACCUUCGGGCUUGACGAUCCGGAUUUCUUCUUGCGCGCUGUCUCCGCCCUUGNNNNNNNNNNNNNNNNNNNNNNNNNNNNNNNNNNNNNNNNNNNNNNNNNNNNNNNNNNNNNNNNNNNNNNNNNNNNNNNNNNNNNNNNNNNNNNNNNNNNNNNNNNNNNNNNNNCAUUGGGGCAUCAUGUUGCUGCGAAGGGGUCAUGGUCGGCCAUGAAAAAUGAGGUUGUGUUUCCGCAACACCACCAAACGAAUGUUCGCUUGCAGACAUAUCAGUGCCAUGGCCUUCGAAAGGAUACUGAUACAUCUGCGAAGGAUACUGAGCAAAUGUUGGUGGCGUGUAAUACAUUCCAUGGCCACGCUGCUCCAUAUUUUGGGAAAAAUCUUCCGCUUGAACAAUCUCCCUUCGUCUGUCAAAACCUCGAGUUUCAACACUUGACUGAAGCAUGUGAAACUGUUGUGGGGGAAAUCGACGCUCUGAUGCUGGACCAUGUGCCACAGGCUCAGUGAUCCUCUCUUGCUCUUGGGAUAAAAUCGCUAACUUUUCCACGUAUGGCACGAGAUCAUCAACUGUCCAUGUGUUUCGCCCUUGUGGUGACACCAUAUACUGCAAUGUCUCGGUAACUUCACCCUGCAAUUAUUAGGGUAUGGAAAUUAAUGUCGAUGCUUUAAAAAGUUAAUUGAAGUUAAAUAAUUAAAAAAGAAAUAAAUACCAAUGUAGCCGUGUUUGCAUUGUUUGGGUCGAUAAACAUUUUUGUUUUGCUCCUAUACCACACCAUGUAAUCCGAGUUAAAACUCAAUAGGCCCUCUUGUCGAGCAUAAACGUCGACCCUAAACUCAGCUCGAUUAUUCCACUGACUGAUAAAUGGGGCCAACAGCUGGAACCAAUUUUCAUCCAUUUUGCCUUUCAGUGUUAGCCCGUGGACAUUCCAUGGUUGCGAAGGAGACUCCGGAAUAGGUUGUUGCAUUCCAAAUUGUCGCAACACUCUAUCCGGUUGGUGCCACUUUACAACAUGGAAACAAAUGAGUGGCACCACUGCGCACCACGCCAUACUGCCAAACCAAACAAAUGGGAGGCAAGAUCGACAUAAACAGUUGCUGUGUAAGGCUCCCACAGAAACUGCAUACAAUAACACAACUGUAAUUUUAUCUUAAACCAUGACAUUUUAUUUAUUAUUUAACAAAUACAUGAUGAUCUUCUUACCUCAUGUCGUUUCAUGAUAUCCAAUUUGCGACGGAAAACUAUUAGAUCAUCAUUGCCAAUAUGUUGGUUUCCACGUCGCAGCCACCUACAAAAAAAUAUGAAAUAAUUAGUGCCGAUGCAUUACAUUAUUAAUUAUUUUCAAAUGAAUUUUUUUAAAAAAAAAGUAACCUGUGUCCGAGUGGUUUGUUUUCCAUUAUAGGAGGAGUUCUCUUUGGAGCCAAAGUCGUGCAGCGUUCCCAUGCCCACAUUUGGAUUAAGAUGCACAUACCUCCGAUUGAUUUUAUUUUGUAAUCGGUGGCGCUGCACAUCUCUCUGUAUAAAUAAGCAAGCACGACAGGUCCCCAUGCAUACGUGCUGCACUGUUCAAAGUUCCGUAAAAAUUGUAGAUACCUUAGGGAAACUUUACUUCUACUUUUGUCAACAAAUAGAACUCCUCCUAUGAAUCUGAGGAUCCAUGCACGGGAAAACCUUUGUAAUUGUUCUACACUACCGUCAUGGAUAUUAAUUUCUGAAAAAUGGUGAGCCAGCCAACUUAAUUUGACCACACCGCCUUGAAGUUCACCUUCCUGUGGUCUGACUCCCAAUAAUUCUUCACACAAUUCAGCCCAAUCAAGAUUAGUCUGACCAAUUAAUGGUGCCCCUUUAGUAUGAAGACCUAACAAGACUGAUACAUCUUGAAGAGUAAUCGUAGCCUCUCCGCAUCUCAAGUGAAACGUGUGUGUCUCGGGCCUCCAUCUUUCAAUCAAGGUUGUAAUUAAUGAAGAAUUAAUUUUCAGGUACCCCAUUUUCAUUAUCCAAUAGAAUCUUGAUUGGCGAAGCAGAGAAAUAAUUUUCUCUGGUAUUUCUUCUUGUCCUUGAUACAUGGGUACAGCUCGUCUGAUAUGUAGUUUUCUGUCUACUUCCCCAUUCCAAACAUGUUCGGAAACAUGUUUAGGUUGCAGCCAUAAGACGUCUCCUUCUAUUGGACCAGACUUAAUGUGUAUACUAGAUGAAGAUGAUGACAAAGAUGCCAUUGAUGCUGUAAAGUUAAAUAUAAUACAAAAAAUUGACAACAAAAAUUUUACAUUAAAAAAAUUAACAAAUUUAAUAGGUACACAAAUUUAAAUAAAUGUUCUAAAAUACUCUACAAAUAACAAAAUUGCAAAUUUAAUAGCUACACAAAUUAAAAUAAAUUACCAAAUUAAAAUACAUAGAUUUGUUACACGUACAAAAAUUUAACACAAAAAAACAUAAAAUAUUACCUAAAAUAGUCUACAAAUAAAAAAAUUCAAAAUUACAUACCUACACAAAUUUAAAUAAAUUACCAAAUUCAAAUACAUAACAAAAUUAAAAAUUUAAACACCUACAUCAAUUUUAUACAAAUAAACUUAAAAUACUACCUAAAAUAGUCUACAAAUAAUAAAAUUACAAAUUAAAUAACUACAAAAAUUUAAAUAAAUGACCAAAUUAAAAUACAUAACAAAAUUAAAAAUUUAAACAUGUACAUAAAUUGUAUACAAAUAAACUUAAAAUACUACCUAAAAUAGUCUACAAAUAAAAAAUUUAAAAAUUAAAUAGCUACAAAAAUUUAAAUAAAUGACCAAAUUAAAAUACAUAACAAAAUUAAAAAUUUAAACACAUACAUAAAUUGUACACAAAUAAACUUAAAAUACUACCUAAAAUAGUCUACAAAUAACAAAAUUAAAAAUUAAAUAGCUACAAAUAUUUAAAUAAAUGAUAAAAUUAAAAUACAUAACAAAAUUAAAAAUUUAAACACGUACAUAAAUUGUACACAAAUAAACUUAAAAUACUACCUAAAAUAGUCUACAAAUAACAAAAUUAAAAAUUAAAUAGCUACAAAAAUUUAAAUAAAUGACCAAAUUAAAAUACAUAAUAAAAUUAAAAAUUGUUACACGUACAUAAAUUUUACACAAUAAAACUUAAUUUACUAACUAAAAUACUCUAUACAUAACAAAAUUAAAUAUUAAAAUACGUACAUAAAUUUAAUUAAAUGAUCAUAUUUUUUUUCCAAUUAUUAAAAUUUAAAUUAAAUAACAAAUUUUAUACACAAAAAAAUGGUAUUAAUUCAAAAAAAUUUCAUGGAAUAAAAAAUUUAAAGAACGUAUUUUAAUAUAUAUAUAUAUAUAUAUAUAUAUAUAUAUAUAAUUAAUAAAAUAUCAUAUAUUUCAAUAAAAACUAUAAAUAAGUUAAUUAAAUAAUAUUCACAUUCUAACUGAACCUAAAAUAUCAUAUAUAAAAUACAAAUAAUAUCAUACAAACCUAAUAAAUCUAAACCAAAUAAUAAUAACAUAAUAACUAAAAUUAACCUACAAAAAAUUUUAUCACAAAUAAUAACAUACAAAUUUAAAAAAUCUUAACAAAAUCAUAUUCAUCAAUUCACUACAACUAACGUACAAAUCAUAAUAUACCAACUCAAAUUUGUAACAUAACUAACCUAACAUAUAUCUAUAUAUAUAACGUGUAAAUCAUAAGAACCUAACUUAAAUCAUAAUAUAUCACUACAAUUAAAGAAAAUAAUAAAUAUCAAUUUAACUAUAACUAACCUAACAUAUAUCUAUAUAUAUAACACAACUAAUAACAUAUUAUUUUUAAAACCUAACUUAAAUAAUAUUAACCUACCAACUAGAGUUACCAAGUUAAGAAAGAACCACUUACCAAGUACAGAGAAGUCACGCGCAAUAUGAAGAGGAGAAGAUACAAACCACAGCCCUACAAACAUUAAUAAAAAUGAAGAACGCAGUAAAUAUUUAUAUAUAUAUAUAUAUAUAUAUAUAUAUAUAUAUAUAUAUAUAUAUAUAUAUAUAUAUAUAUAUAUAUAUAGUAAAUAUUUAGCAUUCAAAAAUACUUACCAAAAACAAAAAACAGCAACAAAAUGAAGAACACGGGAGAAACUUAUGAAGAACAAGCAAAGAAGGAAGUGCAGCUGUGCUCUCUCGGAGAUCCAGGUUUUAUAAUGGAAGAAGCAGUAACGAAGGCAACCCGCUAGCCAUGCUGGCGAUCCGUGUGUGUCGCAAAUCGCCAUUACCAUUUGCGAUUUGGCCACUGACGCGCUCUGCUUCACUGCUGCACUGCCAUGGCAGGAACUAGGCUCAGCUAUUGGAACUCGCCAGUUUGACUGGCGGUUCCCUAUGGCAUGUACAAAUCGCUAGCUCCAAUGGCGGUUUAGGCACGUAUCGCCAGUGCCACAAGCGACUUGCUCAGUGACACCAAACUCGCCAUUGCCAAUGGCAGUUUGGGUCCUGCAUGGCACACUGUUCAUGUAAAAAAGUGCCCCCUGCCGGAAAUAAAAGCAAAAGAAUCCCAUCUGGGGAAAUACUUUUUAAAAGUAUCCCAGAUGGGGAAAUUUGCCGCGUUGGUGAUGCCAGCCAAAUUGAUGCGUCAAAGUGACAAAGAAAGAGGGAGUGAUGACGGAUGAUGUUGGAAGUCACGCCAAACUCAGACACAAAUAUUUUAUUUUUUUUAUUUGACUUUUCCUGGUAUCUGAUUUUAUAAUAUUUUUGUGUUAAUAUUUAAUGAUAAUAUUUAAUUUUAAAAAAUAUAAAAAUUAUAUAAUUUUAAAGGAACCAAAACAUGAAAGGGAAGCCAAAUCCCUUUUGUUUGGGCUAAUAAAACCGUUUUCUUUGAGUAUGUGUUAUAGAUAUAAUAAACUGAGACAGCAAUGAUUGAUUUUGGAAAGUAUAACUUGCGGGUGGACCGAGUAUGUGUUAACUUGCUGGUUUUAUAGAGUUAAUAUAAUAUUUAAGAUAUAAUAAAGUAUAAUCAGCAUUUAUGGUAUAAACCUAGUCAGAAUCACUUUUGUUCUCGUCAUGCAGUAGCAUACCUUUAGGCCUUCUAAUAAAAUGGUAAAUAUUAUUUUAUCCGUAUAUAAUACAUUCGUGGUUGGAGGUAGACACAAAUAUUUUAUUUUUUUAUUUGACUUUUCCUGGUAUCUGAUUUUAUAAUAUUUUUGUGUUAAUAUUUAAUAAUAAUAUUUAAUUUUAAAAAAUAUAAAAAUUAUAUAAUUUUAAAGGAACCAAAACAUGAAAGGGAAGCCAAAUCCCUUUUGUUUGGGCUAAUAAAACCGUUUUCUUUGAGUAUGUGUUAUAGACAUAUUUUUCCCAUAAUUUCUUACAAAAAUAAAUCACUCAAUAAGUGUUUGCACCCAAGUACUCAACCUAUUUAUAUUUAGCACUCAAUAAAGAUUUAUCUUUUUUAUCUUCAUCUUUAUCUUUUAUCUUUCUUAUCUUUUAAUUUCCUUAUUUUAUUUUUUAUUUUUUAUCUUCAUCAUUUUUAAUUUAAAUCUUUUAUAUUUUUUAUCUUUUAUUUUUAUCUCUAAAUCUUUUAUCUUUUUUUUUAAAAUCUUCAUCUUAUCUCCAAUCUUUCUUUGUUAGUUAUUUUAAAUUUUUUAUCUCUUAUUAAUAAUUUGAAUUUAUAUUUAUUUAAAUAAAAACAUAAUCUUUAACAUUCAAAUUUCUGAGUAUCAAAUUUGAUCCAUUUUUUAAUGAGUUAACAAUCCACUCAUACAUUAUAAUUAUUCAAUUAUUCCCUUAAAAUUUAGCUAUUAACAACGAAGAAUUGGCUACUAGUAUGAAAGCAUUGUCGUGUCACUCUUUUUCAAAUAAGGCCUACCCAAACAAAAAAACACACUCUCUUCCAAUAGGAUUCUUUUUAUUUAAUAAAAUAUAUACAGAAUUUUAAAAUCAUUUAAAUGUAGGAAACAAUAACAUUAACAUUAACAACAAGACAGGAUAUCUUAAAGAAAAAAGCUGAUAGGUUGAAAUAUGAACUGAUAUCAUGACCCAAUCCACACUCAGACUGUACGGCCGUAGGCGUAGUUAAUAAUGUAAUUUAGACCUCACUCUUAUGCCGUCAGCUAUUUGCCUCAGCUUAUACGUCAUCAACUCUCUUUCCAUUUUAACUGUUUCAUUUUUACUUUUAAUUUCCCUAACGAUUUGUUUGACGGAAAAGAAAGUAGAAAAAAGAAGAAGAAAGAAAACAUAACUUAUCAAAUAUUUUUUUAUUGAAAAGAAAAUAUAAGAAUAAAUUAACUUCUAAAAACAAAAAUUUAAUUUUUUUUGUUUUUUUUUCUAUUUAAAUUUUAAAAUUUUCUUUCCUUCCUUAUUUUCCUCCAAUCUAAUUAAAUAUACCAUAAAAAUAUAAACUCCAAACCACAUAUUGAUAAAGACAAUCCGCAAUCCAGGUUUAAUUUAUUGAUAUCUGGGUCUUAAAAUAAGGGUUAAGAAGUGAAAAAAGAAAAUGAAACUGUUCUUUAAAAUUAUAACAUUAGAUAUAUAGAGAACGUUAAAUAUUAAGUUUUUAAUAAUUUUAAACAAUAAAUAUAAAAUAAUAUAAAAACAUAUAUAAUUACUUGAAGUAUGUUCAUUAUAUAUUUUUUAAAUAAUUUUACUUUUUAUAUUUUAGGAUAAAAUAUGUAUUUAUCUCAUUUUAUCUUAAUUCCUAUUUUUUGAUCCUGCAUAAAAAAAUAUAGCGUUUUAGUCCUUGUAAAUUGUUCUAUUUUGUUUUAGUUCAAACAUAAUGACGUUAAUAUAAUAAAGAUAUAAAGAAAGAAUUUUAGUAAAAUAGUGAAAAUAAAAAUUUAACAAAUUAUAAACUUAAACGUUAUAUGAAAUAACAUUUUACUCAGUCCCUUCUAGCGUGGAAUUCGCAACAACAACCCUCAGUCAUCUUCCUCUAUAUAUUACUCCUCAGCUCUUACAUUUAGACGCACACAAUUAUACAGCUCUAGAGAAUCAAGAAAAUUAUUAUACCCAUUAAGAUGAAACCGUACCUACGUCCAAUAUUCCUAUUAUUCCUUAUCCUUCUCCACCAAUCCAUUUCGGCGAGUGCUUCAAAUAGUAGGUUUAUAGAAUUCUUUUCAAAAUUAAAGAAUUCUUUUAAUCCUAAGUCUGAAGAACUCAAAUCAAAAGAUAUAAAGAAGCUCCCGAGCGUCGAAUAUUUGAAGAAGAUACAUGAGGGAGUUAAGGACUUAUCUCAAGAUUUAUUUAUCCCGAAAAUCCCGUUUCUCAACCCGAAAAACCCGAAACUCCCAAGAAUCCCGCUAUUUAAAUCUCCCCCACCGCCAAUGUACCGUUUACAACUAAAGUCCGAUCCCCCACCGCCAAUGUACCGUUUACAACCAAAGUCCCCUCCCCCACUGCCAAACGCACCACCGAAGCAAAUCAAUAUUAAGGGCCUGUCCGUCGUCAAAGAUUACUUAUCUGACUACGGCUACAUUGAAUCCUCUGGGCCAUUUAACGAUUCUUUCGAUCAGGAAAUAAUAUCAGCCAUUAAGACCUACCAGAAAUUUUCCAAUCUUCAAGUUACCGGCGGCCUGAACAAACAGCUUAUUCAGCAAAUGUUGUCCAUACGAUGCGGUGUCCCCGACGUUAACUUCGACUACAACUUCACCGACGACAACAUUUCCUAUCCCAAAGCCGGACACCGCUGGUUCCCAAACAGAAACCUCACAUACGGUUUUCUUCCCGAAAACCAAAUCCCAGACAACAUGACUAAGGUGUUCAGAGAUUCCUUUGCGAGGUGGGCCCAAGCCUCGGGGACUUUGAGUCUCACGGAGACAACCUACGACAACGCCGACAUCCAGGUAGGGUUCUACAACUUCACUAACUCGAGGAUUGAAGUGUAUGGUGGCAGCCUUAUAUUUUUGCAACCGGAUUCUAGUAAGAAAGGGGUGGUACUUCUGAACGGUAACAUGGGCUGGUUACUUCCAAGUGAAAACGCCACACUGUCUAAAGAUGAUGGAGUUUUGGACUUGGAGACUGCGGCGAUGCACCAGAUAGGGCAUCUACUUGGACUUGAUCACUCUCACAAAGAGGACUCUGUUAUGUAUCCUUACAUAUUGUCCUCACAGCAACGAAAGGUGCAGCUUUCCAAUUCUGACAAGGCCAACAUUCACCUUCAGUUUGCUAAGCAUGAUUAAGAUGUUCUCUGCUGCCAAACUCGCAUGACUCAGCAAGCCACGGUGGGGGUUUGGAUGUGCUUUUAGUUACCACUUUCUCUCUUGGAUUUGCUUACGUAUUGCUCCUUUGGUAUUAGUCGUUCCUGUCCCACCUUGCUUUUGGAAUUAUGUGCUUUUUAUAUUUCUGAUUGUUCAAUGUUUAUUGUAUGUGCUCCCCAACCUGUGGUGACUUUUCGGUUUAUUCUCACGUGGCUGUUUCUUAUAGGCCUUUCGACCUCCAAUAUUAAAUAAAAGAUCAUUUUGAGCUUUCUAAUUUUAAUUAUUUUUUAUUUAUAUCUCUUCUAAUAUUAAUAAUAAAUAAUAAAAUAUAUAAAUAAAUAAAUGAUUAUAUAGAAUUAAUCUUUUAGGAUGAUUAUUAUUUAAAAAUAGAAAAAUAAUAUAUAUUUAUAUAAUGUUAUGAGAGGUCUUUAGUUAUAUGCAUAAUGCACCCUUGGCGACUUGGGAGUUGGGAUUUCAGUAAUUAUUAUUGUGGUGGGUAAAGCUAUAAACUCGGUUUUGUGUAAGUUCCUUUACUUUCUUGAGGAGUCUAAGGUGGGAAAGAGAAAAACCUUUUCCACUGUAAGAAAGUUUUUUAAAACUAGUAUAUUAGUUUAGUUUCAAUCUAAUGGCUCAAUUUUUUUUUCUUUUCUCCUUGUAUUUUUUAUUCCUUUUCUUCUUAUCUUUCCUUGUUUGCCCCUUCAAUUCUCUUCUUUCUCUCCCAUCUAAAUUUGUCACUAAUUAACAAAUUUCUUAUAUUUACAAUCACAUAUAAAUGAUACAUAAAAUACUGAUAUAUAUUGUCAUAUACAAUUCCAAUAUGAACAAGAAGAUAAAUUUUAAAUAAAGAUAUAAUUAUUUUAUUAGCAGUAAUAUCGAGCAUAAUAACACAUAAUGUGAAAUUCUUAAAAAUAUUUAUGUUCGACAGUAUGAAAAAAUAUUAAUGAAAAAUUUAAAGAUAUAAUGGCAAACAAAAGAUACUUUUUCAUGAAAGAAUAUUUUCAACUAGAGAAAAAUAUGAUUUAAAAUACCUAAUAUAAAAAAAUAAUGCUAACAAGUAUUCUUAGAAUAUUAAUUAAAAAACUUAAAAGUAAAAAUAUUUUUAUCGUGAAAUAAAAAAUUGUUAUUCAUAAUCAUAUUUUUAUAUUCUUCUAGAUAAAUAUUUUUUUUCCUUAACCAAUAUUCUUAUAAAAUACUGGUUUGUAAGACCUUAUAGAAAAACAUAUUUUAUUUAUUGUUAUCAAAUUAGAUUGACUCUAUAUAAAACCUUUGGUUGGGUUUUAGGACUUGGUUUUACUAUUCUUUAACUAACCUCCUCUCCCAAAGCAUCCUAUAUAUUUAUUUCUCAACUCUUAUACUUGGACUCAGUUAUUUUUCUCGGAGACCAAGAAAUUAUACCCAUUUCCAUCAAGAUGAGAGCAUACCUUUGUGCAUCCUUAUUCAUUCUCCUUGUCGAUAAAUUAAUCACUUUCGGCUCCUUGUGUCCUUCCUUCAACAAUGGACAAUAAGUUCUCUCCCACACAGACAAACGAACCACCGCCUUUUCUUACUUCGGCUUCCUUCAAUCCUCUGGUCCAUUCAACGAUUAUUUGGACGAGGAAACAAUAACUGCUACCAGCAAUAUUUCAAUCUGGAAGUUACCGACUACCUAAACGACAAGACGUUUCAGCAAAUCUCGCUGCCGCGAUGUGGCGUCCCUGACAUGAAUUUCGACUACGGCUUCACCGGCAACGUGUCAUGGCCGAAAACCAGGAACCGGUGGUUCCCGGAGAGAAACCACCUCACCUACGGUUUUGAUCCGGCAAGCCAUAUCCAACCCAACGUGAAAAAGAUUUUCAGAGAUGCCUUCAAGAGGUGGGCGCAGGCCACCACAGGGGUUUUGAGGCUUACGGAGACAACCUAAGACAAUGUCGACAUCAAGGAAGGGUUCAGAAUAUUCAACAAUAUUUGGGACCAGGUAUUUAGCCUAAGCUUUAUCAUACUGCAACCUGGCUCUAAUGUCACGACAGGGGACAUACGCCUCAAAGGUGCCAUGUUAUGGUUGCUGCCGAGUGAAAACGAGAGCCUGUCGUGGGAGGACGGAGUUUUGGACUUGGAGAGUGCGGCGAUGCAUCUUCUAGGGCUUGACCACUCUAACAAAGAGGGCUCUGUUAUGUACCCUAACGUAUUGCCAUGGCAGCAACGAAAGGUGGAGCUCUCGGUUUCUGAUAUGUAAAACAUUCAGCUUCACUACACUAACGGCAUCUCUAGCCACAGUGGGCGUUGGGGAGUGCUUUUAAUCAAUAUCUUGUCUCUUGGAUUUGCUUACGAGCUUCUUUAAUUUUGUAUUGGUAUUUGGGUUUAUGAGCUUUUGGGAACAAUUUCAUGACUGUUUACUUGAGUAUAAUGCAUGUGUUCCCCAAACAAUCAAACCCAUAUCCGUCAUAUUGUCCAAAAUUAUUUAAUUUUUUAAAUUGGGAUUGGGAUCAAGAAAGGAAAUAUCAUUAUCCCUCUUAUAUUAUAUUCAUUCUGGUAUUCACUCCAAUGAAUUAUUAAAAUUUUAUGAAUUAUUUGUUAGUUUUUUUUUUAUAUAAAUUUUACAUAAUUUAAAAUUAUUUUCUUGAUAAUUUUUGUAAACAGAUAUUCUACAAAUACAAAUAUUUUAAAAUAAAUAUGUAAUAAUUAAUUAUUUUUAAAUCAAAUUUUUAAUAUAAUUUUUUUUUAAAAUUUAAAUUGGGAACGGGACACCCAAUAAAUAAUGAACAAAUUUUAACUCGUUAAUUAUAAGUUAUCGAAUACAAAUACCAGUAUAUAUUAAAAAAUUGAGGUUAGAGAGACUUAGAAGGCAAUAUCCAUCCUAACCCCGCCCGGUCCGGUUACCUUGUCUACCCCCAACCGUGAUUUAUUCAGUUAUUGCAUUAACAAAAGAUUAUCCACUAUUGUAUGAAUUUAAUUAUAGACCAUUAAGCUGGCAUAACUUUUAAGUCUGGUUAAUAUAAGAAAUUAAAAGGGUGCGUGAAUAUUUACUACAGAUUCUGGGCUGUAAGUAAUGUGAUUAACCAUUAGUUAUACACGUACCUUAAAAGAAAAUACUCUGGGAGCCAGAACAAAUUAAAUCUUACUAUAUAUUAACUACCCUUUUUUAUAUUUUUAAUUUUGGAUAAAAAUAUUUUUACUCCAUCUGAAAUAUGGGAAAUUUAAAAUUAGUCUCUUUAAAUUUUUUUGUCUCAAUGUCUCUAAAAUUUUAACAUGUUAUUUCAUUUAGCAUGUUAAUUAAUUUGUUACUAAACAAUGUAUCUAACACCUUAUGAUUACCAAUUUUUCAUUUUCUGUCAGUUCACCCUGACAUUUUUUCACUUUCUUUGGCCAUUCUAAGGGAUUCUUGGAGCAUCAUUCACCUCUUGAUCAUGGCGCACUUGAUGCCUUGAUUUUUUGGAGGUUUAAAAUGCAUGGGCUAGGAUUUUUGAAGAUCAAGAUUAUUGUCACCUAAACACGUGGUUUUCUUUUCUAUUUCUGCCAUCUUAAAAUACUUUUAUGCUUGUAUUUAUUGAUCUUAGUUUGGGGUUUGAAUUUCUUUUUAUCAUGACCAUCUAAGCUUAUAUUAUGAGGGAUGUUGUGACUUGAAUAUUAUGAAUUUUUCUAAUGUGUUGUGUAUAUUUGUCUUAUUGUACUUAAUUUUGAAUUUGGGAAUUGACUUUAAAGUGUUAAUUAAUAGACUAAUUAGUAACCAUCCAUAGAGACGUUCCCUAAUGUUCCAUUCAAUUAAUUAUAUUUUUAGUAGUUUUUAACCGGUGAAGUUCAAAUAAUUAAGACGAAAAAAAUAGCAAAAGAAAUAUAUUAAAUGGCCACAAACAUAGGGACCGUGCUUUGGACACAAUGGGCUCGCAUAUGGGAUUUAGAUGGGGUUGCUAGAUGCAUCCAUUCUUAUUUUUCCAAUUUUACUCUUCAUUCUCGCAGAAGAUGUUCUUCUGUUAAAUUGAACAUGUAAUUUUUAGGUUGUUAACACAACGUUCUAAUCAAUUAAGUUAAUAAGUCAAUUAUAUUAUAAAAUAGAUAAUGUUAUUAUACGUAACAAAAAAUAUUUGUUAUUAGAAAAUUUAAUAUAUAUUAAACUUUGUAAUGGUAAAUAUUUUUUAUUUUAAAAAAAAUAUAUAAACUAAAUAAUUCGUAUGAUUUAUAUCAAAGUUAAUCGUAAUAAAAUUUAUUAUUUAAAUUUACUUGCGUAUUAAAUAUAUAUUAUAAAUUUUAGUGUUAUGUAUAACAACAUUAUUUAUUUUAUAACAUAAUUGAUUCAUUAACUCAGUUGGUUAAAACGUUGUGCUAAUAACCUGAAAGUCAACGGAAGAAUUUCUUCGGUAAGAGUUACGAGUAAAGGGCAGAGCAAAAUUAGAAAAAUAGAAAAAUACUGGAUGCACCAGAAAUACUUAUGGUGCACCUAGCAACACCCUUUUAGAAGGUAGCUUAUGAUAUUGUAUAACAUUUUGAGCAAAUGCCUCUUGUGCCUUGAGUCAUAUUUUUUUUUCUUCAUCCUUCUGUUUAUUAGAAAAAAAAUAGAUUUUAACUAAUAUAGAAUUUGGCUAAGAAGUAAACAAAUUUUUGUUAAAAAUUAUUUUUCUUUCACGAUCGAACUCAAAUGAUUUAAUUUUAUUUUCAACACAUUAAUCAUUUUAUUUUAUGUUGAAUAAUUUGAUUUCAAGUCAUAUGUUCUUAUCAAUUCUUAUCAAUGAAGUUUUCUCAUAUGUUAAAAAAAAGCCCCGAAAAUAAAGAAGGCCAAAAAAAAGAAAGGGCCUUAAUAAAUGGAGAUAGAAAAAAAUAGUGAGUUCAUACAAGCAAGCCUUCGGUGAAUGCCACUAUAUCAAUCCAGAAAAGUACGAUUGCUCGAAAGGAUAAAUAUAUUUAGAUGUCGAAAAUACUAUUAUACACCUAUUAAAAAAGAGUGAAUUUUAUAGGUAUAUUAAAUAUAUGAUGUGAUAUGAGAAGAAGAAGAAGAAAAAAAAAUUUUAAAAAACUAUUUAAAAUAAUGGAGUAUUCAAAAGCAACAUAUUUAGUACUGGAUCCUUUUUCUCUUUGAAGAGAAUGAGCUUGAGAUUCACUUAUGAUCCUUGUGUUUAAAUUUAAUCCGUUAGUCACGUUUGAAUCAAUAACUGUUGUAACAAUAUUUUAUGUCAAACCAAAAAAAUUACUAGCCGAGUCACGGACAAUGUCGUUUUCUUUAAGACGUUUCGUGGCACUGCCAAAAAAAUGUGCAAGCAGACUAUCAACCACGACGUCUCCAGGAUAAAACAGUCCAGAUCACUGUAUAAGAUUCCCACUGCACUGAGGGAACCUUUUCUAGAAUUACACUCUCUUGUAUGACUUGAAAAGUCACUCCAAAGCCACCCGAAAAUAUGACUUGAAAAGUCACUCUAACAGCCAACCGAAAAUAUGACUUGAAAAGUCACUCUAAUAGUCAACCGAAAAAUAUGACUUGAAAAGCCAUUAUUAUAGCCAACUGAAAAUAUGACUUAAAAAGUCACUCUUAUAGCCAACCGAAAAAUAUGACUUAAAAAGUCACUCUUAAAGCCAACCAAAAUUUUAGAGCGACAGAAAGAAAGAAGGAGAAGUUUGCCGGAAAUGUAUCGGCUGAAAUAUGGGAGGGAGAAAGAAAAGUUGAGGAAAUGCUUCUCAACUGGGGCAAGGAAAAAAGAAGAAAUGAGCUCUCUAUAUAUAGGAAGUGAAACACUAUUCAAGUGUUUAUCCUAAGCGAUGUGAGACUUGAAGCCUUUUCUUUCUUUUUUUUUUUUUUCAAACUUUCAUCCACAUUCUCCUUUGUUCUAACAAUCCCUCACUUGAAAUUUGAAAAGAGGAUUUUCGAGGAUUUCAUAAAAUUGUGCAUAAACAAAGGUGUCAUACAACUUGAACCUUUGCAUAGUGAGUAAGAUUCAGAUUUUACUAGAGUGACUCAAAGUCUUGAACUCUAUCUCCGACAUCAAACCACACAUAACCUUUUCAUAUGUGUAUUCUAUAAAGCCCGUGCGUUAAAUGUCAUGCACGUCUAUCCCGGUAUAGUAAACGCUCUAGAAAUUUUUGUCCAAAAUUUCAUAUGAAGCGGCCCCAACUUCAACAUUCACAUAGGUGAGUCUAUCAAGAGUACUCCUGUAGCCUAGGUGCUCCACUCAACGUAGAGUAUAGAUCUCAUUAAGAAUUAUGAAUUUUUUUUUUCAUAACUCAUCCUCUUGUUACUUCAGGAAUCAUGCUGCUUUCACUUAUAACAACAUAUUCAUCUCAUAUCACUUCAUAACUUGUUAUUACCCAUUGAACCUAGUCUUGGGAUCUCCAGUCAUUUAGGUCGGGUUACCAUCAUGAAUGAUCAUCAUAGUAAGGGCAAUAGUCCCAUUGUUUUAGAAGUGUUAUGGACUUUCUCUUUAGCUAAUCCUUUCGUCAAAGGAUCUGCUAAAUUAUCAUCAGUGCGUACGUGAUCCACUCUAACAACUCCUGUUGAGAGUAAUUCUCUAACAGUGUUGUGCUUACGACGUAUCUGUUGUUUCUUACCAUUGUAAUAAUGGUUCUCAAUUUUUUUGCAAUAGCCGCGGUACUAUCGCAAUGGAUCAACACAACUGGUAUCGGUCUUUCCCAUAACAGAAUCUCUGCAAGUAAGCUUCUCAGCCAACUUGCUUCCUCACUAGCAGUUGCUAGUGCUAUCAUCUCAGAUUUCAUAAUGGACUGAGCUAAGAUAGUCUGUUUCUUUGACUUCCAAGAAACAACCCCACCAGCUAUGCUAGAUAUAUAGCCGCUGGUUGCUUUGGAAUCAUUUGAAAGAGUGUUCCAAUCUGCAUCACUGUACCCUUCAAGUAUAGCGGGAAACCUUUUAUAAUGUAAUCCAAGGUUUAUGGUUCUUUUAAGGUACCUCAUUACCAUUUCAAUAGCGUGCCAAUGCUCCAUACUAGGUCUACUGGUAAACCUGCAUAAUAAUCCCACAACAUAGGCUAUGUCGGGUCUAGUACAAUCAAUGGCAUACCUAAGGCUGCCAAUGAUACUCGCGUACUCAGUUUGUCGUAUACCUUCACCAGUGUUCUUAAACAGUUUUACACUUGGAUCAUAUGGUGUACUAGCAGGUUUACAAUUAAAGUAGUCAUAUUUCUUUAAGAUCUUCUCAAUGUAGUGAGAUUGAUCCAGAGAAAUUCCCUCUUUUGACCUAGUAAUCUUAAUACCAAGGAUUACACUUGCUUCUCCGAGGUCUUUCAUAUCAAAGUUGUUACACAACAAUGAUUUCACAUCUAAUAGGUUUGCAGCUAGGAGGCCCCUCUACUAAAUGUUAGGUCUUGUUAGAUUCUAAAGAAUCCAUCUCAUUAUUAAUGGCUUCUUGCCACAAGUCAGCAUCCAAAGAAGACAAGGCUUCUUAGAGGUUUGAUGGAUCCUCCUCUAAUGUAUAGGUCAUAUAAUCGGGCCCAUACUCUUUAGCAAUUCUUGCUCUCUUACCUCUUCGAGGCUCUAUAUCUGGUUCUGGUUGUGCAAGAUUUUCACUACUAAUAGCAGGAAGAUAACUAGAUGAAAUACCCCCACUAUUCCUUAAUUUAAAAGAAAAUCAGAAACCAGAUUCUUUCUCAUCCCUGAAGUAUGCAUCACAUCUUUGAGAAUCAAAGUCUUUCUAGAGGUAAACUUCAGUUCAACAUCUCCAGUUCCAGCAACAAUAGUGGUGUGGGAAUCACCCAGCAACACUUUCUUAUUUUCACCAUUCAUGUAUGUUUUAAUCAUAGCACGAUCAUAGCAGACAUGGCGGGAGGCGCCAAUGUCUACCCACCAUCCAUCUGAUCCUCCAAUCAUAUUGAUUUCUAUUAUCACAGCUAUGUAUGGCUCUUAAGUCAUGUUAGCCUAGGGAGCACCUGUCAUUGAAGGAUUUCUGCAUUUACGUGCCAUAUGUCCCGGUUUGCCACAAUUGUAGCAGAGUAAUGGCUCACCAGGAUUAUUCUUGGCAGGUGGAUGCUGUCUAGCAUGUUGGACCCUUGGGGGGUUCUUGUUGCGGUUGGAGGUAUUGCUCACAUUGCGGUUCUGAUUCUUAAAGUUUUUGCCAAUAGGCUUCAGAAUUGCACAUGUGUUCUUCCUUUUAGUGUUGUUGUGAGACACAACCAACACUUCAUCUUUCUGAUCUUGUCUGCGUGCCUCUUCCUCAAUGCGCAGACGUGUGAUCAGAGACUCCAAAGAGAAUUCUUUGGUCUUGUGUGUGAGAAGGUUUUUGAAAUCCUUCCAGCCAGGAGGCAAUUUGUCUAUGAUAACAGCAACCUGAAAUUGCUCAUCCAAUGUCAUACCCUCUAAUAUGAUAUCAUGAGCAACUUUCUAUAUCUCAUGGGAUUGAGACUCUACUAAUUUAUCAUCAAUCAUUUGAUACUUGAGAUAGCGACUAACAACAUACUUUUUAGUCUCAGCUUCCUCAGUAUCAUACUUCUUUUUCAAAGCCAGCCAAACUAAUUUGACAGACUUAUAUGGGCUAUAAUAAUCAUAAAGAUCAUCAACUAACCCAUUCAGAAUGAAAUUCUUGCAUAGGUAAUCAUUUUCAUUACAGAGAGCUAAUUCCAUAGUCAUUUUAUCCUUCACUUCCUUCUCAACAUCUUUAGGCAUCACUGGAAUAUUAAUGUUCAAAACAUAGGCAACUUUUUUUCAUAGAAAACAUCAUCUUUUGUUUCCAACGUUUGAAAUGAUACCCUUCAAACCUAAAAGGUUUGUUGAGGUCAUUGUUGUUCGAGCCAGUAAUAUCUACGGUAUCCAUAGCAGAACCAAAAUCGUCUUAAAAUUGUUGUAACAAUAGUUUAUGGCAAACCGAAAAAAUUACUGGCUGAGUCACGAACAAUGUCACUUUCUUUAAGACGUUUCGUGACACUGCCAAAAAAUUGUGCAAGCAGCAGACUAUCAACCACGACAUCCCCAGGAUAAAACAGCCAAGAUCACAGUAUAAGAUUUCCACUGCACUGAGGGAACCUUUUCUAGAAUUACACCCUCUUGUAUGACUUGAAAAGUCACUCUAAAGCCACCCGAAAAAAUGACUUGAAAAGUCAUUAUAACAGCCAACCGAAAAUAUGACUUGAAAAGUCACUCUAAUAGCCAAUCGAAAAAUAUGACUUGAAAAGUCACUAUUAUAGCCAACCGAAAAAUAUGGUUUAAAAAGUCACUCUUAAAGCCAACCAAAAUUUUAGAGAGACAAAAUGAAAGAGGGAGAAGUUUGCUGGAAAUGCAUCGGCUGAAAUAUGGGAGGGAGAAAGAAAAGUUGAGGAAAUGCUUCUCAAUUGGGGCAAGGAAAAAAGAAGAAAGGAGCUUUCUAUAUAUAGGAAGUGAAACGCUAUUCAAGUGUUUAUCCUGAGCGAUGUGGGACUUGAAACCUUUUUUUUUCUCUUUUUUUUUCAAACUUUCAUCCACAUUCUCCUUUGUUCUAACAAUAACUUAUAUAUUAGUUCGAAUAAAAUUAGACUCGGUUUCUAUAUUUAUUUUUUCAUGUGUAUUUUUUUUAUUUAUUAAAAAGUUCUAGCAUAGGUUCCAAAUAUAUUAAUUUUAUGACUUACUCAAAAUAGUUUUAAAUUUAAAAAAUAACUAUUUGUUUUUAAUAAAAAUGUAUAAAAAAUUAGGGGUGGCAUAAGAGAAAGUUCUAGCAUAGUAAAAAAAAUAAUUAAAAAAUGGUUUUCUCAUGAUGCAUAAGAAAAUGUCCCUUAUGCAUUUUCUUAUGAUCGAUUGAUUAGUUGGUGCAAACAAAAAUGAGAAAAAAUGCUCCACAAAAUAAUUCAAGCAUGUAUUUUUUAAAAAUUUCUUAAAAGUUCUAGCAUAGUUCCAUAUAUAUUAAUUUUAAUUAUGACUAAAAUAGUUUAAAUAUAAAAAACUGUUUAUCUUUUAGAAAUAUCUUUAAAAUAAUUAAACAAAUAAUAAUUUAAGUGAAUAAAACAAAAACAAAAGUUAUAAAAAAUAAUUUUAAAAGAUUUUUGUGGAUAAAUGAGACGGGGUAUUUUGAAAUAAUUAAAAAAUAUUUAUUUUUUAAAAUACUGUAAUGGAUUAAUUGGAUAUUCGUCCAUAAAAAUGAUAAUUAAUGCAUUUAUUAAAUUGAUCAUGAACACAUUAACUUUGUUUUAUGAAUUCUGAAUGGAUAUUGAUAAAUGAAAUUGUGGUAUUUUUGCUAAUGAUAAUAUUUUUGCUCAUCAUUAUAUGUAGUUCAUCUCUCUUCUAAGAAGGUAAAAAGCUAUGCUUUGUUUGACAUGUUGUGGUAUGGUCUACUUUGAUUAUGCAUAACAAAAUUGUGUUUCAAGGCGUUUUCUUUUGACUUUAAUGGUGUUUUGGACUUGAUAAAAAAAGUUGUUUUGUAGACAUGGUAUGAGACUAAGAUGAGCAAUACUCUCCGUUCUUUUUUAAUUAGUGUAUUGAUAAUGUAAUUUAUCUUUAUUUGUUCCUUUGGUCUUGCAUUAAUUGUAAUACAUAUGUAUAAGGAUUGGAAUACCCAUUGUACUCUUUUUCUUAAAAUAAAUAAAUAAAACUUUGCUUUUAAAAUAAAUGUUAGUCGCACUCUCUUUUUAAUAUUUUCUCUCAUACCAUUAGCUGAAAAAAUUAACAAUUUUGGUGAGAUUUUGUUUCUUUUAAUGAGGUCUCUCUAUCUAUCUAUAUCGAUUUAGAAAUGAAAUCCAUCCAAAUUGAUGACAUUUUAUAAAUUUCAAGCAAUGAUAAUAGAGUAUUAGAAAAAGAGUGUCAAUUUUUUUUGCUAAUAUUCCUUAAAAAAAUAAGAUCGUAUGAGUUUUUUAGGUAGAAGCACUUUGGACAUUUAUUACCAAUCCAACUUUAAUUGUUUUUUUAUUUAUUAUUCAUUACGGUGUAUUUGGAUCAACUGAAAAAAUUAGGUUAUUUUAAUAUUUGAUUAUAUUAAUAACAAUUAUUGGUAUAAUACAUUAUAAUCGAAUAAGUUUUUGUUUGAGUUUGUUUCUUGAAAACUUAUAUAUUUUAAGAUAAUUAUUUUUGUAUGGAUGAAAAAAAUAAUUAUCUUUUAAGUAAGAAAAAAAAACUUUAAUUUUACAAAAUUGAGUUGUUGUUCAAAUUAUAUAAGAUUAACACAUUAUAAGAAAACUAAAGUUUUUAAUAUACCGAAUCGUCAUUCAAAUAGUCUUUUCUAUCCAUGUGGAGAGUUAUAAAAAUCCUAUUAAGAAAUAAAAAAGCUCCCGAUUGAAAAAGAAUAAUGAAAUCACUUAUAUCCAUGUAAAUCUUGUCUCCUAUCUCUAAAAAUAUGAAGAAUUUUUUUAAUUAUUAUUCAAAAAAAUUUCUUCUAUUAUUUUCUCUUGUAUUAUUCACUAAAAAGACUAUAAUAAUAACGGAAUUACGGUUAGAGAGUAGAAAAAAAAGGAUUCAAGGCUAACACCACCAAGGAAAAAAAAUAAUCCUUUCUAUUAGAACAUCUAAAAAGUUUUUUAUAUGAUUUUUAAUAAAAUCGAAAAAUAUUAAACAUAAACAACACAUCAGGAAACAUCCUCAAAAAUUUUGAGUAAAUGAAUGUUACUAACAAGUAGAAAUAAUAAGAUUUCUUUUUUAUCCCAUUUAUCUAAUUCAUUAUGUAUAAAAAAGCGAUCAAUAACUUGCAUACUUAUACUCUUUCAUAUUUCUAUUUGAAAAAUUUUCUUAAUAUUAACAUUCUGGAACAAAUCUUAAGAAAAAUGCUUAGAUUAGAUAUCAUUUACGAAUUGAGAUACAUUAUGUUGUUUAAACAAUUAUUAUGGAUUAAAAUAUUUCUAAAAUUUUUCAUCAUAAUUUGACAUAAUGUAUUUAUGAUGAUUAUAUUAGUAUUUUAUAUGAAAUUUCCUAAAAUUACCAACCAUUUAUGUUCACAAUUGAGCCACAAUUAAAGACCAAUAAAAUUUACUAGAACAAAUAACGUAUUUGUUAGAUUUUAAACUACAUAUUGGGUCCAUAUAUUUCUAAGCACAAACAAACUAGUACAAAUCCAAGUUGAAUUGCAUCAAGAUUUCUAAAAGGCUAUUAGACAAUGAAUAUAAUCAUUAUUGGCCUUGGCGCUUAUAAUUAUACAAUAAAUAUGAACUUAGCAGACAAUGAAUAUAAUCAUUAUUGGUCUUCUUAAAGUUGCAGUCUACAACUGAAAUCAGCAUACAUGUAAAAUGAAAAUUAUUUUUAACUUCAUUAAAAGAUGAGGAAACCAGAAAUUCACCUGGUAGAAGAAACUACUAAUGUAUAGAAGCAGAACAAAUCUGCAAAAAUGAAACGAAAGCUUGAGUAUGUUGCUGCAUAUACCAUCAAGAAUGAACAGUUAACAUGGCCUAGUGUCAUGAAUAAACACUUAAUCACCCAAAGAACCUAGAAGGAGAACAUAUGAGAUGGAAAUUAAGUCAUUUACCUUUCAACAACCAAGGUCAUGCCAUAAGUUGCUAUCUCAGGUAAUUUCCCGAAGCUAUCAUUAGUUCAUUACCAAACUAUUAAUUUCAUUGACAUAUGUCUUGCUACCAGAUUUCAUGUAACAAAGAUUUUAAAAGCCUUAUAAAAAGCCAAGAUUGCAUGUGAAUCAAAUCGUAAAAAGGGUACAAUUCAAUAGUUUUGCAAAAAUAUAAUUGUAAUAGCUACAACAUCACAAUACUUCAAUUUCAAACAUGAAAUUAAACAUAUGACUUAAAACAACACUAAAAUUCUUUAUUAUAAUAUGUGGAGCCUCAAAAAAAUAAUUAAAAAGAAAUUACUUCUAUAUAUUGCUAGGAAACAGAAUCAUGAUUCCUCUAAAUCCAAGCUUUCAAACCAUUUUAUAUCCUAUUUAAGUCAAAUCGUUAAAACGUAUCUUUGUAUCCAUUUUAUGAAAGUGAAAAUCAUCUUUAAAAUAUUAAUGCUUUAGGCUAAGACAAAUCAUCCCCAUUUUCAUUGCAUCGGUUGGAAAUCAUUGUAGCACCCGGCCAUAUCAAAUAAAUUAGUAUGUAAAGCACUAUUUCUUCCUACUUAGUCUAACCAAAAUUAAUUAAAAUUAAUAGGAGAUUUGUUUUAAUUAGAGUUAGAGUCCUACAUUACAAAUUGAGAUUAUUUGAUUCAUUAAUAAAUUUUAAGAGCCAAACAUUUCACAAAAUUAAUCUUCUGUGUUUAACCCAUGAUAACCGAUAAAUAUGGAUUAUUUUUUAUAAUAAAAAUAUAUUAAAAAUAUCUUUAAAAUUAUUUAUUUAAUAAUUAUUUUUAGCUUAAAUAUUAUAAAUUGAUAUUUUUUCUAUUUAUAACUUACAUGUAUGAAAAAGAAGAAUUAAAAAAGAAAAAAAGAUUAAAAAAUAUAAAAAAUAUAAAUAAGAAAAAUGUUGACAUUAAACCCAAGUCUAAGGAAAACAAUCACGUUAACAUUCCUAAGAUUGAGAACUCUCUCAACCUAUUUUUUUUUGUUAUUUUAAAUUUAAUUUCUUAUCUCUUGUCUGUCAAUUAAAUUUAUAUUAAUUUAAGUAUAAAUAAAAUUAAUACUUAAAUUUUUUAAUAUUUUACUAUUUAAGAUAAUUUGAUGCAUUUAUGAAUGAGUUACCAACCCACUCAUACACUACAAUUAUUCCCUUGAAAUUCAGCUAUUAACAAUGAAGAAUUGGCCCUAUAUAGUAGCAGAAGUGGAUAUAUACCGAUAGGGGAGGAUAGCAAAAGCCAUUCAAAAACAAAGAAAAACAUAAUAUGUAGCUUUAUCCAUGUAUUAGGAUCAUAUUCGUGUAGCAUUAAAAGAACAAAGUUUUUUCAGUGACAAACUCCUAAAAGCAUCAUGUCAAAGCCGUAGAAUCAACGAGCAUCCCAUAAAUAAAAAUAAAUAAAAUCACCAUAUUCAUGCACAAUUACACGUAGAAAUUAAUAAAAUCUUGUCCCCCGACAUCCGUACAACAAGAUAACGAAGAAAAAUCUGGUUGAAGUCUACCAUAAACCCAAGGCCUUCAAUCCAAAACAUAUUGCAUUAAAUCAGGAGUUUCAACUUUCAAGCUAUUAAUCCAAUUAAGAUUUUAUAUCCUUUUUUUUAAUAUUCAACUUGAGCUAUCUGUCUCCAUUAUUAAAUCUUUAAAGUUCUGAAAAUGAAAAUUCAUCAUCCCUAUAGAACACAAAAUAAUACAGAUAGACAAGUGCAAGUUAUUACACAAAGUUGAUAUUCAAACUAUACAAUAAAAAGAGGAUCGAAUGACAAUAAUGAGAGUGAUUAAAAAAAUAUACAAAUUCAAGGUCAUGACAACUCUGAUUCUGUGAAAAGGGAAGUCCAAAUGAAUGAAGAAUAAAAGACACUCAUUACCUAGUGUUUAGUUAACUUUCUGCUAGAAAUACUCUUACUUCGAGCCACAUCAGGUGCCAACUAAUUCUAUUUCUGCUCUGAGAAACUACCAUAAAAAUUUGUUUGGGAAUCCACAACCCUACCACCUUUUUCUGCAAACCCCUAAUUGAAAAGAGAGUAUAAUAAACACAAAAAGCUUGUGGGGAAAAUUAAAAGAGAGGGAGAGGGAGAGGGAGAGAGCACGAGAGAAAAAUUAAAAGUAAAAUAAUAUUUUUAGGAUAGUUGUAAAUAUUGUAUCAUGUACCAUAGAAAUGAUUAUAAAUGUAUCUAGAUUCAUGUACUUGUCCCUAUAAAAGACUAAUAUUUUUAACAGAAAAUAAAAAAAAAGAGUUAAAAUGAAACCAUAAAAAUUUAAAAUAAAACUUUUAAAAUUUGAUAUACUAAAUCAGAAAAGAAAAAUACUAAAAUAUAAACGAUGAAAAUAUUUUUUUUUAAAACUUAAUAUUCCUAAAAAUAAAAUAAAAAAAUACAAAGAACCAAAAGUAAUAUAUAUCUGGAGGCCUAAAUGCCAAAAACAAUCACACAACUAAAACGAAAAGGCAUCAUCUGGAUGGGGCAACGCAUUCAACAACUAAUGAUACUCCAAAUUAAAUGAGUAAAUUUAUAAAUGUACAAUCCAUUUUUGUGUGGAUUGGACAAGGCAAUUAAGAGAGAUGUGAUAUCAUAGCAAAUAUAGAUAUUAAAAAAUAUAAGAUGAAAGAGAAUGAGUUUUAAGUAGGAUGUAUGUUUAUAAUGAUAACUCCUAAUACUAUUCUUCCUAAGCUCAUAAAUCCAUAACAUCCAAGUUUGUGUGAAACAUAAGACUUAGACUUGGUGUAUAUUUGAAUUAAAGUUGACGAUUUUAAUAUUAUAGUAGUUUUAUUGUAUAAGUUCAAGAAGGACUUUGGUCUUGCUUUUUUGUAAAUUUGAUUUCGAAUAUAAGUGUGUAAACAUACUCUUAAAGAUAACUAAACAUACUCUUAAAGAUAACUAAAUAUAUCAUAUGAAAUAAAAAUGAGUUUAUGCUCCAAACCAAGUUUAAAACACCAAAAUAAAAUCCAAACAUGUUGAUAUCGAUGUUAUUAAUAGUCUAAUGCAAAAGAAGCAAAUCGUAGACAGAAAAUGAUAACUAAAAGCAUUCACCAAAGCCCACCAUGGCAAAAGUUGUGAUUAGUAUAUAAUGUUGGAGCAUGUUGUGCUUAUUAGAAAUCGAAAGCUCCACCUUUGGUUUCUUUGAUGACAAUAUAUAAGAGUGCCGUUGAGGUAGGUGACGUUGUAGUAGAAAUUCAUGUCGGGGACAACACAUCGUGGUAGCACCUACUGAUGGGGUGACAACACAUCUUUAGCAGGACAAUUAAAGAAUAGUCGAUGAAGAACAAUUGAAUAAAAAGCAAAAAAGAAUCACCAAUUCGAAACAAAUAGUAUAGCACUGCACUACUAACUCACCCCAUCAACCGCAAGUGGCAAAUGACUCCAAACCCAAAACAAUGAAGAAAAUAACCAUUAGUUAAAAUUCGUGAAAUGGGAAUAUCUGAGUAUAAAAUUACAACUAAUCUGAAGGAAUCUGCUAAACAACCUAAUCUUCUAUCAUUUUCAUUUGAUAUUUAAAUUAUUGACUGCUGAAACAAAACUCAUAAAAGAUAAAAUCUGCAACAAUAAUAAUAGAACUCUAUCUAAAACUUAUUCAAAAUUCAAAUAAGGCAGGUCUCAUAUCUUUAGCUAGACAAGAAGAUAUACUAUGAGGGCACUACUGACCCCGACCCUAUCACGUGCAUGCAUAUGAACUAUUAUCUACAAGUUGUCCCCACUGCCCAAGAACGAGAGCNNNNNNNNNNNNNNNNNNNNNNNNNNNNNNNNNNNNNNNNNNNNNNNNNNNNNNNNNNNNNNNNNNNNNNNNNNNNNNNNNNNNNNNNNNNNNNNNNNNNUGCCAAAUGGCUCCAGCCCCAAACCACAGCGAGCAACACAAAACCAGUCCCCCAUGCCACUAGCUGUAUAUAUGCAGAUUACAAAAAGAGACGUGCACCACAUACAGAACAAAUUGAUGAAAAGUAUAAUAUAGUAUAUUUAUGAAUCACGAUUAAAAUAAAUUUCUAACAAUUACUUGAUUUUAAAAGCUUUUAUAGUUUUAAUUUCCAAAGGUUAUUAGUUUUAUUAAUAGUUUUUUAUACUUGUAUUAUAUUACAAAUAUAAUAAUGACUAAAUUAAGCUUAAUAUAUAUACCUCCUGAAUAUAUUUUGUAAAAAUACACAAACUUUCUCUAUUUUUUUAUUAUAAAAAAAUAAGGUUGCCAAGCCAUUGUUCAAAUCAAAGGGCGAUCCAAUAGUAGGUGAGAACUAAAAUAAAUUUUUAUUUUUUUUAUUUUAAAUGAAGAAUAAUAUAUCGUAUUUUUUAAAUAAAUAUGGUCUUUUUAUUUUAUAAUAGCUAAUGAAAAAUUUAUAGAACUAAAAUUUAAAUUUUACUUGUUUUAUUGUUGUUUUCACUCUCAUUCAAAGGAGUAAAAGAAUGAACUUGUCCCCGAUCCGAUAACCACACCCCACGCAGCGUAGUAAAUUUUCUUCAUCAAAAUUAUCUAUGUAAAACUCCAGCAGCAACUGGAAAAAGAUUUCGAUUUCUUUAGUUUCAGUACACCAAAGCACUCUCCAUGCGUGAAGUGAAACUAGAUGGUAUAUUCUGAAAGUGAUCCCGUGGAGAAUUUGGAAGAACAGAGAGGGUAUUCAGACAAAUUAUAGAAGCCACCGAUGAAUCAAUGAGUAGAAUAUGCUUCUUCUUUGAAGAUUAACUAUCCCCACCACGCCUGAAGGACUUAAAAGCUUCUAAAAUAAAUUUAAGAAUGAAAUUUUUUAUUUAUUUAUAAAACUUAGUGUUCUUAUUUAUCAUUUAAAAAUGACACAUUUUAUUUUAUAAUAAUUUUCUUAAAGUAUAUUAGUACUAAAAAAUAUUUUAAUUUUUUUUUUUUAAAACCUAAAGCCUUUCCUUGAGCUCCUUAGACCUUAAGCCGGUCCUUAUUAUCCCUGGGUGGGCAACUUGUUAAUGAUGAAUUGAAGACCCUUCAAACCUGUGUGCUACCUUAAGUAGGAGUGGAAUAUCAAUUGUUUCCACACUAGGGACAAAACUUCAUCAAACUCAUGAACUACUCAAUCCCUUCCAGCGUGGAAUUUGCAACAACGACCCUCAGUCAUCUUCCUCUAUAUAUUACUACUCAGCUCUUAUACAUAGACCCACACAGUUAUACAACUCUAGAGAAUCAAGAAAAUUAUUUUAUAUAAAAAUAAUAUAUAUAUAUAUAUAUAUAACAUAUAAAUUAAAUAUUUUAACAAUAUAAUAAAGCAAAAUAGUAAAUUAAUAAUAACGUCAUUUCAUCAUUAGUUCAUCCAUAUUCACCAUAAAAUAGGAUAUAAUUUUUGUAUAGGAACGUAACAGGAUAUGAUUUUUGUAUAAAAACAUAGGAUAUGAUAAGAUAUAAUUUUUAUUUGUUUUAGAAUACAGUAACGUAAUAAAUGAAAAAAAGAAACCUAAUAGGAAUAGUAAAAUGAAUUGUUAACAGAAAUAGGAAAACUAAUAAAAAUAAUGAGAAAUAUAAAGAAACUCACACCUUUAAUUAAAAAUUUAUUUAAUUAUAAGAAUGAAAUCGGCUAAUUUUUUUAAAAAAUAAUAUUAAUUAUAUCCAAAAAAUAAUAUAUAUAUAUAUAUAUAUAUAUAUAUAUAGGUCGGUCUAUCAGGCUUAUAAGACUUUUUAAUAAGUCUAAGUCUGACCUAUUUAAUUUAAUAGGCUUUUGUAAAAGCCUAAACCUAGCCUUUUAAUUAAAUAGGUCAGGUCAGGUCAAACUUUAUAUAGACCCUGUCGUAGAUCCAUGUAAGUCGGCAUAACCUAUCCUCACCCUGUCACGCCACUGCUGACCCCGACCCUAUCAGAUGCAUGAACUUUUAUGGACAAGUUGUCCCCACUCCCCAAGAACAAGAGCAAGUGCCAAAUGACUCCAAACCCAAAACCGCAGCCAGCAACACAAAACCAGUCCCCCAUGCAAUAGCUGUAUAUAUGCAGAUUACAAAAUUAAAAGAGACACCACAGAACAAAUGAAUGAAAAGUAUAAUAGUAUAUUUAUGAACGAAGAUGAAAAUAAAUUUCUAACAAUUAAUUAAUUUUAAAAGCUUUCAUAGUUUUGAUUUACAAAUGCUAUUAGUUUUAUUAAUAGUAUAUAGAUACUUGUAUUAUAUUACAAAUAUAAUAAUGAAAAAAUUAAGGUUAAUAUACCUCCUAGAAUAUAUUUUGUAAACCUAAAACAAAUUUAAGAUUUUCUUUUUUAAACCUAAAGCCUGUACUUACUUGUACUGCUGGAAACUUGAGCCCGCACUUGUUAUCCCUAAUGGGCAACCUUGAAACUUGAGCCCGUACUUAUUAUUCCUAGUGGGCAACUUGUUAAUGAUGAAUUGAAGACCCUUCAAACCGUGUGUGCUACCUUAGGUAGGCGUGGAAUAUCAAUUGUUUUCAAAUUAGGAAUAAAACUUCAUCAAACUCAUGAACUUACUCAGUCCCUUCCAGCGUGGAAUUCGCAACAACGACCCUCAGUCAUCAUCCUCUAUAUAUUACUCCUCAGCUCUUAUAUUUAGACGCACACAGUUAUACAGCUCUAGAGAAUUAUCAUACCCUUCAAGAUGAAACCGUACCUACGUCCAAUAUUCCUAUUAUUCCUUAUCCUUCUCGACCAAUCCAUUUCGGCGAGUGCUGCUAUAAAUAUUAAUGGUCUGAGAAACAAAAUUAGAGAAGUUCUAAACAAGCACCCGAGCAUCAAUCUUCCGGCAGAUAAACUGAAGAAGGUGAAGAGACCACUGAAGGCACUGGAUUAUCUGCUUGGCGAAUGUAAGGACAGGCCGCCUCAAGAAUUUCAAGAAUUUUGCCCGAAAUUUAAGAACGAUUAUCAACAAAAUUGCCCGAAUGCCGCGUAUGAAGCAGUUUGCCCGUUACUGAAGCAAGCGAUUCAAAUAUGUUGCCAGAAACACGCAUAACUCUGCAAGCCACGGUGGGCGUUUGGAUGUGCUUUUAGUUACCACUUUCUCUCUUGGAUUUGCUUACGUAUUGCUCCUUUUGUAUUAGUGGCUCCUGUCCCACCUUGCUUUUGGACUUGAGCUUUUUAUAUUUCUGAUUGUUCAAUGUCUGUUGUGUGUGCUCUCCAACCUGUGGUGACUUUCCGGUUUAUUCCUGUGGCUGUUUCUUGUAGGCCUUUCGACCUCCAGUAUUAAAUAAAAGAUCAUCUUGUAGCUUUUUAAUUUUAAUUAUUUUUUAUUUAUAUCUCUUCUAAUAUUAAUAAUAAAUAAUAAAAUAUAUAAAUAAAUAAAUGAUUAUAUACAAUUAAUCUUUUAGGAUGAUUAUUAUUUUAAGAUAGAAAAAAAUAAUAUAUAUUUAUAUAUUGUUAUGAGAGGUCUUUAGUUAUAUGCAUAAUGCACCCUUGGCAACUUGGGAGUUGGGAUUUCAGUAAUUAUUAUUGUGGUGGGUAAAGCUAUAAACUCGGUUUUGUGUAAGUUCCUUUACUUUCUUGAGGAGUCUAAGGUGGGAAAGAGAAACACCUCUUCCAAUGUAAGAAAGUUUUUUAAAACUGGUAUAUUAGUUUAGUUUCAAUCUAAUGCCUCAAAUUUUUUUUUCUUUUCUCCUUGUAUUUUUUAUUCCUUUUCUUCUUAUCUUUCCUUGUUUGCCCCUUCAAUUCUCUUCUUUCUCUCCCAUCUUCUUUCUCUCUCCUUCUAUCCGCCACCAUAGUGCACCGUCACUUGUAGUUGCUUUGGUGGUACUCUACCACAGAAGAAGCAAGUGGAGCCUUGUUUCCAUUACUUUACGGAAAUUCACUUAAUCACAUUCAAUUGGUUCAUUGAGGAAUGAUUGCGGCGUUGUGUUUUUUCUUUCGUGUUUCUGUGUGAGUCAUUUGAGCGGUGCUGCGAAAGAAGAAAAAACUCCGGCGGGUGCCCACUGGUUGUCUGCGGUGGAGAGAAGGAGUGUUUUGUGCGGAAGAAAAGAAGUGGGGCAAACAAGGAAAGACAGGAAGAAAGGAAUAAAAGAAAAAGAGAAAAGAAAAAAUAAUUGAACCAUCAGAUCGACGAAAACUAAACCAAGUGUCAAGGGAAACGAAAAGCAUAAUAGCAUGAGUCAAGUUCAAAAAUUAUACAAAGUUUCACAAAGAAGAUCCAUAUAUGUUUCAAAUGCUAGAUUCCUUCGAAUAGAUGGCUAUGGGUGAUAAAUUAUAUAUGAAUUGCAAAAUACAAAAAAUUCGUUGCAACUUGCAAGGGAUGCAUCAGUAACAAUUGUCUAUUUGAUAUAAAUAUUUAAUUUUAUAUUAACGCAAGGUAAGCAUAUUUUUGUUUUAAUAACAUACUAUUUAUAUUUUAUUUAAAAUAUUUAAUCAGCAUGUUUACGGACAACCCGCAUAUAUAAGCCACUUAAUCUGAAAUCACUUUACUCUUACACAAAAAUAAUGAAUCAAAGAGAAAUAGAGAACUAAGGCUAAACCUAAUCAGAAAAAUCUGAUAGUUGCCAAACACAAACCCUUCCUUUUACACUUCUUCAUCUGUGUGUGUUGACUGCUACUUGCUGCUAAUUUAGGAUCUUGGCAGUUGUAUACGAUAUGCAUGCAUGAGGUCUUGCUGCCUUGUGUUUCUUGUACGACUAUUUCAGCGAUACCAACAUGCAUGGUGCAUGGUUGUUGCUAGUUUGUACGUACAAAAUUUAUACAUUAAUUAUGUUAUAAAAUUAAAUUUUAGAUUUUUAGUUAUACGAUAAGUAUUUACGAUUGCCAAUUGUGAGGCAAUCAUUACACACAUUAAAAUAGAGCCUUGUGCUUGUGGAUGGAGGCUUAUGAGGUAAAAAUAUGCCCACGUGGGAUAUCCUAAAUGUUUUACGGCAAAAUCAAGAUCUAGAUGGUGUUUGAUGAUCACAUAAAGGUGCAACUUCACAACAUAUCAUGCUUUACCGGCUUCAUUCAAUUUGGCAAUCAAUUUUGUGCCCAUCUACUCGUUUCAUCACGAAAGAAGACCCCUAUACCUUAUUUUAUUUAUUUGGGUUACCAAAAGGAAUAUUUCUUUGAAAAGACAUGCAACAACAUCACAACAGAGAAGGUUACAUAAAAUAAGAUGAAAUUAAAUAAAAUUUUAUAAUUUUAUUUAUAAAAUAGAUUCAUUUUGUAAAAUAAAUUUGUCCAUAGUUUAAAAAUUUGAAUUAUUUUAUACAUUUCCUUUAAAGUAUCUAUUUCAUUUUGUAAUUCAUGUCAUUAAAGUAUUUGUAUCAAAUUGAUUUGGUAACAUUUUCUUUAAUUAGUUACUCAGUUAAGAUAUUUAUAUUAUUAUUCAAAUUUAUUCAAUAAAUAUUAUAUAUAAUAAUAUAUGUAUAAAUCACAAUUAAAAUAACUUUCUAUCACAUGAAUUAAUUUAAAAAGUUCUCAUGCUUUAAAUUUCAAAUUCUAUUUUUAUAUUUUAAUUAUAUUUAUAUAAAAAAUAAAAUAAUGAGUAAAAUACGUAACAUCCCCUUAAAUUUUGUAAGAGUAUACAUCUUUUUGUAUUUUUUAACAUUUUCACUUUUUUUUAGCAACCUCCUUGAUCUAUAGGUUAACAUAGUGUAAUAUCCAAACAAUUAAAGAGAUUUAGUUUAUGAAUAUGGAGUGUUGGUAAUAUUUUUUUAGUGUAAUGUACUCGGAAAAUUAAUCUUCUACCAGUUGAAUAAAACUAUUUUUUUAUCAUGUAUCUUUUUAAAUUCUAUAUGUGUACAUAAAAUAAGGUUACACAAAUUUAAAUAAAUGACCAAAUUAAAAUACAUAACAAAAUUAAAAAUUUAAACACGUACAUAAAUUUAAUACAAAAUAACUUAAAAUACUACCUAAAAUACUCUACAAAUAAAAAAAUUAAAAAUUAAAUAACUACAUAAAUUUAAAUAAAUGACCAAAUUAAAAUACAUAACACAAAAUUAAAAAUUAAAUACCUACACAAAUUUAAAUAAAUGACCAAAUUAAAAUACAUAAAAAUUUAAAAAUUUGAACACGUACAUAAAUUUAACACAAAAAAACUUAAAAUACUACCUAAAAUACUCUACAAAUAACAAAAUUAAAAAUUAACAUACCAACAUAAAUUUAAAUAAAUGACCAAAUUAAAAUACGUAAUAACAAAAUUAUAAAAUAAAACACGUACAUAAAUUUAACACAACAAAACUUAAUUUACUAACUAAAAUACUCUACAAAUAACAAAAUUAAAUAUUAAAAUACCUACAUAAAUUUAAAUAAAUGACCAUAUUUUUUUCCAAUUAUUAAAAUUUAAAUUAAAUAACAUAUAUUAUACACAAAAAAUGGUAAUAAAUCAAAAAAUUACUAUGGAAUAAAAAAAUUAAGCAAUCUAUAUAUAUAAAAUUAAUAAAGUAUCAUAUAUUUCAAUAAAAACUAUAAAUAAGUAAACUAAAUAAUAUUCACAUUCUAACUAAACCUAAAAUACCAUAUAUAUAAUACAAAAAAUAUCAUACAAACCUAAUAAAUCUAAACCAAAUAAUAAUAACAUAACAACUAAAAUUAACGUACAAAUAAUUUUAUCACAAAUAAUAACAUAAAUUUAAAAAAUCUUAACAAAAUCAUAUUAAUAAAUCAACUACAACUAACGUACAAAUAAUAAUAUACCAACUCAAAUUUAUAACAUAUACAUAUAACACAAAUAAUAUUAAUAUUUCAACAUUACUUAAGAUUUAAAAGUUCCACCUAACAUCAACAAACGUAGCAUAUAUAUAUAUACAAAAUUUUUAAAAAAUAUUAUUAUCAAAUUAACUAAAACUAACCUAACAUAUAUAUAUAUAUAUAACACAACUAAUAACAUACAAUUUUGAAAAACCUAACUUAACUAAUAUUAACAUAUCAACUAAAAUUACCAAGUUAAAAAACACUUACUAACAGAGAAAUCACGUAAUAGGAAGAGGAGAGAAACCACGUAAUAGGAAGAACAAAGCACUGUCCUACAAACAUAAACAAACCUAACGUAAAUAAUUUUCAUAUAUAUAUAUAUAUAUAUAUAUAUAUAUAUAUAUAUAUAUAUAUAACAACAAAUAUUUACCAUUAAAAAAUACUUACCAAGAAGAAAAAGCAGAACAAAAUAAGAACACCACAAUGUACUGCAGGAACUUAUGAAGAAGAGGAAGAAAGCAAUGCAAGGAAGCAGCUGUGGAAUCCGUCAUGGAGCUUCUUCUUUUAUAAUGCAACAUUUUUCAAUUACCACAACUCGCCAGCCACGCUAACGAUUUCCGUCAAAUGCAAAUUGCCAUCCCUAUUGGUGGUUCCCUCCUGCACUGCUGACCACUGAACCCUGCACACCUGCAUGGCCUGACGGACUCCUGCAAAGCUGCAUGGCCUGACUCCUGCAAAGCUGGACCUCCUGAGCCUACCUAGUGGAACUCGCCAGUCAAAUUGGCGGUUCCCUAUGCAUGACAGUAUCACCAUUGCUACUUGCGAUUUGUUCACGGAGAGUAAACUCGCUAGUUCCACUGGCGAUUUGCGUGGUGCAUGCAUGCAAAACAUGUAAAUAACAGCCCCCUCCCGGAAAAACUUUAAAAAGGACCCCAUCUGGGAAAAUACUUUUUAAAAGUACCCAAAAUGAGAAAUUUGCCUAGUACUUGAUCCUUUUUCUCUUUGAAGAGGAUGAGCUCGAGAUUCACUUAUGAUCCUUGUGUUUAUUAUAAAAUUUAAUCCAUUAAUCAAGUUUGAAUCAAUAAGUUAUAUAUUAGUUCGAAUAAAAUUAGACUUGGUAUUCUAUAUUUAUUUUUUCAUGUGUAUUUUUUUAUUUAUUAAAAAGUUCUAGCAUAGUUCCAAAUAUAUUAAUUUUAUGACUUACUCAAAAUUGUUUUAAAUUUUAAAAAUAACUAUUUGUUUUUAAUAAAAAUGUAUAAAAAAUUAGGGGUGGCAUAAGAGAAAGGUCUAAGCAUAGUAAAAAAAAUAAUUAAAAAAUGCUUUUCUCACGAUGCAUAAGAAAAUGUCCCUUAUGCAUUUUCUUAUGAUCGAUUGAUUAGUUGGAGCAAACAAAAAUGAGAAAAAAUGCUCCACAAAAUAAUUCAAUCAUGUAUUUUUUUAAAAUUUCUUAAAAAUUUCUAGCAUAGUUCCAUAUAUAUAUUAAUUUUAAUUAUGACUAAAAUAGUUUAAAUAUAAAAAACUAUUUAUCUUUUAGAAAUAUCUUAAAAAUAAUUAAACAAAUAAUAAUUUAAGUGAAUAAAACAAAAAAAAGUUAUAAAAAAUAAUUUUAAAAGAUUUUUGUGGAUAAAUGAGAGGGGGUAUUUUGAAAUAAUUAAAAAAUAUUAAUUUUUUAAAAUACUGUAAUGGAUUAAUUGGAUAUUCAUCCAUAAAAAUGUUAAUUAAUGCAUUUAUUAAAUUGAUCAUGAACACAUUAAGUUUGUUUUAUGAAUUUUGAAUGGAUAUUCAUAAAUGAAAUUGUGGUAUUUUUGCUAAUGAUAAUAUUUUUUCUCAUCAUUAUAUGUAGUUCAUCUCUCUUCUAAGAAGGUAAAAAGUUAUGCUUUGUUUGACAUGUUGUGGUAUGGUCUACUUUGAUUAUGCAUAACAAAAUUGUGUUUCAAGGCGUUUUCUUUUGACUUUAAUGGUGUUUUGUACUUGAUAAAAAAGGUUGUUUUGUAGACAUGGUAUGAGACUAUGAGCAAUACUGUCCGUUCUUUUUUAAUUAGUGUAUUGAUCAUGUAAUUUAUCUUUAUUUGUUCCUUUGGUUUUGCAUUAAUUGUAAUACAUAUGUAUUAGGAUUGGAAUACCCGUUGUACUCUUUUUCUUAAAAUAAAUAAAUAAAUAAAACUUUGCUUUUAAAAUAAAUGUACGUUAGCCGCACUCUCUUUUUAAUAUUUUCUCUUAUACCAUUAGCUGAAAAAAUUAACAAUUUUGGUGGGAUUUUGUUUCUUUUAAUGAGGUAUCUCUAUCUAUCUAUAUCGAUUUUGAAAUGAAAUCCAUCCAAAUUGAUGACAUUUUAUAAAUUUCAAGCAAUGGUAAUAGAGUAUUAGAAAAAGAGUGUCAAUUUUUUUUGCUAAUAUUCCUUAAAAAAAUAAGAUCGUAUGAGUUUUUUAGGUAGAAGCACUUUGGACAUUUAUUACCAAUCCAACUUUGAUUUUUUUAUUUAUUUAUUAUUCACUACGGUGUGUUUGGAUCAACUGAAAAAAGUAGGUUAUUUUAAUAUUUGAUUAUAUUAAUAACAAUUAUUGGUAUAAUACAUUAUAAUCCGAAUAAGUUUUUGUUUGAGUUUGUUUCUUGUAAACUUAUAUAUUUUAAGAUAAUUAUUUUUUUAUGGAUGAAGAAAAUAAUUAUUUUUUAAUUAAAAAAAUACCUUUAAUUUUACAAAUUUGAGUUGUUUUUCAAAUUAUAUAAGAUUAACACACUAUAAAAAAACUAAAAUUUUCAAUAUACCGAAUCAUCAUUCAGAUAGUCUCUUCUCUCCAUGUGAAGAGUUAUAAAAAUUCUAUUAAGAAAUAAAAAAACUUCCGGUUGAAGAAGAAUAAUGAAGUCACCUAUAUCCAUGUAAAUCUUGUUUCCUAUCUCUACAAAUAUGAAGGAAUUUUUUAAUUAUUAUUCAAAAAAGUUUCUUCUAUUAUUUUCUCUUGUAUUAUUCACUAAAAAGACUAUAAUAAUAACGGAAUUACGGUUAGAGAGUAAAAAAAAAGAAUUCAAGGUUAACACCAUUGAGGAAAAAAAAAAUCCUUUCUAUUAGAACAUCUAAAAAGUUUUUUAUAUGAUUUUUAGUAAAAUAAAAAAAUAUUAAGCAUAAACAACACAUUGGGAAACAUUCUCGAAAGUUUUGAGUAAAUGAAUGUAACUAACAAGUAGAAAUAAUAAGAUUUCUCUUUUAUCCCAUUUCAUUAAUUCAUUAAGUAUGUAUAAAAAAGCGAUCAAUAUAGAAUCUCUUGCAUACUUAUACUCUUUCUUAUUUCUAUUUGAAAAUUUUUCUUAAUGUUAACAUUCUCGAACAGGUGUUAAGAAAAGUGCUUAAUUAGAUUAGACAUCAUUUACGGAUUCAGAUACAUUAUGUUAUUUAGACAAUUAUUAUAGAUUAAAAUAUUUCUAAAAAUUUUCAUGAUAAUUUGAUAUAAUGUAUUCAUAAUGAUUAUAUUAGUAUUUUAUAAGAAUUUUUCUAAAAUUACCAACCAUUUAUGUUCACAAUUGAAACACAAUUAAAGACCAAUAAAAUUUACUAGAACAAAUAACGUAUUUGUUAGAUUUUAAACUAGAUAUUGGGUUCAUAUAUUUCUAAGCACAAACAAACUAGAACAAAUCCAAGUUGAAUUGCAUCAAAUUUUCUAAAAGGCUAUUAGACAAUGAAUAUAAUCAUUAUUGGUCUUGGUGCUUAUAAUUAUACAAUAAAUAUGAACUUAGCAGACAAAAUGAAAAUUAUUUUUAACUUUAUUAAAAGAUGAGGAAACCAAAAAUUCACCUGGCAGAAGAAACUACUAAUGUACAGAAGCAGAACAAAUCUAAAUCUACAAAAAUGAAACGAAAGCUUGAGUAUAUUGCUGCAUAUACCAUCAAGAAUGAACAGUUAACAUGGCCUAGUGUCAUGAAUAAACACUUAAUCACCCAAAGAACCUAGAAGGAGAACAUAUGAGAUGGAAAUUAAGUCAUUUACCUUUCAACAACCAAGGUCAUGCCAUAAGUUGCUAUCUCAGGAAAUUUCCCGAAGCUAUCAUUAGUUCAUUACCAAACUAUUUAAUUUCAUUGACAUAUGUCUUGCUACCAGAUUUUAUGUAACAAAGAUUUUAAAAGCCUUAUAAAAAGCCAAGAUUGCAUGUGAAUCAAAUCGUAAAAAGGGUACAAUUCAAUAGUUUUGCAAAAAUAUAAUUGUAAUAGCUACAACAUCACAAUACUUCAAUUUCAAACAUGAAAUUAAACAUAUGACUUAAAACAACACUAAAAUUCUUUAUUAUAAUAUGUGGAGCCUCAAAAAAAGAAUUAAAAAGAAAUUACUUCUAUAUAUUGCUAGGAAACAGAAUCAUGAUUCCUCUAAAUCCAAGCUUUCAAACCAUUUUAUAUCCUAUUUAAGUCAAAUCGUUAAAACGUAUCUUUGUAUCCAUUUUAUGAAAGUGAAAUCAUCUUUAAAAUAUUAAUGCUUUAGGCUAAGACAAAUCAUCCCCAUUUUCAUUGCAUCGGUUGGAAAUCAUUGUAGCACCCGGCCAUAUCAAAUAAAUUAGUAUGUAAAGCACUAUUUCUUCCUACUUAGUCUAACCAAAAUUAAUUAAAAUGAAUAGGAGAUUUGUUUUAAUUAGAGUUAGAGUCCUACAUUACAAAUUGAGAUUAUUUGAUUCAUUAAUAAAUUUUAAGAGCCAAACAUUUCACAAAAUUAAUCUUAUGUGUUUAACCCAUGAUAACCGAUAAAUAUGGAUUAUUUUUUAUAAUAAAAAUAUAUUAAAAAUAUCUUUAAAAAUAUUUAUUUAAUAAUUAUUUUUAGCUUAAAUAUUAUGAAUUGAUAUUUUUUUCUAUUUAUAACUUACAUGUAUGAAAAAGAGGAAUUAAAAAAGAAAAAAAGAUUAAAAAAUAUAAAAAAUAUAAAUAAGAAAAAUGUUGACAUUAAACCCAAGUCUAAGGAAAACAAUCACGUUAACCAUUCUAAGAUUGAGAACUCUCUCAACCUAUUUUUUUUUGUAUUUUAAAUUAAUUCCUAUCUCUGUCUGUCAAUUAAAUUUAUAUUAAUUUAAGUAUAAAUAAAAUUAAUACUUAAAUUUUUUAAUAUUUUACUAUUUAAGAUAAUUUGAUGCAUUUAUGAAUGAGUUACCAACCCACUCAUACACUACAAUUAUUCCCUUGAAAUUCAGCUAUUAACAAUGAAGAAUUGGCCCUAUAUAGUAGCAGAAGUGGAUAUAUACCGAUAGGGGAGGAUAGCAAAAGCCAUUCAAAAACAAAGAAAAACAUAAUAUGUAGCUUUAUCCAUGUAUUAGGAUCAUAUUCGUGUAGCAUUAAAAGAACAAAGUUUUUUCAGUGACAAACUCCUAAAAGCAUCAUGUCAAAGCCGUAGAAUCAACGAGCAUCCCAUAAAUAAAAAUAAAUAAAAUCACCAUAUUCAUGCACAAUUACACGUAGAAAUUAAUAAAAUCUUGUCCCCCGACAUCCGUACAACAAGAUAACGAAGAAAAAUCUGGUUGAAGUCUACCAUAAACCCAAGGCCUUCAAUCCAAAACAUAUUGCAUUAAAUCAGGAGUUUCAACUUUCAAGCUAUUAAUCCAAUUAAGAUUUUAUAUCCUUUUUUUUAAUAUUCAACUUGAGCUAUCUGUCUCCAUUAUUAAAUCUUUAAAGUUCUGAAAAUGAAAAUUCAUCAUCCCUAUAGAACACAAAAUAAUACAGAUAGACAAGUGCAAGUUAUUACACAAAGUUGAUAUUCAAACUAUACAAUAAAAAGAGGAUCGAAUGACAAUAAUGAGAGUGAUUAAAAAAAUAUACAAAUUCAAGGUCAUGACAACUCUGAUUCUGUGAAAAGGGAAGUCCAAAUGAAUGAAGAAUAAAAGACACUCAUUACCUAGUGUUUAGUUAACUUUCUGCUAGAAAUACUCUUACUUCGAGCCACAUCAGGUGCCAACUAAUUCUAUUUCUGCUCUGAGAAACUACCAUAAAAAUUUGUUUGGGAAUCCACAACCCUACCACCUUUUUCUGCAAACCCCUAAUUGAAAAGAGAGUAUAAUAAACACAAAAAGCUUGUGGGGAAAAUUAAAAGAGAGGGAGAGGGAGAGGGAGAGAGCACGAGAGAAAAAUUAAAAUUAAAAUAAUAUUUUUAGGAUAGUUGUAAAUAUUGUAUCAUGUACCAUAGAAAUGAUUAUAAAUGUAUCUAGAUUCAUGUACUUGUCCCUAUAAAAGACUAAUAUUUUUAACAGAAAAUAAAAAAAAAAGAGUUAAAAUGAAACCAUAAAAAUUUAAAAUAAAACUUUUAAAAUUUGAUAUACUAAAUCAGAAAAGAAAAAUACUAAAAUAUAAACGAUGAAAAUAUUUUUUUUUAAAACUUAAUAUUCCUAAAAAUAAAAUAAAAAAAUACAAAGAACCAAAAGUAAUAUAUAUCUGGAGGCCUAAAUGCCAAAAACAAUCACACAACUAAAACGAAAAGGCAUCAUCUGGAUGGGGCAACGCAUUCAACAACUAAUGAUACUCCAAAUUAAAUGAGUAAAUUUAUAAAUGUACAAUCCAUUUUUGUGUGGAUUGGACAAGGCAAUUAAGAGAGAUGUGAUAUCAUAGCAAAUAUAGAUAUUAAAAAAUAUAAGAUGAAAGAGAAUGAGUUUUAAGUAGGAUGUAUGUUUAUAAUGAUAACUCCUAAUACUAUUCUUCCUAAGCUCAUAAAUCCAUAACAUCCAAGUUUGUGUGAAACAUAAGACUUAGACUUGGUGUAUAUUUGAAUUAAAGUUGACGAUUUUAAUAUUAUAGUAGUUUUAUUGUAUAAGUUCAAGAAGGACUUUGGUCUUGCUUUUUUGUAAAUUUGAUUUCGAAUAUAAGUGUGUAAACAUACUCUUAAAGAUAACUAAACAUACUCUUAAAGAUAACUAAAUAUAUCAUAUGAAAUAAAAAUGAGUUUAUGCUCCAAACCAAGUUUAAAACACCAAAAUAAAAUCCAAACAUGUUGAUAUCGAUGUUAUUAAUAGUCUAAUGCAAAAGAAGCAAAUCGUAGACAGAAAAUGAUAACUAAAAGCAUUCACCAAAGCCCACCAUGGCAAAAGUUGUGAUUAGUAUAUAAUGUUGGAGCAUGUUGUGCUUAUUAGAAAUCGAAAGCUCCACCUUUGGUUUCUUUGAUGACAAUAUAUAAGAGUGCCGUUGAGGUAGGUGACGUUGUAGUAGAAAUUCAUGUCGGGGACAACACAUCGUGGUAGCACCUACUGAUGGGGUGACAACACAUCUUUAGCAGGACAAUUAAAGAAUAGUCGAUGAAGAACAAUUGAAUAAAAAGCAAAAAAGAAUCACCAAUUCGAAACAAAUAGUAUAGCACUGCACUACUAACUCACCCCAUCAACCGCAAGUGGCAAAUGACUCCAAACCCAAAACAAUGAAGAAAAUAACCAUUAGUUAAAAUUCGUGAAAUGGGAAUAUCUGAGUAUAAAAUUACAACUAAUCUGAAGGAAUCUGCUAAACAACCUAAUCUUCUAUCAUUUUCAUUUGAUAUUUAAAUUAUUGACUGCUGAAACAAAACUCAUAAAAGAUAAAAUCUGCAACAAUAAUAAUAGAACUCUAUCUAAAACUUAUUCAAAAUUCAAAUAAGGCAGGUCUCAUAUCUUAGCUAGACANNNNNNNNNNNNNNNNNNNNNNNNNNNNNNNNNNNNNNNNNNNNNNNNNNNNNNNNNNNNNNNNNNNNNNNNNNNNNNNNNNNNNNNNNNNNNNNNNNNNCUGGUUCUAAUGUCACGACAGGGGACAUACGCCUCAAAGGUGCCAUAUGGUCGCUGCCGAGUGAAAACGAGAGCCUGUCGUGGGAGGACGGAGUUUUGGACUUGGAGAGUGCGGCGAUGCAUCAGAUAGGGCAUCUUCUAGGGCUUGACCACUCUAACAAAGAGGACUCUGUUAUGUACCCUAACGUAUUGCCAUGGCAGCAACGAAAGGUGGAGCUCUCGGUUUCUGAUAUGGAAAACAUUCAGCGUCACUACACUAACGGCAUCUCUGGCCACAGUGGGCGUUGGGGAGUGCUUUUAAUGAAUAUCUUGUCUCUUGGAUUUGCUUACGAGCUUCUUUAAUUUUGUAUUGGUAUUUGGGUUUAUGAGCUUUUGGGAACAAUUUCAUGACUGUUGACUUGAGUAUAAUGCAUGUGUUCCCCAAACCAGGCAUGACAAUCAAACCCAUAUCCGUGAUAUUGUUCAAAGAAAAUACACGUACCUUAAAAGAAAAUACUCUGGGAGCCAGAACAAAUUAAAUCUUACUAUAUAUUAACUACCUUUUUUAUAUUUUUAAUUUUGGAUAAAAAUAUUUUUACUCCAUCUGAAAUAUGGGAAAUUUAAAAUUAGUCUCUUUAAAUUUUUUUGUCUCAAUGUCUCUAAAAUUUUAACAUGUUAUUUCAUUUAGCAUGUUAAUUAGUUUGUUACUAAACAAUGUAUCUAACACCUUAUGAUCACCAAUUUUUCAUUUUCUGUCAGUUCACCCUGUGACAUUUUUUCACUUUCUUUGGCCAUUCUUAGGGAUUCUUGGAGCAUCAUUCACCUCUUGAUCAUGGCGCACUUGAUGCCUUGGAUUUUUUGGAGGUUUAAAAUGCAUGGGCUGGGAUUUUUGAAGAUCAAGGUUAUUGUCACCUAAACACGUGGUUUUCUUUUCUAUUUCUACCAUCUUAAAAUACUUUUAUGCUUGUAUUUAUUGAUCUUAGUUUGGGGUUUGAAUUUCUUUUUAUCAUGACCAUCUAAGCUUAUAUUAUGAGGGAUGUUGUGACUUGAAUAUUAUGAAUUUUUCUAAUGUGUUGUGUAUAUUUGUCUUAUUGUACUUAAUUUUGAGUUUGGGAAUUGACUUUAAAGUGUUAAUUAAUAGACUAAUUAGUAACCAUCCAUAGAGACGUUCCCUAAUGUUCCAUUCAAUUAAUUAUACUUUUAGUAGUUUUUAACCUGUGAAGUUCAAAUAAUUAAGACGAAAAAAAUAGCAAAAGAAAUAUAUUAAAUGGCCACAACAUAGGGGACGUACGGUGCUUUAACUUUGAUAUUAUUAGCAUAAUCUUUUAACAAAUUGAGUUAAUGAGUCAAUUACGUUAUAAAAUAAAUAAUGUUACUAUACGUAAUAUUAAAAUUUCUAAUGUAUAUUUAAUACGGAUGUAAAUUUAAAUAAUAAAUUUUGUGACAAUUAAUUUUGAUAUAAGUCAUACAAAUUAUUUAAUUCGUAUAAUUUAUAUCAAAAUUAAUUGUAAUAAAAUUUAUUAUUUAAAUUUAUAUGCGUAUUAAAUAUACAUUAGAAAUUUUAGUGUUAUGUAUAGUAACAUUAUUUAUUUUAUAACAUAAUUGAUUCAUUAACUCAGUUGAUUAAAGCGUUAUGUUAAUAACCUGAAAAUUUACAGAAGAAUUUUUUUUUUGUAAGAGUUACGAGUGAAGGACAAGGCAAAAUUAGAAAAAUAAAAAAAUACUGGGUACAUCAGAAAUACUAUUGAUACACCUAGCAACACUCUUUUAGAAGGUAGCUUAAUAUAGAACUUAGCUAAGAAGUAAAUAAAUGUUUGUUAAAAAUUAUUUUUCUUUCACGAUCGAACUCAAAUAAUUUAAUUUUAUUUUCAACACAUUAAUCAUUUUAUUUUAUGUUGAAUCAUUUGAUUUCAAGUCAUAUGUUCUUAUCAAUCCUUAUCAAUGAAGUUUUCUCAUAUGUUAAAAAAAAGCCCCGAAAAUAAAGAAGGGCAAAAAAAGAAAGGGCCUCAAUAAAUGGAGAUAGAAAAAAAUAGUGAGUUCAUACAAGCAAGCCUUCGGUGAAUGCCACUUUAUCAAUCCAGAAAAGUACGAUUGCUCGAAAGGAUAAAUAUAUUUAGAUGCCGAAAAUACUAUUAUACACCUAUUAAAAAAGAGUGAAUUUUAUAAGUAUAUUAAAUAUAUGAUGUGAUGUGAGAAGAAGAAAAAAAAGAAAUGUUAAAAAACUAUUUAAAAUAAUGGAGUAUUCAAAAAUAACAUAUUUAGUACUUGGGCAAAUUUCCCCAUUUGGGGUACUUUUAAAAAGUAUUUUCCCAGAUGGGAUUGUUUUAAAAGAUUUUUCGGCAGGGGACUGUUUUGCACGUAAAAUGCAUGCAUGUUCCAAGCAAACUGCCAGUGAGACUGGCGAGUUUGCUCUCCAUGAACAAAUAACAGGUAAUAAUGGCGAUACUGCCAUGCAUAGGAAACCGCCAGUUUGACUGGCGAGUUCCACUAGGUAGGGCUUCAGCUUUGCAACAGGGAGCUCAGGAGCUCAGGCUUUUGCAGGAUGCAGGCGUGACAGGGAAAUCGUCACUCCUAUAGGCGAGUUAGUCUAAAGUGGAGUUGCCAAUGGUAUUGGCGAGUUAGGUGGGAGGUGCCACCUGCAUUGGCGAUUUAGCGUGUAAAUAUAGGUCCUUUUACGUUGCAGUUUCAGUGUGUGUUGCACUUUUUUAAAAGCUCUCAACUCAAAAUUUCCUUCUUCUCACGUAGUUUCAGUGUGUGUUACACUUUUUUAAAAGCUCUCAGCUCAAAAUUUCCUUCUUCUCACGUUUACAUUUGUUUUGUCAUAAGCUUUCCAAAUUUGGUGGUUCAGGUUUAAUUUGUAGCAUCAAUAUUUUCAGUCAAGUAAUUUUUUUUUAAUGUGAAGUUUUGAAUAAUUUUUUUAAUUAAAUUAGCUUUAUAUUUCUUAUGGUUGUUGGUGUGUGUUUAAAAUAAAAGAAAUUUGUACCAUCAUCUUUAUUUGAAGAAAAUAUUGAGUCCAAAAAUUGUAUUUUGAAUUUCAAGUUUUUAUUAUAUUUUUAAUUAGAUUAGGUUAGUUUUGAUGUUUUGUUAUUGUGUUAAAAAUUGAUCAAGUGUAUACUUUUAAAAGAUUUUAAAACUGAAAAAUUUUGUACCAUCAUAUUUAUUUGAAGUAUUUUGAGUGUGGAAUUUUUUUUAAUAUGAGGUUGUAGUAAUAUUUUUUUUAAAUUACUUUAGGUUGAUGUUAAUGAUUUGUUGGUAUGUGGUAAAAAUUAAUGAGCGUUGAACUUGAAUGGUAUUUUAAAUUUUAAUAUGAAGUGUGUAGUAUAUAAUUAAUAUGUGUACUUUUAAAGUGUUGUUUAGUUCAGCGUUUUUAAAUUUAUACUUUUAAGUCUAUGACAUCAUUUUUAUUUUAAUGUAUUUAUAGUAAUUUUGUAAUUACGUUUAUUUAUUUAGAAUUUAUUAUUGUUAACAUUAAUUAUUUAUAAUACUAACUUUGGUUAUGGUUUAUUUUGCCUUUAAAAUUAGUUCGUUGGAAUCGUUUAUAUUUUUUAAGUGUGUACCAUUAUAUUUAUUUAAAGUUAAUAUUUUUUGUAUAUAAUAAAAUUAUAAUGUGAAGUUCCAGCAAUGGGAUUUUUUGUGAUUUCAUUUUGUUAUUUUGAAUUUAUUAUGAUUAAUUAUUUAAAAUAUUGUUUUUGUAGGUACAUCAUGAAUUCAGUUAUAAUAGUAUUAUAUUUCAAUGAAAGGGUAUAUGAAGAUAAUGAUGGUGUAAGAUUUGAAGACAAUAAAAAAGCGAUUCAGAUUAAACGUGGAAUUAGUUUCAAUGUUUUGAAGAAAAAAAUUGGAGAUAAUGUAAAGUUAGAAAAUAAUGAAAUUAUUUGUGCUAUCAGUUGUAGAUUUUUAGUGUCUGAAAAAUAUGUUGCGUUACAAAUUUGUGAUGACGAAGAUGUUGAAACCAUGCUCAAAAGUUUUAAACAACAAGAUCAAAUGUCAGCUUUGAAAUUGACAACAAAAAUUUUACAUUAAAAAAAUUAACUACACUUACAAAAAAUCAAUUGAAUAUACAUACCACAUAAUUAAAAUCUGAAUAAAUAACAAAAUACAUCAAUUUGAACAAAUAACAAAAUUAAAAAUAACAAUACGUACACAAAUUUCAAUAAAUGCUCUAAAAUACUCUACAAAUAACAAAAUUACAAAUUAAACACGUACAUAAAUUUAACACAACAAAACUUAAAAUAUUACCUAAAAUACUCUACAAAUAACAAAAUUAAAAAUUACAUGCCUACACAAAUUUAAAUAAAUGACCAAAUUAAAAUACAUAACAAAAUUAAAAAUUUAAACACGUACAUAAAUUUAAUACAAAAUAACUUAAAAUACUACCUAAAAUACUCUACAAAUAACAAAAUUAAAAAUUAAAUAACUACAUAAAUUUAAAUAAAUGACCAAAUUAAAAUACAUAACACAAAAUUAAAAAUUAAAUACCUACACAAAUUUAAAUAAAUGACCAAAUUAAAAUACAUAACAAAUUUAAAAAUUUAAACACGUACAUAAAUUUAACACAAAAAAACUUAAAAUACUACCUAAAAUACUCUACAAAUAACAAAAUUAAAAAUUAACAUACCAACAUAAAUUUAAAUAAAUGACCAAAUUAAAAUACGUACAUAACAAAAUUAUAAAAUAAAACACGUACAUAAAUUUAACACAACAAAACUUAAUUUACUAACUAAAAUACUCUACAAAUAACAAAAUUAAAUAUUAAAAUACCUACAUAAAUUUAAAUAAAUGACCAUAUUUUUUUUCCAAUUAUUAAAAUUUAAAUUAAAUAACAUAUAUUAUACACAAAAAAUGGUAAUAAAUCAAAAAAUUACUAUGGGAUAAAAAAAUUAAGCGAUCUAUAUAUAUAAAAUUAAUAAAGUAUCAUAUAUUUCAAUAAAAACUAUAAAUAAGUAAACUAAAUACUAUUCACAUUCUAACUAAACCUAAAAUACCAUAUAUAUAAUACAAAAAAUAUCAUACAAACCUAAUAAAUCUAAACCAAAUAAUAAUAACAUAACAACUAAAAUUAACGUACAAAUAAUUUUAUCACAAAUAAUAACAUAAAUUUAAAAAAACCUAACUUAACUAAUAUUAACAUAUCAACUAAAAUUACCAAGUUAAAAAACACUUACUAACAGAGAAAUCACAUAAUAGGAAGAGGAGAGAAACCACGUAAUAGGAAGAACAAAGCACUGUCCUACAAACAUAAACAAACCUAACGUAAAUAAUUUUCAUAUAUCAACUACAAUUAAGUUAAUAUAUAUAUAUAUAUAUAUAUAUAUAUAUAUAUAUAUAUAUAUAUAUAUAUAUAACACAACAAAUAUUUACCAUUAAAAAAUACUUACCAAGAAGAAAAAGCAGAACAAAAUAAGAACACCACAAUGUACUGCAGGAACUUAUGAAGAAGAGGAAGAAAGCAAUGCAAGGAAGCAGCUGCGGAAUCCGUCAUGGAGCUUCUUCUUUUAUAAUGCAACAUUUUUCAAUUACCACAACUCGCCAGCCACGCUAACGAUUUCCGUCAAAUGCAAAUUGCCAUCCCUAUUGGUGGUUCCCUCCUGCACUGCUGACCACUGAACCCUGCACACCUGCAUGGCCUGACGGACUCCUGCAAAGCUGCAUGGCCUGACUCCUGCAAAGCUGGACCUCCUGAGCCUACCUAGUGGAACUCGCCAGUCAAAUUGGCGGGUCCCUAUGCAUGACAGUAUCACCAUUACCACAACUCGCCAGCCACUCUAACGAUUUCCGUCAAAUGCAAAUUGUCAUCCCUAUUGGUGGUUCCCUCCUGCACUGCUGACCACUGAACCCUGCACACCUGCAUGGCCUGACGGACUCCUGCAAAGCUGCAUGGCCUGACUCCUGCAAAGCUGGACCUCCUGAGCCUACCUAGUGGAACUCGCCAGUCAAAUUGGCGGGUCCCUAUGCAUGACAGUAUCACCAUUGCUACUUGCGAUUUGUUCACGGAGAGCAAACUCGCUAGUUCCACUGGCGAUUUGCGUGGUGCAUGCAUGCAAAACAUGUAAAUAACAGCCCCCUCUCGGAAAAACUUUAAAAAGGACCCCAUCUGGGACAAUACUUUUUAAAAGUACCCAAAAUGAGAAAUUUGCCUAGUACUUGAUCCUUUUUUCUCUUUGAAGAGGAUGAGCUCGAGAUUCACUUAUGAUCCUUGUGUUUAUUAUAAAAUUUAGUCCAUUAAUCAAGUUUGAAUCAAUAAGUUAUAUAUUAGUUCGAAUAAGAUUAGACUCAGUAUUCUAUAUUUAUUUUUUCAUGUGUAUUUUUUUAUAUAUUAAAAAGUUGUAGCAUAGUUCCAAAUAUAUUAAUUUUAUGACUUACUCAAAAUUGUUUUAAAUUUUAAAAAUAACUAUUUUUUUUAAUAAAAAAUUAGGGGUGGCAUAAGAGAAAGGUCUAAGCAUAGUAAAAAAAAAAUUAAAAAAUGCUUUUCUCACGAUGCAUAAGAAAAUGUCCCUUAUGCAUUUUCUUAUGAUCGAUUGAUUAGUUGGAGCAAACAAAAAUGAGAAAAAAUGCUCCACAAAAUAAUUCAAUCAUGUAUUUUUUUAAAAUUUCUUAAAAAUUUCUAGCAUAGUUCCAUAUAUAUUAAUUUUAAUUAUGACUAAAAUAGUUUAAAUAUAAAAAACUAUUUAUCUUUUAGAAAUAUCUUUAAAAUAAUUAAACAAAUAAUAAUUUAAGUGAAUAAAACAAAAAAAAGUUAUAAAAAAUAAUUUUAAAAGAUUUUUGUGGAUAAAUGAGAGGGGGUAUUUUGAAAUAAUUAAAAAAUAUUAAUUUUUUAAAAUACUGUAAUGGAUUAAUUGGAUAUUCAUCCAUAAAAAUGUUAAUUAAUGCAUUUAUUAAAUUGAUCAUGAACACAUUAAGUUUGUUUUAUGAAUUUUGAAUGGAUAUUCAUAAAUGAAAUUGUGGUAUUUUUGCUAAUGAUAAUAUUUUUUCUCAUCAUUAUAUGUAGUUCAUCUCUCUUCUAAGAAGGUAAAAAGUUAUGCUUUGUUUGACAUGUUGUGGUAUGGUCUACUUUGAUUAUGCAUAACAAAAUUGUGUUUCAAGGCGUUUUCUUUUGACUUUAAUGGUGUUUUGUACUUGAUAAAAAAGGUUGUUUUGUAGACAUGGUAUGAGACUAUGAGCAAUACUGUCCGUUCUUUUUUAAUUAGUGUAUUGAUCAUGUAAUUUAUCUUUAUUUGUUCCUUUGGUUUUGCAUUAAUUGUAAUACAUAUGUAUUAGGAUUGGAAUACCCAUUGUACUCUUUUUCUUAAAAUAAAUAAAUAAAUAAAACUUUGCUUUUAAAAUAAAUGUACGUUAGCCGCACUCUCUUUUUAAUAUUUUCUCUUAUACCAUUAGCUGAAAAAAUUAACAAUUUUGGUGGGAUUUUGUUUCUUUUAAUGAGGUAUCUCUAUCUAUCUAUAUCGAUUUCGAAAUGAAAUCCAUCCAAAUUGAUGACAUUUUAUAAAUUUCAAGCAAUGGUAAUAGAGUAUUAGAAAAAGAGUGUCAAUUUUUUUUGCUAAUAUUCCUUAAAAAAAUAAGAUCGUAUGAGUUUUUUAGGUAGAAGCACUUUGGACAUUUAUUACCAAUCCAACUUUAAUUGUUUUUUUAUUUAUUAUUCACUACGGUGUGUUUGGAUCAACUGAAAAAAUUAGGUUAUUUUAAUAUUUGAUUAUAUUAAUAACAAUUAUUGGUAUAAUACAUUAUAAUCCGAAUAAGUUUUUGUUUGAGUUUGUUUCUUGUAAACUUAUAUAUUUUAAGAUAAUUAUUUUUGUAUGGAUGAAAAAAAUAAUUAUUUUUUAAUUAAAAAAAUACCUUUAAUUUUACAAAUUUGAGUUGUUUUUCAAAUUAUAUAAGAUUAACACACUAUAAAAAAACUAAAAUUUUCAAUAUACCGAAUCGUCAUUCAGAUAGUCUCUUCUCUCCAUGUGAAGAGUUAUAAAAAUUCUAUUAAGAAAUAAAAAAAACUUCCGGUUGAAGAAGAAUAAUGAAGUCACCUAUAUCCAUGUAAAUCUUGUUUCCUAUCAAAUCGUAAUAGCUACAACAUCACAAUAGUUUUGCAAGAUUGCAUGUGAAUCAAAUCGUAAAAAGGGUACAAUUCAAUAGUUUUGCAAAAAUAUAAUUGUAAUAGCUACAACAUCACAAUACUUCAAUUUCAAACAUGAAAUUAAACAUAUGACUUAAAACAACACUAAAAUUCUUUAUUAUAAUAUGUGGAGCCUCAAAAAAAGAAUUAAAAAGAAAUUACUUCUAUAUAUUGCUAGGAAACAGAAUCAUGAUUCCUCUAAAUCCAAGCUUUCAAACCAUUUUAUAUCCUAUUUAAGUCAAAUCGUUAAAACGUAUCUUUGUAUCCAUUUUAUGAAAGUGAAAAUCAUCUUUAAAAUAUUAAUGCUUUAGGCUAAGACAAAUCAUCCCCAUUUUCAUUGCAUCGGUUGGAAAUCAUUGUAGCACCCGGCCAUAUCAAAUAAAUUAGUAUGUAAAGCACUAUUUCUUCCUACUUAGUCUAACCAAAAUUAAUUAAAAUUAAUAGGAGAUUUGUUUUAAUUAGAGUUAGAGUCCUACAUUACAAAUUGAGAUUAUUUGAUUCAUUAAUAAAUUUUAAGAGCCAAACAUUUCACAAAAUUAAUCUUAUGUGUUUAACCCAUGAUAACCGAUAAAUAUGGAUUAUUUUUUAUAAUAAAAAUAUAUUAAAAAUAUCUUUAAAAAUAUUUAUUUAAUAAUUAUUUUUAGCUUAAAUAUUAUGAAUUGAUAUUUUUUUCUAUUUAUAACUUACAUGUAUGAAAAAGAGGAAUUAAAAAAGAAAAAAAGAUUAAAAAAUAUAAAAAAUAUAAAUAAGAAAAAUGUUGACAUUAAACCCAAGUCUAAGGAAAACAAUCACGUUAACAUUAUUAAGAUUGAGAACUCUCUCAACCUAUUUUUUUUUUGUUAUUUUAAAUUUAAUUUCUUAUCUCUUGCCUGUCAAUUAAAUUUAUAUUAAUUUAAGUAUAAACAAAAUUAAUACUUAAAUUUUUUAAUAUUUUACUAUUUAAGAUAAUUUGAUGCAUUUAUGAAUGAGUUACCAACCCACUCAUACACUACAAUUAUUCCCUUGAAAUUCAGCUAUUAACAAUGAAGAAUUGGCCAUAUAUAGUAGCAGAAGUGGAUAUAUACCGAUAGGGGAGGAUAACAAAAGCCAUUCAAAAACAAAGAAAAACAUAAUAUGUAGCUUUAUCCAUGUAUUAGGAUCAUAUUCGUGUAGCAUUAAAAGAACAAAGUUUUUCAGUGACAAACUCCUAAAAGCAUCAUGUCAAAGCCGUAGAAUCAACGAGCAUCCCAUAAAUAAAAAUAAAUAAAAUCACCAUAUUCAUGCACAAUUACACGUAGAAAUUAAUAAAAUCUUGUCCCCCGACAUCCGUACAACAAGAUAACGAAGAAAAACCCCGGUUGAAGUCUAUCAUAAACCCAAGGCCUUCAAUCCAAAACAUAUUGCAUUAAAUCAGGAGUUUCAACUUUCAAGCUAUUAAUCCAAUUAAGAUUUUAUAUCCUUUUUUUUAAUAUUCAACUUGAGCUAUCUAUCUCCAUUAUUAAAUCUAUAAAGUUCUGAAAAUGAAAAUUCAUCAUCCCUAUAGAACACAAAAUAAUACAGAUAGACAAGUGCAAAUUAUUACACAAAACUGAUAUUCAAACUAUACAAUAAAAAGAGGAUCGAAUGACAAUAAUGAGAGUGAUUAAAAAAAUAUACAAAUUCAAGGUCAUGAUGACAACUCUGAUUCUGUGAAUAGGGAGGUCCAUAUGAAUGAAGAAUAAAAGCCAGUCAUUACCUAGUGCUUAGUUAACUUUCUACUAGAAAUACUCUUCCUUCGGGUCACAUCAGGUGCCAACUAAUUCUACUUCUGCUCUGAGAAACUACCAUAAAAAUUUGUUUGGGAAUCCACAACCCUAACACCUUUUUCUACAAACCCCUAAUUGAAAAGAGAGUAUAAUAAACACAAAAAGCUUGUGGGGAAAAUUAAAAGAGAGGGAGAGGGAGAGAGCGCGAGAGAAAAAAUAAAAUUAAAAUAAUAUUUUUAAGAUAGUUUUAAAUAUUGUAUCAUGUACCAUAGAAAUGAUUAUAAAUGGAUCUAGAUUUAUGUCCUUGUCCCUGUAAAAGACUAAUAUUUUUAACAAAAUAAAUAAAAAAGUUAAAAUGAAACUAUAAAAAUUUAAAAUAAAACUUUUAAAAUUUAAUAUACUAAAUCAGAAAAGAAAAAUACUAAAAUAUAAACGAUGAAAAUAAUUUUUUUAAAACUUAAUAUUCCCUAAAAAUAAAAUAAAAAAUCCAAAGAACCAAAAGUACUAUAUAUCUGGAGGCCUAAAUGCCACAAACAAUCACACAACUAAAACGAAAAGGCAUCGUAUGGAUGGGGCAACGCAUUCAACAACUAAUGAUGCUCCAAAUUAAAUGAGUAAAUUUAUAAAUGUACAAUCCAUUUUUGUGUGGAUUGGACAAGGCAAUUAAGAGAGAUGUGAUAUCAUAGCAAAUAUAGAUAUUAAAAAAUAUAAGAUGAAAGAGUAUGAGUUCUAAGUAGGAUGUAUGUUUAUAAUGAUAACUCAUAAUACUAUUCUUCCUAAGCUCAUAAAUCCAUAACAUCCGAGUUUGAGUGAAACAUAAGACUUAGACUUGGUGUAUAUUUGAAUUAAAGUUGACGAUUUUAAUAUUAUAGUAGUUUUAUUGUAUAAGUUCAAGAAGGACUUUGGUCUUGCUUUUUUGUAAAUUUGAUUUCGAAUAUAAGUGUGUAAACAUACUCUUAAAGAUAACUAAACAUACUCUUAAAGAUAACUAAAUAUAUCAUAUGAAAUAAAAAUGAGUUUAUGCUCCAAACCAAGUUUAAAACACCAAAAUAAAAUCCAAACAUGUUGAUAUCGAUGUUAUUAAUAGUCUAAUGCAAAAGAAGCAAAUCGUAGACAGAAAAUGAUAACUAAAAGCAUUCACCAAAGCCCACCAUGGCAAAAGUUGUGAUUAGUAUAUAAUGUUGGAGCAUGUUGUGCUUAUUAGAAAUCGAAAGCUCCACCUUUGGUUUCUUUGAUGACAAUAUAUAAGAGUGCCGUUGAGGUAGGUGACGUUGUAGUAGAAAUUCAUGUCGGGGACAACACAUCGUGGUAGCACCUACUGAUGGGGUGACAACACAUCUUUAGCAGGACAAUUAAAGAAUAGUCGAUGAAGAAAAAUUGAAUAAAAAGCAAAAAAUAAUAUAUAUAUAUAUAUAUAUAUAUAUAUAUAUAUAUAUAUAUAUAUAUAUAUAUAUAUAUAUAUAUAUAUAUAUAUAUAUAUACCUUUCUAAUUAAAUAUUUUAAUAAUAUAAUAAAAUAAAAUAGUAAAUUAUAAAUUUAAAAAUACUAAAAUAAGUAAAUCUAAUAAUAUAUUACUAUGGGAUGAUAAUUUACUGAUGUUAUAGUAAUGAUAAACCAUUUUUAUCUUAAAUUUAAUAUUAUUAGAAAAUAAUAAAAACAUGUUAAACAAUAAUAAAUAUAAAAUAAUCUAAAUGAUUAAUUGUUGUUAUUAUGAAUCAUUUUCAAUGAAAAAUAUGAAUGAUAUCUUUUAUCUUCUUAGCUUUAAUGGUAGUUUUAUGUAGUUUUAGAAUAACCUAACUUUUAACCCUCUUACAAUUGAAAAAUAGUAAUAUAUAGAGGAAAUGAGGCUUAACUUGGGAACAAUAUAUAUUUAAAUACAAUAAAGUAUAAUCAGCAUUUGUGGUAUAAAUCUAGUCGGAAUCAUGUCUGUUUUCGUCAUGCAGGGGCAUAACAUUAGGCCUUCUAAUAAAAUGGUAAAUAUUAUUUUAUCCGUAUAUAAUACAUUCGUUGUUGGAGGAAGACAUAUUUUUACCAUAAUUUCUUAAAAAAAUAAAUCACUCAAUAAAGUGUUUCCUCCCAAGUCGUAAGAAAAUAAUCAAGCUAUAGAUGCGCUACGAAAUUAAUGUUUUGUAAAAUGAAAUAUAUAAAUAGGAAGAACUUGUAAAAAAAAAAAAUAGAGAUAAACAAUGAAGAAAAUAACCAUUAGUUAAAAUUCGUGAAAUGAGAAUAUCUGAGUAUAAAAUUACAACUAAUCUGAAGGAAUCUGCUAAACAACCUAAUCUUCUAUCAUUUUCAUUUGAUAUUUAAAUUAUUGACUGCUGAAACAAAACUCAUAAAAGAUAAAAUCUGCAACAACAAUAGAACUCUAUCUAAAACUUAUUCAAAAUUCAAAUAAGGCAGGUCUCAUAUCUUUAGCUAGACAAGAAGAUAUACUAUGAGGGCACUACUGACCCCGACCCUAUCACGUGCAUGCAUAUGAACUAUUAUCUACAAGUUGUCCCCACUGCCCAAGAACGAGAGCAAGUGCCAAAUGGCUCCAGCCCCAAACCACAGCGAGCAACACAAAACCAGUCCCCCAUGCCACUAGCUGUAUAUAUGCAGAUUACAAAAAGAGACGUGCACCACAUACAGAACAAAUUGAUGAAAAGUAUAAUAUAGUAUAUUUAUGAAUCACGAUUAAAAUAAAUUUCUAACAAUUACUUGAUUUUAAAAGCUUUUAUAGUUUUAAUUUCCAAAGGUUAUUAGUUUUAUUAAUAGUUUUUUAUACUCGUAUUAUAUUACAAAUAUAAUAAUGACUAAAUUAAGGUUAAUAUAUAUACCUCCUGAAUAUAUUUUGUAAAAAUACACAAACUUUCUCUAUUUUUUUAUUAUAAAAAAAUAAGGUUGCCAAGCCAUUGUUCAAAUCAAAGGGCGAUCCAAUAGUAGGUGAGAACUAAAAUAAAUUUUUAUUUUUUUUAUUUUAAAUGAAGAAUAAUACGUCGUAUUUUUUAAAUAAAUAUGGUCUUUUUAUUUUAUAAUAGCUAAUAAAAAAUUUAUAGAACUAAAUUUUACUUGUUUUAUUGUUGUUUUCACUCUCAUUCAAAGGAGUAAAAGAAUGAACUUGUCCCCGAUCCGAUAACCACACCCCACGCAGCGUAGUAAAUUUUCUUCAUCAAAAUUAUCUAUGUAAAACUCCAGCAGCAACUGGAAAAAGAUUUCGAUUUCUUUAGUUUCAGUACACCAAAGCACUCUCCAUGCGUGAAGUGAAACUAGAUGGUAUAUUCUGAAAGUGAUCCCGUGGAGAAUUUGGAAGAACAGAGAGGGUAUUCAGACAAAUUAUAGAAGCCACCGAUGAAUCAAUGAGUAGAAUAUGCUUCUUCUUUGAAGAUUAACUAUCCCCACCACGCCUGAAGGACUUAAAAGCUUCUAAAAUAAAUUUAAGAAUGAAUUUUUUUUAUUUAUUUAUAAAACUUAGUGUUCUUAUUUAUCAUUUAAAAAUGACACAUUUUAUUUUAUAAUAAUUUUUUUAAAGUAUAUUAGUACUAAAAAAUAUUUUAAUUUUUUUUUAAAACCUAAAGCCUUUCCUUGAGCUCCUUAGACCUUAAGCCGGUCCUUAUUAUCCCUGGGUGGGCAACUUGUUAAUGAUGAAUUGAAGACCCUUCAAACCUGUGUGCUACCUUAAGUAGGAGUGGAAUAUCAAUUGUUUCCACACUAGGGACAAAACUUCAUCAAACUCAUGAACUUACUCAGUCCCUUCCAGCGUGGAAUUCGCAACAACGACCCUCAGUCAUCUUCCUCUAUAUAUUACUACUCAGCUCUUAUACAUAGACCCACACAGUUAUACAACUCUAGAGAAUCAAGAAAAUUAUUUUAUAUAAAAAUAAUAUAUAUAUAUAUAUAUAUAUAUAUAUAUAUAUAUAUAUAUAUAUAUAUAUAUAUAUAUAUAUAACAUAUAAAUUAAAUAUUUUAACAAUAUAAUAAAGUAAAAUAGUAAAUUAUAAACUAUAAAAUACUUCAACAAUUAAGUUUAAUAAUACAUUAUUAGUGAAUAAUAACCUAUUGAUCUUAUAAUAAUGAUAAAUUAUGCUCAUCUCAAAUUUGUUGUUAUCAGAAAAUAAAACAUAUUUACUCAAAUUUGUUGUUAUUAGAAAACAAAACAUAUGUUAAAUAGUAAAUAUACAUAAAAUAAUCCAAAUAACUUACUGAUGUUGUUAUGAAUCAUUAUGAAUGAAAAAUGUGAAUGUUAUCUUUUAUCUUCUUAGCUUUAAUGAUAGUUUUAUGUAGUUUUAUAGUAACCUAACUUUUAACAUUCUUGCAAUUGAGAAAUAAUAAUGUAUAGAGGAAAUGAGGCUUAACUUGCGAACAAUAUAUAUUUAAAUACAAUAAAGUAUAAUCAGCAUUUGUGGUAUAAAUCUAGUUGGAAUCGCUUCUGUUUUCGUCAUGCAGUGGCAUACCUUUGGGCCUUCUAAUAAAAUGGUAAAUAUUAUUUUAUCCGUAUAUAAUACAUUCGUUGUUGGAGGAAGACAUAUUUUUACCAUAAUUUCUUAAAAACAAUAAAUCACUCAAUAAAGUGUUUCCUCCCAAGUCGCAAGAAUCAAGCUCUAGAUGCGCUAGGAAAUGUUUUGUAAAAUGAAAUAUAUAAAUAGGAAGAACUUGUAAAAAAAUAGAGAUAAACAAUGAAGAAAAUAGCCAUUAAAAUUCAUAAAAUGAGAAUAUCUAAGUAUAAGAUUACAACGAAUCUGGAUGAAUCUGCUAACAACCUAAUCUUCUAUCAUUUUCAUUUGAUAUUUAAAAUAAUUAACUGCUAAAACAAAACUCAUAAAAGAUAAAAUCUGCAACAAUAAUUGAACUCUAUCUAAAACUUAUUCUAAAUUCAAAAUUCAAGUAAGGCAAGUCUCAUAUCUUUAGCGAGAGAAAAGAAAAUACUAUCACGCCAAUACUGACCCCGACCCUAUCAGAUGCAUGAACUUUUAUGGAAAGUUGUCCCCACUCCCCAAACCCAAAACCGCAGCCAGCAACACAAAACCAGUCCCCCAUGCAAUAGCUGUAUAUAUGCAGAUUACAAAAUUAAAAGAGACACCACAGAACAAAUGAAUGAAAAGUAUAAUAGUAUAUUUAUGAACGAAGAUGAAAAUAAAUUUCUAACAAUUAAUUAAUUUUAAAAGCUUUCAUAGUUUUAAUUUGCAAAUGCUAUUAGUUUUAUUAAUAGUAUAUAGAUACUUGUAUUAUAUUACAAAUAUAAUAAUGAAAAAAUUAAGGUUAAUAUGCCUCCUAGAAUAUAUUUUGUAAAAAUACACAAACUUUCCAAAUUUUAUUUUUUAUUUUAAAUGAAAAAUAGUAUGUCGUAUUUUUUAAAUAAAUAUGAUUUUUUUAUUUUAUAAUAGCUAAUAAAAAAAAUUUGGAGAACUAAAAUUUAAAUUUUAGUUAUUUUAUUGUUGUUUUCACUCUCAUUUAAAGGAGUAAAAGAAUGAACUUGUCCCCGAUAACCACGCUACACAGCCUAGUAAAUUUUCUACACCAAAAUGAUCUAUGUAAAACUCCAGCAGCAGCUGGAAAAUACUCCGAUUCCUCUAGUUCCAGGUACACCAAAACACUCUCCAUGCGUGAAGUGAAACUAGAUGGUAUUUGCUGAAAGUGAUCCCGUGGAGAAUUUGGCAGAACAGAGAGGGUAUUCAGACAAAUUAUAGAAACCACCGAUGAAUCAGUGAGUAGAAUAUGCUUCUUCCUUGAAGAUUAACUAUCCCUAGUGGGCAACUUGUUAAUGAUGAAUUGAAGACCCUUCAAACCGUGUGUGCUACCUUAGGUAGGCGUGGAAUAUCAAUUAUUUCCACACUAGGAACAAAACUUCAUUAAACUAAUGAACUUACUCAGUCCCUUCUAGCGUGGAAUUCGCAACAACGACCCUCAGUCAUCUUCCUCUAUAUAUUACUCCUCAGCUCUUAUAUUUAGACGCACACAGUUAUACAGCUCAAGAGAAUUAUCAUACCCUUUAAGAUGAAACCGUACCUACGUCCAAUAUUCCUAUUAUUCCUUAUCCUUCUCGACCAAUCCACUUCGGCGAGUGCUUCUAAGAGUAGGUUUAUAGAAUUCUUUUCAAAAUUAAAGAAUUCUUUUAAUCCUAAGUCUGAAGAACUCAAAUCAAAAGAUAUAAAGAAGCUCCCGAGCGUCGAAUUUUUGAAGAAGAAACAUGACGGAGUUAAGGACUUCUCUCAAGAAGCUAACCUGAAAAUACCAACCUGGAUAGGAAGAAUAAUACGAAACCGGAAAGGAAAGCCGUCCCAGAAACCAAAGCACCCUCCCCCACCGCCAGACUACCGUGUACAACUAAAGUCCGAUCCCCCAGCGCCAAACGCACCACCGAAGCAAAUCAAUAUUAAGGGCCUGUCCGUCGUCAAAGAUUACUUAUCUGACUACGGCUACAUUGAAUCCUCUGGGCCAUUUACCGAUUCUUUCGACCAGGAAAUAAUAUCAGCCAUUAAGACCUACCAGAAUUUUUCCAAUCUUCAAGUUACCGGCGGCCUGAACAAACAGCUUAUUCAGCAAAUGUUGUCCAUACGAUGCGGUGUCCCCGACGUUAACUUCGACUACAACUUCACCGACGACAACAUUUCCUAUCCCAAAGCCGGACACCGCUGGUUCCCAAACAGAAACCUCACAUACGGUUUUCUUCCCGAAAACCAAAUCCCAGACAACAUGACUAAGGUGUUCAGAGAUUCCUUUGCGAGGUGGGCCCAAGCCUCGGGGACUUUGAGUCUCAGGGAGACAACCUACGACAACGCCGACAUCCAGGUAGGGUUCUACAACUUCACUAACUCGAGGAUUGAAGUGUAUGGUGGCAGCACUAUAUUUUUGCAACCGGAUUCUAGUAAGAAAGGGGUGGUACUUCUGGACGGUAACAUGGGCUGGUUACUUCCAAGUGAAAACGCCACACUGUCUAAAGAUGAUGGAGUUUUGGACUUGGAGACUGUGGCGAUGCACCAGAUAGGGCAUCUACUUGGACUUGAUCACUCUCACAAAGAGGACUCUGUUAUGUAUCCUUACAUAUUGUCAUCACAGUCAGAGCAACGAAAGGUGCAGCUUUCCAAUUCUGACAAGGCCAACAUUCACCUUCAGUUUGCUAAGCAUGAUUAGGAUGUGACUUCUCUGCUGCCAAACUCGCAUGACUCAGCAAGCCACGGUGGGGGUUUGGAUGUGCUUUUAGUUACCACUUUCUCUCUUGGAUUUGCUUACGUAUUGCUCCUUUUGUAUUAGUCGUUCCUGUCCCACCUUGCUUUUGGAAUUAUGAGCUUUUUAUAUUUCUGAUUGUUCAAUGUUUAUUGUAUGUGCUCCCCAACCUGUGGUGACUUUUCGGUUUAUUCUCACGUGGCUGUUUCUUAUAGGCCUUUCGACCUCCAAUAUUAAAUAAAAGAUCAUUUUGAGCUUUCUAAUUUUAAUUAUUUUUUAUUUAUAUCUCUUCUAAUAUUAAUAAUAAAUAAUACAAUAUAUAAAUAAAUAAAUGAUUAUAUACAAUUAAUCUUUUAGGAUGAUUAUUAUUUAAAAAUAGAAAAAUAAUAUAUAUUUAUAUAAUGUUAUGAGAGGUCUUUAGUUAUAUGCAGAAUGCACCGUUGGCCACUUAGGAGUUGGGAUUUCAGUAAUUAUUCUUGUGGUGGGUAAAGCUAUAAACUCGGUUUUGUGUAAGUUCCUUUCCUUUCUUGAGGAGUCUAUGGUGGGAAAGAGAAACACCUUUUCCACUGUAAGAAAGUUUUUUAAAACUGGUAUAUUACUUUAGUUUUAAUCUAAUGGCUCAUUUUUUUUUCUUUUUCUCCUUGUAUCUUUUAUUGCUUUUCUUCUUAUCUUUCCUUAUUUGUUCCUUCUCUUUUUUUUCUCCUUCUAUCCAAUCACAAAAUUUUAAAAAUAAAUAUUUUUAAUUAAAAUAUUUAAAAUUCUAAAAAUUCAAAUUUUCUCAGAAUUUUACAUUCGAUCUUUAUCUAAAUACACAAUUAAUCACAUUUAAUUGGAUCAUUAAGGAAUGAUUGCGGCGUUAUGUUUUUUCUUUUGUGUUUCUGUGUGAGUCAUUUGAGCGGUGCUGGAAAUAAGGAAGUAAGAUUUUUUACAUGAGCCUAAGUGCACUCUAGAAACAAUUAUAAAAAGAGAGCAAUCCAUUUCGACGAACUCCCUAAAAGCAUCAUGUCAAAGCCAUAGAAUCAAGGAGCAUCCCAUAAAUAAAAAUAAAUAAAAUCACCAUAUUCAUGCACAAUUACACAUAAAAAUUAAUAAAAUUUUGUCUGUCCCGACAUCCGUACACAAGAUAACGAAGAAAAAUCCGGUUGAAGUCUACCAUAAACCCAAGUCCUUCACACCAAAUCAUAUUGCAUUAAAUCAGGAGUUUCAACUUUCAAGCUAUUAAUCCAAUCAAGAUUUUAUAUUCCUUUUUUUUUAAUAUUCAACUUGAGCUAUCUAUCUCCAUUAUUAAAUCUAUAAUAUUUUGAAAAUGAAAAUUCAUCAUUCCUAUAGAACACAAAAUAAUACAGAUAGUCACGUGUAAGGUAUUACACAAAACUGAUAUUCAAACUAUAUAAUAAAAAGAGGAUCGAAUGACAAUAAUGAGAGUGAUUAAAAAAAUAUACAAAUUCAAGGUCAUGACAACUCUGAUUCUGUGAAUAGGAAAGCCCAAAUGAAUGAAAAAUAAAAGACACUCAUUACCUGACGCUUAUAUGCUAGAAAUACUUUUCCUUAGGUCGUAUCAUGCAUGUGCCAACUAAUUCUGCUAGAAAUACGCUUAGUUUUAAAUAUUGUAUCAUCUACCAUAUAAAUCAUUAUAAAUGAAUCUAGAUUCAUGUACUCAUCCCUAUAAAACAAUAAUAUUUUUAACAGAAAAUAAAAAAAAUUAAAAUGAAACUAUUAAAGAUUAAAAUAAAAUUUUUGAAAUUUAAUAUACUAAAUCAGAAAAAAAAAAAUAUAAACGAUGAAAAUAAUUUUUUAAAAACUUAAUAUUCCUAAAAAUAAAAUUAAAAAAAUACAAAGAACCAAAAGUAAUAUAUAUCCGGAGGCCUAUAAAUGCCAAAAACAAUCACACAACUAAAACGAAAAGGCAUCGUAUGGAUGGGGCAACACAUUGAACAACUAAUGAUGCUCCAAAUUAAAUGAGUAAAUUUAUAAAUGUAUAAUCCUUUUUUGUGUGGAUUGGGUGAGGAAAUUAAGAGAGAUGUGAUAUCAUAAGAAAUAUAGAUAUUAAAAAAUAUAAGAUGAAAGAGUAUGAGUUCUAAGUAGGAUGUAUGUUUAUAAUAAUAAAAUCCAUAACAUCCAAGCUUGAGUGAAACAUAAGACUUGGACUUGGUGUAUAUUUAAUUUAAAUUAAAGUUGACGAUUUUAAUAUUAUAGUAGUUUUAUUGUAUAAGUUCAAGAAGGACUUUGGUCUUGCUUUUUUUGGAAAUUUGAUUUCGAAUAUAAGUGUGUAAACAUACUCUUAAAGAUAACUAAAUAUAUCAUAUGAAAUAAAAAUGAGUUUAUGCUCCAAACCGAGUUUGAAACACCAAAAUAAAAUCCAAACAUGUUGAUAUCGAUGUUCUUAAUAGUCUAAUGCAAAAGAAGCAAAUCCAAGACACAAAAUGAUAACUAAAAGCAUUCCCCAAAGCCCACCAUGGCAAAAGUUGCCAUUAGUAUAAUGUUGGAGCAUGUUGUGCUGAUUAGAAAUCGAAAGCUCCACCUUUGGUUUCUUUGAUGACAAUAUAUAAGAGUACCGUUGAGGUAGGUGACGUUGUAGUAGAAAUUCAUGUCGGGGACAACACAUCGUGGUAGCACCUACUGAUGGGGUGACAACACAGCUUUAGCAGGACAAUUAAAGAAUAGUCGAUGAAGAACAAUUAAAUAAAAAACAAAAAAGAAUCACCAAUUCGAAACAAAUAGUAUAGCACUGCACUACUAACUGACCCCAUCAACUGCAAGUGGCAAAUUACUCCAAGCCCAAAACGCAGCGAGCAAAACAAAACCGCCAGUCCCCUGCUAGCUAUAUAUAUAUGCAGUUUACAAAAAGAGACACCACAAAUCAUCAACAAAUGGAUGAAUAGUAUAAUAGUAUAUUUAUGAAUCACGAUUAAAAUAUAUUUCUAUUAAUUAAUUAAUUUUAAAACUCUCACAAAUAAAGAAAGAUAUGUUAUUUUAAUUAUAUUUAUAUCAAGAUUAUUAAACUCAAGUGAUAAAAUUUCAUAAGAGUAUAUUUUAUAUAAAAAUAAUAUAUAUAUAUAUAUAUAAUAUUCUAAUUAAAUAUUUCAAUAAUAUAAUAAAACAAAAUACUAAAUUAUAAAUUUAAAAAUACUAAAAUAAUUAAAUCUAAUAAUAUAUUAUUAUAGGAUGAUAACUUACUGAUAUUAUAGUAAUGAUAGAUCAUUCUUAUCUUAAAUUUAAUAUAUGUUAAACUAUAAUAAACAUAAAAUAAUCUAAAUGAUUAAUUGUUGUUAUUAUGAAUCAUUUUCAAUGAAAAAUAUGAAUGAUAUCUUUUAUCUUCUUAGCUUUAAUGGUAGUUUUAUGUAGUUCUAGAAUAACCUAACUUUUAACCCUCUUACAAUUGAAAAAUAGUAAUAUAUAGAGGAAAUGAGGCUUAACUUGCGAACAAUAUAUAUUUAAAUACAAUAAAGUAUAAUCAGCAUUUGUGGUAUAAAUCUAGUCGGAAUCAUGUUUGUUUUCUUCAUGCAGGGGCAUAUCAUCAUGGUUAUCAAACUCUCAAGUUAACUCGCUAACUCUUACGAGUUUACGAGUCCACUUGUUCUCUGCGAGUUGACUCUUGAGUAAACUCUUUUCUUAGUAGACUCAGUAAACUCUAUAAACUCUAAGUAAACUCGGUAGACUCUCGAGUUUACCACCGAGUCAACGAGUUAGCAAGUUAAAAAAAUUAGACAAAAAUGUAAGUCAUUUUUUAUUGUUUUCUGUCUGUUUAGCAUUCAACAUACCUUUUAACAUGUUAUUCUCAAAUACAAAAUUCUCACCUUUAAUAAUAUCAAACUCUUGUUCUCUAAUAAAAUCAAAUACUCGAUGAGAAUAAUCUACCACUACUAUAACCUCUACAAGUUAUUGUUUAGUGGUGAUGUAUUAUUAUUAGACUUGGUUAUUUAAAUAUUCUGAACUUUAUGAUUUACUGUUUUACUUUAUUAUAUUGUUAAAAUGUUUAAUUAGUAUGUUAUUUAUAGAUAUUUUGUUAUUAUUUUUAUAUGAAAUAGACUCUUACGAGUCUACGAGUUGAAUCUACGAGUCGAGUCUAUAAAACUCUCACGAGUUGCGUAAACUGUCGAGUUUGAUAACCUUGCAUACCAUUAGGCCUUCUAAUAAAAUGGUAAAUAUUAUUUUAUCCGUAUAUAAUACAUUCGUUGUUGGAGGAAGACAUAUUUUUACCAUAAUUUCUUAAAAAAAUGAAUGACUCAAUAAAGUGUUUCCUCCCAAGUCGUAGUAAGAAUAUAAUCAAGCUAUAGAUGCGCUACGAAAUGUUUUGUAAAAUGAAAUAUAUAAAUAGGAAGAACUUGUAAAAAAAAAAAAUAGAGAUAAACAAUGAAGAAAAUAACCAUUAGUAAAAAUUCGUGAAAUGAGAAUAUCUGAGUAUAAAAUUACAACUAAUCUGAACGAAUCUGCUAAACAACCUAAUCUUCUAUCAUUUUCAUUUGAUGUUUAAAUUAUUGACUGCUUAAACAAAACUCAUAAAAGAUAAAAUCUGCAACAAUAAUAGAACUCUAUCUAAAACUUAUUCAAAAUUCAAAUAAGGCAGGUCUCAUAUCUUUAGCUAGACAAGAAGAUAUACUAUGAGGGCACUACUGACCCCGACCCUAUCACGUGCAUGCAUAUGAACUAUUAUCUACAAGUUGUCCCCACUGCCCAAGAACGAGAGCAAGUGCCAAAUGGCUCCAGCCCCAAACCACAGCGAGCAACACAAAACCAGUCCCCCAUGCCACUAGCUGUAUAUAUGCAGAUUACAAAAAGAGACGUGCACCACAUACAGAACAAAUUGAUGAAAAGUAUAAUAUAGUAUAUUUAUGAAUCACGAUUAAAAUAAAUUUCUAACAAUUACUUGAUUUUAAAAGCUUUUAUAGUUUUAAUUUCCAAAGGCUAUUAGUUUUAUUAAUAGUUUUUUUAUACUUGUAUUAUAUUACAAAUAUAAUAAUGAAUAAAUUAAGGUUAAUAUAUAUACCUCCUGAAUAUAUUUUGUAAAAAUACACAAACUUUCUCUAUUUUUUUUUAUAAAAAAAUCAAGGUUGCCAAGCCAUUCUUCAAAGCAAGGGUGAUCCAAUAGUAGGUGAGAACUAAAAUAAAUUUUAUUUUAUUUAUUUUAAAUGAAAAUUAAUAUGUCAUAUUUUUUAAAUAAAUAUGGUCCUUUUUAUUUUAUAAUAGCUAAUAAUUUUUUUUAUAAGACUAAAAUUUAAAUUUUAGUUAUUUUAUUGUUGUUUUCACUGUCAUAUUUUAGUUAUUUUAUUCUGUGAUUCUUGAGUAAAUUUUUUUCCACAUAGACCGAGUAAAUUCUAUACACUCUAAGUAAACUCGAUAGACUCUUGACCAACUUAGCAACAGUAAGCCUAAAGAAAUUUGCCCGAAAAUUAAGAACACGUAAAUUUGCCCGAAAGACCCGCAUCAAAAAGUUUGCCCGAUGAUGAAGUACGUGUAUCAAAAAAUUUGCCAAAACUAAGGUCCCUUUACUUCAUUCCCCCACCUGCAUAACUCUGCAAGCCACGGUGGGCGUUUGGAUGUGCUUUUAGUUACCACUUUCUCUCUUGGAUUUGCUUACGUAUUGCUCCUUUUGUAUUAGUGGCUCCUGUCCCACCUUGCUUUUGGACUUGUGAGCUUUUUAUAUUUCUGAUUGUUCAAUGUCUAUUGUGUGUGCUCUCCAACCUGUGGUGACUUUUCGGUUUAUUCAUGUGGCUGUUCCUUAUAGGCCUUUCGACCUCCAGUAUUAAAUAAAAGAUCAUCUUGUAGCUUUUUAAUUUUAAUUAUUUUUUAUUUAUAUCUCUUCUAAUAUUAAUAAUAAAUAAAUGAUUAUAUACAAUUAAUCUUUUAGGAUGAUUAUUAUUUUAAAAUAGAAAAAAUAAUAUAUAUUUAUAUAUUGUUAUGAGAGGUCUUUAGUUAUAUGCAUAAUGCACCCUUGGCAACUUGGGAGUUGGGAUUUCAGUAAUUAUUAUUGUGGUGGGUAAAGCUAUAAACUCGGUUUUGUGUAAGUUCCUUUACUUUCUUGAGGAGUCUAAGGUGGGAAAGAGAAACACCUCUUCCAAUGUAAGAAAGUUUUUUAAAACUGGUAUAUUAGUUUAGUUUCAAUCUAAUGCCUCAAUUUUUUUUUUCUUUUCUCCUUGUAUUUUUUAUUCCUUUUCUUCUUAUCUUUGCUUGUUUGCCCCUUCAAUUCUCUUCUUUCUCUCCCAUCUUCUUUCUCUCUCCUUCUAUCCGCCACCAUAGUGCACCGUCACUUGUAGUUGCUUUGGUGGUACUCUACCACAGAAGAAGCAAGUGGAGCCUUGUUUCCAUUACUUUACGGAAAUUCACUUAAUCACAUUCAAUUGGUUCAUUGAGGGAUGUUUUUUCUUUCGUGUUUCUGUGUGAGUCAUUUGAGCGGUGCUGCGAAAGAAGAAAAAACUCCGGCGGGUGCCCACUGGUUGUCUGCGGUGGAGAGAAGGAGUGUUGUGCGGAAGAAAAGAAGAGGGGCAAACAAGGAAAGACUGGAAGAAAGGAAUAAAAGAAAAAAUACGAAAACUAAACCAAGUGUCAAGGGAAACGAAAAGCAUAAUAGCAGGAGUCAAGUUCAAAAAUUAUACAAAGUUUCACAAAGAAGAUCCAUAUAUGUUUCAAAUGCUAGAUUCCUUCGAAUAGAUGGCUAUGGGUGAUAAAUUAUAUAUGAAUUGGAAAAUACAAAAAAUAUGUUGCAACUUGCAAGGGAUGCAUCAGUAACAAUUGUUUAUAAGUAGUACUGCCAUCAGUAUCAACUUUAUCAGCAAAAAAUAAGUUGCAACUUGCAAGGGAUGCACCACCCACUUACAGCUUAAUUAAUUGUCACCGAUAAAAAAAUGUUUGAUACACAUCCAAAAUCCUAUUUAACAUUUAGAUUGAGAAAAAAAUGAAAAAUAUAUAAAAUGAUAAAAUUUAUGAUAUAAUAAAAAAAUAAAAAAGUGUGGAUGCAAUAUUUAAAAUAAAAAAUAAUUUAUAAAUUAUUACUCAUGGAAAACGAGAACUCAAACCGAUACAUAGCCAUUAAUAUAAGCCUAAAAGGAAACAUCCAAUUACAAGUUGAAUGUUAAUAUAUGCACAGCCACUUACUGCAUACAAGAAGAUACAAUAGUAACAAGGACGAUUCCAACUUCUCUACUCGCGUAAUAGCUUUGUAGCUUCCCAUGCAUGUGACCCACUAGUUCUAAUCCUAACUGAUACAAUUACACGUAGGAAUAUUCACGAGUUGGUAUGAAUCAAAUCAAAUUUAAGGUAAAAUUAAAUUUACAUUAGUUAUAUUUGAUUAGAUUGAUUUGAUUUAAAUUUUGAUUUUUUUAUCAUUCAAAUUAAUUAAAAAGGGAUUAGUUUAGUUGAGUCAAUCAACUAUAACAAAAAAUUAAAUUGUAAUAUUUUUAAAUAUUUUUUAUGUUUAUUGUCUAUUUGAUAUAAAUAGGAAGAACUUGAAAAAGAAAAGAUAAACAACGAAGAAAAUAGCCAUUAAAAUUCAUAAAAUGAGAAUAUCUAAGUAUAAGAUUACAACGAAUCUGGAUGAAUCUGCUAACAACCUAAUCUUCUAUCAUUUUCAUUUGAUAUUUAAAAUAAUUAACUGCUAAAACAAAACUCAUAAAAGAUAAAAUCUGCAACAAUAAUUGAACUCUAUCUAAAACUUAUUCUAAAUUCAAAAUUCAAGUAAGGCAAGUCUCAUAUCUUUAGAGGGAGAAAAGAAAAUACUAUCACGCCAAUACUGACCCCGACCCUAUCACGUGCAUGAACUUUUAUCGACAAGUUGUCCCCACUCCCAAAGAACAAUUGCAAGUGCCAAAUGACUCCAAACCCAAAACCGCAGCCAGCAACACAACCAGUCCCCGGCCCAUGCCACUAGCUGUAUAUGCAGAUUACAAAAAGAGACACCACAGAACAAAUGGAUGAAAAGUAUAAUAGUAUAUUUAUGAAUCACGAUUAAAACAAAUUUCUAACAAUUAAUUGAUUUUAAAAGCUUUCAUAGUUUUAAUUUCCAAAUGCUAUUAGUUUUAUUAAUAGUUUAUUUAUACUUGUAUUAUAUUACAAAUAUAAUAAUGAAUAAAUUACGGUUAAUAUACCUCCUGAAUAUAUUUUGUAAAAAUAGACAAACUUUCUCUAUUUUUUUUUUAUAAAAAAAUCAAGGUUGCCAAGCCAUUCUUCAAAGCAAGGGUGAUCCAAUAGUAGGUGAGAACUAAAGUAAAUUUUUUUUUUUUUUUAAAUGAAAAAUAAUAUGUCGUAUUUUUUAAAUAAAUAUGGUCUUUUUAUUUCAUAAUAGCUAAUAAAAAAUUUAUAGAACUAAAAUUUAAAUUUUACUUGUUUUAUUGUUGUUUUCACUCUCAUUCAAAGGAGUAAAAGAAUGAACUUGUCCCCAAUAACCCCCCAUACAGCGUAGUAAAUUUUCUACAUCAAAAUCAUCUAUGUAAAAUUCCAGCAACAGCUGGAAAAGACUCCGAUUACUUUAGUUCCAGUACACCAAAGCACUCUCCAUUCGUGAAGUGAAACUAGAUGGUGUUUGCUGAAAGUGAUCCUGUGGAGAUUUUGGCAGAUCGGAGAGGGUAUUCAGACAAACUAUAGAAGCCACCGAUGAAUCAGUGAGUAGAAUAUGCUUCUUGUUUGAAGAUAAUUAACUAUCCUAUGACACUCAAGGACUUGAGAGUCUAAAUUUUAAGAAUGAAAUUUUUUAUUUACUCAUAAAAUUUAAUGUUAUUUAUCAUUUAAAAAUAUUUAUUAUUUAAGAAGGAGACAUUUUAUUUAUUCAUAUAAUUUUAUAAUAAGUUUUUUAAGAUAUAUUAGUACUAAAAAAAAUUAAGAUUAUUUUUUUGAAACCUUAAAGUCCUAACUUGGGGCUGCUUGGACUUAAGCCCGGCCUUAUUAUCCCUAGUGGCAACUUGUUAAUGUCCUUAUUAUCCCUAAGGGGUAACUUGUUAAUGAUGAAUUGAAGACCCUUCAAACCUGUGUGCUACCUUAAGUAGGAGUGGAAUAUCAAUUGUUUCCACACUAGGGACAAAACUUCAUCAAACUCAUGAACUUACUCAGUCCCUUCCAGCGUGGAAUAUCAAUUGUUUCCACACUAGGGACAAAACUUCAUCAAACUCAUGAACUUACUCAGUCCCUUCCAGUUUGGAAUUCGCAACAACGACCCUCAGUCAUCUUCCUCUAUAUAUUACUCCUCAGCUCUUAUAUUUAGACGCACACAAUUAUACAGCUCUAGAGAAUCAAGAAAAUUAUUAUACCCAUUAAGAUGAAACCGUACCUACGUGCAAUAUUCCUAUUAUUCCUUAUCCUUCCUUCGGCGAGAUGGGGCGAGGCUAAAAUUGAUAGGAAGACGAUAACAAUGUUUUGGGGCAAGGUUAAAGAUGCGACGAUAAAAAAUUUCCCGAGUCGUGAUGAGCGGAAGAAACUGAGGGAGUAUUACGAGAAAUUCAGGGAAUUCAUGGAUCGUGUAGAACAAAAGACGACCCCUCCCCCACCGCCAAUGUACCGUUUACAACCAAAGUCCCCUCCCCCACCGCCAAACGCACCACCGAAGCAAAUCAAUAUUAAAGGCCUGUCCGUCGUCAAAGAUUACUUAUCUGACUACGGCUACAUUGAAUCCUCUGGGCCAUUUAACGAUUCUUUCGAUCAGGAAAUAAUAUCAGCCAUUAAGACCUACCAGAAUUUUUCCAAUCUUAAUGUUACCGGCGACCUGAACAAACAGCUUAUUCAGCAAAUCUUGUCCAUACGAUGCGGUGUCCCCGACGUUAACUUCGACUACAACUUCACCGACGACAACACUUCCUAUCCCAAAGCCGGACACCGCUGGUUCCCAAACAGAAACCUCACAUACGGUUUUCUUCCCGAAAACCAAAUCCCAGACAACAUGACUAAGGUGUUCAGAGAUUCCUUUGCGAGGUGGGCCCAAGCUUCGGGGACUUUGAGUCUCACGGAGACAACCUACGACAACGCCGACAUCCAGGUAGGGUUCUACAACUUCACUGCCUUGAGAAUUGAAGUGGAGGUGUAUGGUGGCAGCCUUAUAUUUUUGCAACCGGAUUCUAGUAAGAAAGGGGUGGUACUUAUGGACGGUAACAUGGGCUGGUUACUUCCAAGUGAAAACGCCACACUGUCUAAAGAUGAUGGAGUUUUGGACUUGGAGACUGUGGCGAUGCACCAGAUAGGGCAUCUACUUGGACUUGAUCACUCUCACAAAGAGGACUCUGUUAUGUAUCCUUACAUAUUGUCCUCACAGCAACGAAAGGUGCAGCUUUCCAAUUCUGACAAGGCCAACAUUCACCUUCAGUUUGCUAAGCAUGACUCGGAUUUGACUUCUCUGCCAAACUCGCAUGACUCUGCAAGCCACGGUGGGCGUUUGGAUGUGCUUUUAGUUACCACUUUCUCUCUUGGAUUUGCUUACUUACUGCUCCUUUUGUAUUAGUGGCUCCUGUCCCACCUUGCUUUUGGACUUAUGAGCUUUUUAUAUUUCUGAUUGUUCAAUGUUUAUUGUAUGUGGCUGUUUCUUAUAGGCCUUUCAACCACCAGUAUUAAAUAAAAGAUCAUUUUGAGCUUUUUAAUUUUAA